AUGUGGUGGCUUCUCUCCCUUAGGUGGUUUGCCAACUGGGGUUGGUGGCUUGUGUUCCGGAAGUGGCUUCUCUUUGUGUUCAGGAGGUGGCUUCUCCACUGGAGGCUUGUGUUCAGGAGGUGGCUUCUCCACCGGAGGCUUGUGUUCAGGAGGUGGCUUCUCCACCGGAGGCUUGUGUUCAGGAGGUGGCUUCUCCACCGGAGGCUUAUGCUCUGGUGGUGGCUUCUCCACCGGAGGCUUAUGCUCUGGUGGUGGCUUCUCCACCGGAGGCUUAUGCAAUGGUGGUGGCUUCUCCACCGGAGGCUUGUGUUCAGGAGGUGGCUUCUCUACCGGAGGCUUAUGCUCUGGUGGUGGCUUCUCCACCGGAGGCUUAUGCUCUGGUGGUGGCUUCUCCACCGGAGGCUUGUGUUCAGGAGGUGGCUUCUCCACCGGAGGCUUGUGUUCAGGAGGUGGCUUCUCCACCGGAGGCUUGUGCUCUGGUGGUGGCUUCUCCACCGGAGGCUUAUGCUCUGGUGGUGGCUUCUCCACCGGAGGCUUGUGUUCAGGAGGUGGCUUCUCCACCGGAGGCUUAUGCUCUGGUGGUGGCUUCUCCACCGGAGGCUUGUGUUCAGGAGGUGGCUUCUCCACCGGAGGCUUAUGCUCUGGUGGUGGCUUCUCCACAGGAGGCUUGUGUUCAGGAGGUGGCUUCUCCACCGGAGGCUUAUGCUCUGGUGGUGGCUUCUCGAAUGGGGGAUGCGUAGGGUAAUCAGCUAGUGAGGGGGCGGUGAGAACCACCAGGCCAAGCAACACUACUAGCAAGUAUGUAGGAGACAUCUUUGGGUUUGGGCUCAGAUGGUGCAAAACUAGGAGAAUUGGCUAGCCUUUUAUAGCGGAUCGUACCCAAUAAUGAAAUGACACGUGUCAUUAUGACCCAUGUGUCAUGUGGUCGAUUUGGGUCCUACAGUGUUGAAAACUUCGACAUCCACUUUUUUGGCCUUUUGCUUUCUCUACAGUCGCCUUGCUUUUUCCCUCUUUUCUUUUGUUUUCCUCCUGCCCCAUUCUAUCAACUAAUCACAAUUAUGUAGUUGUUUAAUUCUUAAAUGAGAUAUUAUCCGUCAAUCAUAUUAUCUUUUAUCAAGAGAGAACGGAGUGAAAAGUGGCAAUCCAAAGAAAGAAGAUCCAUAAUGCAGCUGUAAUUUUAUCGUUUACUUUUAUCUCUAGGACCACUGCAUUUUUGUUGAGAGGUGCAAUAAUACACGUCUUUAUCUGCCAUUCAAUGUUUACAGUAAAGAGAGGGCACAAAACUCUUCACUGCUCUGCAUGUGCCCCAAAAAUGCAAUUGGACAAAUUAUGAUUUGCAUGCUAAAAAGAGGCAAAUGAGGUUAAUUAGCACCAAAAUUAUUUUGUUUUCUGGACACCCCGGGGCCCUUUGGUUGGUUUGGGGGUCAGAAAAUGAACAUCAUAGGGGGUUUUUCCCUAAUGUGCAUUUGCAUUUGUAUCUGAUGGCUUUAACUCGCCUUGUUACUACAAAGAAAUUGUCACAGAUAGGAACUUAUUCCAGGCUGAGUAUCUCCGCAUGGACCCUAUAAAAGAAGACAAGUCAUAAUGAACAUCUAACCUUUGUUCAAUUUGAUUCAAUGCCCCUAUUGUGUCCAUCUCACAAAUCUGAAUUAUUAUAUCCAUUGAAUACAUAAAUUAAUGAAGAAAAUAUGAAACCCAAGAUACAUCUCUGCACAACCUCAACCCUGGUUGCUAUGUUUCACUUCUAUUCACAUGAGGAUAUUGAUUACGGAAUAAGGAAACCUAGCAAGGGUUUACUCGGCUCUGGUUUGAUGCUAAUUGCCAAACUUGCAACAAGCCCUGAGUUUGACACCUAAUCGAUGGGCGAAUUAAAAGUCUCCUCCAAACAUAUAUUCCACAGCUUGAAGCUCACAGAAGAUGCUAUACAGGCAGGGAAAAACCUUCAGAGUUAGCUACCAAAGAUAAUUAUCAAGGAGAUAUCACCAAGAGAAUUCCAUGGAGUCUGAAUCAAAGACAAAUUGCUCGCUCGUGGGGGUUCUUACUUAAUUUCUUUUGGGUAUAACUCACUGAGGGCACUGGCUUUGUUAUUUGCAUUUCGCAUUUAGAGUUCUGUUCUGGAAGGUUUGUUCUGGAAACAUAUAAAAGGAGCAUCAUUUUGUUCUAGGGUAACCCAUAGUUGUGAGUGGGUCCAUUUGCAUGCUACUUAGUUGAAAAGUUGGACAAUUUGCUCCGACGCCUACCUCCUGGAUUCCAUGCUCGGAUAAAGCAAGAAUAAUAAAAUAUUUAUAAUUUACAAAUGGGGGAAAGAAAAAAAUGUCAACAACAAACUAGGAAAAAAGAGUAGUAAAAUUUAUGCCACAUGCUAUUGAUAGAAGGGGCAUGUAUUAGAUCCAUCACCAUUUGGUAAGAUUUUAGUAUUAUAUUUUUCAAGGUUCAUUAUUUGAGGGUGUGUUCUUCAUCUCUGUUGCAUUGCUUCUUACUAGGCCCACUGAGGUGGGUUCUUCACCUUUUGUAUAUUCUCUGCACUAGAUCAAUGAGAAAGGGGGAAUUUUGGUGAAUUUGCAGCCGUUGGAUGAUUGAUUCUAGGCUCAGUCCACCAAUGAUGCUCUCUUCACUCUUUCUCAUCUAGUGUCAUUCACAACUAUGUUUUGAUUCAUAUUUGUACUAUCAAAGAUAUCUCAUUAUUCUAGCUCAUUAGGUAGAGUUCCUAAUCUUCCUCCUUUUUGGUCUAUGGACAGUAUUGGCUUCAUAUUAAGAUCAUGUUUCAAUAAUUGCACAUUAAUGAAUGGAUCAUGACCCACAUAAACAGAGUCAGGGUUGAGUCAGUGAACCCUAAAAUUUCACAAUUCUAAAUUUGGGUUCUUUAACAAUGCAGGGUCAAGGACGCGUGGUGAUGAAGGAAAGCUGGUAAGCUCAGUGUUACUUCAAUUCCUGCCAUGUAGGAUGGUGAGGAGAUAUUCACUAUGCAAUUAAUAAUAGACAAUAUUCACUAUGCAAUAAUAAAGCAUAAAUUAAGUUGAAUGAAAAGCAUUUUCUUUGCAAGGAGUUGAUUUUGGUUUCAUAGUUUGUUCAACUGCUAUUUUGGAUAGGAAAGUGUGAGGAGAAGAAAAUAAAAAAUAAAAAUAAAACAAAAAAUAAAAAAUAGAUUUUAUAAAUUCAUUUAAUUUAUUUUUUUUUUAUAAAAAUUAACUAAUUUAAAAUAUAUGUAAAUUUCUAAUUAAUUUAAUUACAUUUUUUUUUUCAGUUUUUCAUAAUAAACCAAAUAUUAGAAAAUUAUUUUUAUUAAGACACCCAAGAUGAGGUAAUAUGCAAUGAAAACAUGAAUUAUAUUAAAAUUCAAAACAAAUUAAGAGAAAUCGGAAAAUAUACAUAGAUAUCUAAACAAAGAAAUUUAAAGAGAAGGAACCACAAACUUUAUUUACAUAAUUUGAAAAUAAAAAACAUAAAACAUACUUAUAGUAAGGAGAAAUUGAAUAUCUUACAAUGGAAGAAGGGAGAAAAGCUUUGAAGAAAGCUUUUGCUUGGAAGCUUACAUGGUGAGAGGUAGAGAAAGGAGAGAGAGAGAAGAAAAUGAAAAAUGAGAAGUGGAGAAAAUUGGAAGUUUUGUGUGCUUACAACUGAGGAUAGAGCCUCCUUAAAUAGCAAAAAAUGGAAUAUUAAAUAGUACCAAUCAGGAGACAAAAUAUUGUUUGCUUUUGAAACCCGUGCAUGAAUAGUAAUCCCGUGAGUGAAUAGUGAAUAAUAAAAGUGAAUAGUAAAAGUCACUUUCUACUAUAGCACUUUAGACUUUUUCAUCGAGAAUCUUACUUUCGGCUGAGUGAUGAUAGCUGAUAGGUUGCUUUGGAUUGUGGAGUCAUAUGUUUGAUGUUUUCGGUGCUGAAACCGCUUAGUUGGAGAAUAAUCUCGUCAGUAGAGCAUCAUGAGAAGCUUGAAUGGAGAGAGCUUAAUGAUGCCAUAUGAUUGGAAGGAAUCCUAUUUUAAUUUCCUUAUUGGAGGGAGAAUACCCUCACAAUCAUCUUCAUUAUCUUGAAGGUAGUUUGAUAUAGAGUCAUCUGACUCAGCAUAAGAGUCCUCUUGGGAGAAGCUUGAACUGCUUUUGUCAAGGAUUUUCUGAAAUUCUUGAGGGGUUUUUGCUAUUGCUAACAUGGUUUGGAGUUGCUGUUUCUUAAGAAGAAACUGUGCAAUAUCAUAAGAUGAUGAAGCUUGUGUAGGAUGCUUUAGGAAAUAUUGCUUUAUUGCUUGUAGUGAGGUAUCAUUUUUCAAGGCAUCCCACCACUUAGACUUGAAAGUCCUUCCAAGGGUUGGAAAGGCUGCUGAUUCAUCUGCUAUAAUGAUAUAAUCCCACUGGACUAUCCAGGCAAGGCCAAAUUCACUAAAAAAGAAUAAUAAUUGGGGAAAACUGAAAGUUCUCUAGGGAUAACAAAAGAACUUUGGAAUAGCUCAAAGCCAUCCAAAAUGGGUUUUGGGAGAAUUUUAAUAGUUGGACCAAAAUAUGUCCACCAAUUGUGGAACCAAAAUGGAAAAGAGGGGAGUUGAUGCUUAGAUGGGAAAUAGAACAUCCCUGAAUGAUGGAAGUCCUUGUUCUGGAUCAGAAAAGCAUUGAACCAUACUCUUUGGUAGUCUCAAUAAUUGAAAAUUUUAGGUUUUGAAGGCUUAGAAAAUUCUCUUGAAAAAUUAGGAUUCCCACCCCACUGCUUAACUGUAAGGAUUUUAUAAAUAUGGUAAGUGGAGAAUGCCAAAUCCAAAUUGCUGAAUUUAUCAGCAUUGUGCUUGAUUUUAACAGAGCCGGUUUCCAUAAGGAUUGCUUCAUAAAAUUCUCUUGUUUUUAAAAGAUCACCAAAGGGAUAAUGAAAAUUUUCAUGAAAAGCUUUUGCUGCAAUAUCUCUAGGGUUUUUAGAGAAAAACUCUUUUUCAAUAACCAAAAGAGGUUGAUUUAAAUCUUUUUGCCAAUAUCUUGCUUUUGCUGAAAGAGGUGUGGGGUUGGCUACCACCACAAUUUGCUUAUUUGAAAAAGAAGAGCUUGAUGCUAAUUCAUUUUGAGAGGGAUUAGCUUUAGUAACCUGCUUAAAGGUCUGAGACACAGUAAUAGUUGGAUACUGAGUAGCCUUGACUGGUUUAGAAGGAUUCGAAGGAUCAUAGUACAAGGACAAAAUCUUAUUAGGCAUAUGGUCAGAAGAAUGAAGCCUUGCUUCUUCUUCUAGCUCAACUUGUUGGCUCCAAAGUAUUUUAUGGGGAGAAGGUUCUUUGCUGGUUUUAGAAGACUAGGAUUCUGGAAGUUUAGGAGCUUGGGUAUUCUUUUUAGGGGCCAUGGUUUCGUGAAUCCUGUAAAAUUCACAAGUUAAGAAAUCAGGGCUCGAAGAAUGUUCUCCUUUAAUAUACUCAAUUUGUAAAUUAAAAUUGCUUAAAAUAGCUUGAUAUAUAGCAAAAAUAUGCUUAGAAGUUAUAUUCUUAACAUCCUUUUGUAAAACUAAUUUUGCAAAUUUACAAUCAACUCUUAAUAAAAACUUUUGAUUCAAAAGAUCAUCUUGAAAUUUUGAAAUGCAUAAAACAACGCUUAAAGUCUCUUUUUUAAUGAUGUUAUGAAUGAGUUGGGUAGUAUUCCAGGUUCUUGAAGUAUACCUAACUAACAUCUCAAGGUUACCAACACUUUGCUUAAGAAUCCCACCAUAACCUAUGUCUGAGGUAUCGAUCCCAACAAACUCAAAGGUUUCUGGAUUGAUAGAGCCUAAACAUGGUAGGGUCUUGACUUUGGACUUAACAUCAAUAAUGAAAACAAUGGUGAAAACAGAAAACUGGUUAAAGUUUUCAUCCAUUAUAUUCUGGAAUUCUGAGGUGCAUUCUUAAGAUCAAAGGGCAUUAUGAACCAUUCAUAAUGUCCAAGAGAUACCACAAAGGUGGUCUUAUUUGGAAUAGGACACCUAAUCCAACUUAAUGUAUCAUUAAGAGGCAUGUAGUUGACGACUAGUCUAGGUGUUCCUUUUUCUGAUUCAACUUGUUCCUGAACAUAGAAGGUUGAACAACUCCAAAGGGACUUAGACUUCCUUAUCAACUUUUUAUCAAGAAGAUCCCAAAUCUCCUUAUCACAAUAGCUUAACAAACCCUUGUUCAUCUGGAUAGGUCUUGAUUUAGUGGGAAUAUUCUUGUCACUAAAGUCUAGUUCAUAAGGUAAUUCUACCUCAUGUUGUUUCCUAUGCCAAAAUGCAUUAGGAAUGUUAGAGCAAACUUCUUCAACAAUCAGAUUAAUUUCUUGCUCAUGACUUUCCUUAGCUUGAAUCACCUGAUCCCUUAAGGUGUUUAUAUUUUUCUUAUUAGGUGGUUGGCAAAUUCAAAAAUAAUUUCCUUAUCUAAGAGCUUUGUUCUUAUACUUUGGUCAUCUACCCACAUGGGAUAGAUGGAGCUUAAAAAGGGGAUUCCAAGGAGAGCUUUCUCCUUAAGAUCCUUAACUAGAAUGAAGGUUUGCUUGAUGCAAAUGCCUUGGUUAUUUAUGUGAGCAUCUGACAGCUUAUACUCAAUGUCAAGCCUUUUACCAUUAGCUCCAAAGAGAGAUUCUUUGGUUUUCUUACAAAACUUAAUAGGACCUAGACCUUCUUGUAGGCAAUUCAAAGCUGUUCCUGAAUCAAUCAAAGCAACAAUAUCAAUGACAAAUUUACUCUUAAUUACUAUAGUAAGGGAGACUUUCCACCUCUGGAAAAUAACCCUACUAACAGUAUUUAAGUAUCCAUCCGUCUUUUCAUCAUUAGCAUGUGAAGAUUCUAGAACCUCUUCAAGGUUUUCCUAGUUAUCAACAAGAUUUUCUAUAACAAUCCUAUUUAUUUGUUCUUGGAGAUCUGAAAAACCUAAGCUUGUGUAUUGUCUUAAAUCUUUAAUUUCCUUCUUAUACUGUCUUACUUCUUCUUGAAGAUCCUUAAUGGUUACGUCUUUGGUAGACUACUGGUUAAAUCUUCCUAAGAUUUCAUUUAAGUUAUAAGAAUUUACUGUCUUCUUAAUCUCUUGCUUAUCGACAAAUUUCUUAAAAACUUCAUAAAGAUCUUGUUUAGUUUUUUCAUCUUCAACUUUCCUUAAAACAUCUAGGACAAGUUCUUGAUCUUGGCUUAUGACAUUUAUAGUCUUAGGUUGGCAAUCACAAUUAUCCUUAAUGUAUUCUUCUUGGUCACUAGAAGUUUGGCUUGAGAUUUCCUCACCACUACUAUCUAGUUGGUUAAUACCAUUUUCAUUAUCUGAAUCAAUCCUUGAUUCAGACUCUGUGGAAUUUAACAUUACUUUACAAAGCAUAUCUUUUAAGUCUUCUGUGACAUUUAAGUUAUUAAUUUUCUGCUUAACCCUACAAUCUUUCUUAUAGUGGCCUAUCUUACCACACUUAAAACAAACUGGCUUAGAUUGUGAAGGAGCUUCUAGCUUUUUAUGGGCUUCUUUGUUCAUCAUUCUUUGGAUGUGCCUUUGUUUCUUAGUUUCAUUCAUCCUAUAGUUGCCAUGAGUUCCUCUCUUGUUGUGAUAGGACUUUUCCUUACUAGGCUUUGUACUUACUUGUUUCUUACGUUGCUUAGAGGGGGGCUUAGUUUCUUUUUGGUUGAAUCCAAACUAGCUACAAAAUGAACCAAACUCAUUCUUGUAGAUCCUUUGUUCAUUUUUCAUCUGUUGCUUAAGCUUAAAGUCAUUGCACAGUUUAAUUGCUUCUGAUGUGACAAUGCUUAUAAUUUCUCCAUAAGAAAGCUUAUCAUAAGGGAUUUGUCCAUUAAACUGUUCCCUUAUCUUAAUCCUAAUCCUCUCAGAGAAAAGUCUAGGUAGUCCUAAGAUGAAUUUUUCUUUCCAAAAAGACUGGUUAUAGUUUGAUCUUAGUAUGACUUUGGUUAGGAAAACUUCUCUAUACCAUCUAAAGUCAUGAAGCUUGGGACACUUAAGGUUGGUUAAGAGAUCUACAAUCUUAUCCUUAAUCUUUGCAGGAUCUCCAAUGAAGUGCUUUGAAAUUGAAUAGAUUAGAGUAGCCACUACAUCCUCUAUAUCUUGUCCAUCUUCAUCCUUAACCACUUCAUUUUCCUCAUUAAUCCUAUAGGCUUUUAGGAUACCAUUUCUAUCCUCAAAGGUGAGAUAAUUAUCCCACCAACCCUAAAGUUGACCUGUAAACCCAACAACAAUUGUUUGAGCUACAGCAUGGCCUGACAAUCUAUUGUUUAACUUAUAGGUUGUACUAACCAUGGUCAUUUCUUGAAGCUUAGUGAGUAUGUUGUACUCAAUCAUACCAUCUAUGUUCCAUUCAUAGAUAGUGUCACUAGUGUAGGAAGCUUGAGUAUGCUGGUUUCUUUCCUCAUACUACAUAUCAGGAAAAGUUGGUCUAGGGUAGUAAUUCCUAGUUCUUGGUUGUUGAUAAUCCUCAUAACUGUUUGGUUAGGAGGUUCCUUAAAAAUCUUAAUUAGUUCAUCAGCCUCUGCUUCAGAACUAAUUUCUCCUUUAACCAUAUUGAUUCUCUUGUGAGAUGGUUGAGGUGUCUCAGAGACAACAAGGCUAUCCUUAACCUUUUGGCUUAUCCUAUCAAUGAGGGCUUGAUCAAUAUGGAGAUUCUCUAGGAAUUUCUUAGAGAAUUCAAAAGGCUUAAAUAAAGACUUAUUAUCUUUCUUAACAAACGUAGUCUUAAUGUAGUCUUGUGUUUCAAUGAUAUCCUCAAACUUGUUGAGUUGAUCGCCUGUAGUCUUAAGAAACAUGUUAGUGUAGUUGUUUUGUUCCAUGAUUCUUCUAACGUCAACAACACUAUCAAUUCCUUUAUUCUUUGGCCUAGUCUUAAAAGGUGAAGCUUUGACUAUGGUUCAAUUAAUGUUCUUUUAUAUCUUAGCUUCUAGAGGGUGGAUGGAUUCUAUGAUAGUAUCGUCACUAGUUUUCCAUAUCUUAGUUUUUUUGGAUGUGUCAUUGACACGCUUACUAGGGUAAUCUAGAUAUUCCUCUUGUUUGAAGAGUUCAAACCAGAUCCAAUACUUAAUGUUCUUCUUUUCUUGUCUUAAGUAUGUGUAGAAUUCUUCUUGGUAGAGGGUUCUAAUGUCUUUAAGGACCUUGCUAAAGAACCAAACUCUCCUUUUCUUAUUGACUUCAGAAUAGAAGUCUUUCCUUAAGAGGUCCUUGUUGAUUCAAAGUCUUCGUUAAUUAGGCUUACAGUGUUAAUCAACUGAGAAUAAGUAGGAGACAUAUCAGGAGAUUCGUCCUGAUGUGAUUCUUGAGUAAACUCAUUUUCCUCCAUGUAAAAGGGUUUGGCCACGUUGGUGUGACUUCUAACACCUGUUAGCUUAAUAUUCUUAGGAUUUGCUGAACUAGAUCCUUCCUCUAUCCUAGUGGUUCUUAUUGGGAUAGAUGAACUUGAAGCUCUAGAGGGCUCAUAAUAUGAAAUUCUAAGGCUGCUAGAAUGAUGAAAAGAGUUGGAGAAAAUUAGAUCUCGUUCUCCAUCAGGAUAUUGAACAAUCUGUUCAAUUCUUUCAGAUCUUUGCUCUAUGGCUGGGACAACAUUAGCAAAAUGCCAAUUUUCUGGAAACUCAACCUCAUUCCACUUGAUUUUCAUGGGGACUAUGAAAUUAGACUUGUUUAUCAUAUCUAAGUGGAAGAUAGUGGUUUCACCCUUGGGACUGGUGCACAAUGCUCCAAAUCCAACGCUUAUGGUCAUGCUCUUAUAGGCAAAUCUGGUGAUGAUGGAAACAUGAUUGUUUCCUUGCUUGAACUUAAAGUCAUGGGUCUUAACAUGAAGGACAACUGAAUCUAAGAUGUUGACAUCUCUUAGUCUAACUGUGAAGUUAGGGAAACACUGGAAAUAAACAGGACCAUCAUUUAAUCCUGCUUGGGUAGCUCCAAUAAUAGAAUCUCGGUAAUCAAGAUGUCUAUUAUCUCUUAAACACAUGACAAUAAAGGUGUUUAGACCUAGUCUUGUCAAGGGCUUAGCUGCAACUUGAAUCAUGCCAAAGUGUAUGAAGUUGUAGUCUCGCUUAUGCUUAUCAAUGGACUUACUAUCCAAGAGUCUUAUGACUUGAUCGUCGUGUUCUAAACUUACUGACAUUUCAGGGGUUUUAAUGGUGUAAUCUGUAAAGAACUUAAAGGUUCCUUUCUUAUAAAUUUCUUGAUUAGGUACCUUGGGUAACUUCCAAUCAUCUAAAUCAUCUUGGAUCUUAGGAUAAUUGAUCUCUUCAUUGUUUACUCUUGAGAAUUUGUGGAUUUCCUAGACAUGGUUCUGAAAAUCAAACUCAUUUUAAGGUUUUAAUCUAGAGCCUAAUAGCAGAUUAACAGACCUAGUGAGUAAUCACCCCAACCCUUUUCCAACCUUAACAAACGCCUAUCUCCAGCUAACAAUGGGCUCAACUCGGCAAGGAUCGCACUCAGGCACACUACUAUCUUUCCUAGGAUAGAUCAAAACACCCAAAACAAACCCGACUUCCUUUUCCUAGGAUAUAUAUAGUAUUUUGGGUUUGAGUAGGAGUUCAUGUUUUGUAUGUAAUUGUAGUCUACGUUGGACUAGGUUGUUUGCUCCUAAUUGAAAUAGGAAUGGUUGGUGUCACAUCUCAUUCAUUUUCUCAUCUAUUUCCAUGUUUAGAUAACUCAAGUAAUCAUAGGAAUGAAAUUAAGAAUGAUUUGAGGGAAAUGAAAUCUCACUUGUAAGUGGGAUCUCAAUUCAUCAUUAAUAGAAGGUAUUUUGAUUACAUAGUGCAAGUUAUUUUUAAAAACACUUUUCAAAAAUUGAAAAACCAAAAACUCUCUUGGAUAAGUUGUUUUUAAAAAGAAUUUUUGUAUUUUUAUUUUGUAAAAAAAAAAAAUAGUAAUUCAAUUUAUAUAAUAUAAAUAGACUUUAAUUUUAUUAAAAAUAAAAAUAAUUUUUUAAUUACAAAUAAAUUAAAAAAUAAAUAUUUGUAAUAAAAUAUGAAUAGUAAUAUUAUAAUAAAAUCAUAAAUAAAUUAAAAAUAUUUUUAAAAACAAAUAAGUUUAAUUUUUUUGAGGUACAAAUGAGCCAAAUUUUUCAUUAGGUACACAACCAACAAUUUUUAUUGGAAACAUUCCUCAAAAAAGAAUUCGUUUCCCAUAUAGCAAAGAUAUUUAUUAUUUAGUAUCUAACCAUCCGUAGUAAUCAUAUCAAUUCUACUAAGUUAUUUAAUAAUUCAUUUAUAUAUAGUACUCAAUUAUGAAUUUUUUUAUUUGAUGUAUAAUUAAUUAAUCAAUGUUUUGAAUUUUGAAUUAUUCUUAAAAUUUAAAACAUUAAUUAUGUCUAUUACUUUUUAUAGUCAUUAUAUAUAUAUAUAUAUAUAUAUAUAGAGAGAGAGAGAGAGAGAGAGAGAGAGAGCUUAAAUUUAUCUUUAAAAAUUAUUAAAUUUAUUAAUAAAUUCAAUACAAAGACUCAUUUGAUUUGAAAUUCAUUUCUUUAGUGAAAAUUUUGAAACUAAAUAGUACUUUGUUUUACUUUGUUUUUAAAUCAUACUCACAAAUAAGUUUUUAUCAUUUAGCCAAAAAAUCUCAAAGAUGUUUCUAAUUUUAUUUAUUUAUUUAUUUGUAAAUGAAAAUAAAAAAUUAGUUUAAACUAAAUAUGCGGAUAUUAUUGUUAAUUUAUUUCAUUUUUUAUUUCCAUUGUUAUUUAACAUUGAAACGGAAACAAAUAAUCAUUCCAAUCUUACAUUCUUAUAUGCAUCUAAACACAAGAAUUGAAAUCACCAAAUUCAUAUUCAAGGCAAAAUAGAAAUGGAAAAAAAAUAUUCAUUUUCAUUCCUCAUUCUCAUGUGCUAAACAUGACAUUAGUUCUACUACCUAUUUCACCAUUCUUCUUGAUAAAUUUGGUAUAUGCAAUAUUGAUCUAAGUGUGAGGUGAAUAAGAAUGAUGAUGGGAUGGGCUUGGAAAUAAGGGCAAAGUUUCUAGGUGCUAUCUAGAGGGGCAACGCGACUUUUUCAAAUUUCGAAUAUUUGUUCUCAACAUAAAGCAAAACUUUACUCACACAAUAGAUAAGACUCUGUUUGUUUUCUUCAUCCACGACUAUAUAAUGUAUAGCUCUUACUCAAGGGAUGAGCUACUUACUAUUAAGGAUUGGGUAAGAUAUUGCCUAAUGGCCAAGAAGGCAUGUCAAAAAAUAAAUCUAAUCACCAUAAAAAAUAAUAGGGGAAAAUUAAUAUAUUAUGAAUGAUGACUUUACUAUUUCUCUAUAUACAUAAUUAUAUAUUUUGAAUUUUCUCACUAGGUAAUGAGAUUCUAAAUCAACUGAAACAUAAUUAAUAAUUUAUAUUUUUAAUGAAUCUUUUAAUUUUUAAAAAUAAUUUAAAAUUUUAAAAAACAAUUCAAUUAAUUACAUAUUAAAUCAAAACAUUUCAAAAUAUUGUGUUUGUAGAUGAGUACUAAAUGCUUGCAUAUAAUAAUAAUAAUAAAAAAAUUGACUCAUUUAGAUGUUAAAAAAGUUAAAUGUUUUUCAUUAUUCAUUUUAAGUAAAAUAUUAUUGACAUUAUUAUUAUAAAAUUAUUAUUAUUCAUUUUUAACAAAAAACAAAAUAAGUUAUUCUUUUACCAAGAUGUCAAUAUCUAUAUUUUUCUAACAUAUAUUAAAAUAGUAUACUUUUCUUUUAUUAAAAAUAAUAAUUAUUAUUAUAUUAUUAUUCAAGUUUUAUUAAAAAAAUUUAUCUUUUAAUUCAUUUGUAAUUACAAAAUAAUUUUAUUUUAUUAAGAAUUUAAUUUAAUUACGCUUUUUUUUUUUAUAAAAAAAACAGUUAUGCUUUUACCAAGAUGUUAAUAUUCAUAUUUUUCUAGCUAACAUAAAUAGAAUAGUACACUUUUUCAUAUAAAAAAAUAAUUUAUGAUUUUAUUAUAAUGUUACUAUUCACAUUUUACUAAAAAUAUUUAUUUAUUUUAUUUAUUUUUAAUUAUAAAAUAAUUUUAUUUUCAAGAAUUUAAUUUUAAAAAAAUAGAAAUCAUUUAUUCUUUUACCAAGAUGUUAAUAAACAUAUUUUUCUAACAUAUACUAAAAUAAAAAAGUUUACUUGUUCAUUAAAAAAUAUAAUUUAUGUUUUUAUUAUAAUACUACUAUCUAUGUUCUACUAAAAAUAUUUAUUUAUAAUUAAAAAAUAAUUUCAUUUUUAAUAAGACUUGAACUAAAUUAAAUUUAUAAUUUUUUUUUAAAAUAAAAUAGAAAAUUAUUUUUUAAAAACAACUUAUUGAAAGAAAUUUUUUAUUCUUUACUUUUAAGAACUGUUUUUAAAAGCAACCUAUAAACCCCUUUGGGUCUGUUUGGCUAUGUUUCAUGCAACUUGUUUUUAAAAAUUGUUUUUUAUUCUUUAAUUUAAUUUUUUUUAAGUUAAAGAAUAAAAAACAACUUUCUAGUGUUUUAUAAAAAUGAGAGCUUUUGACAAGUUGUUUUUAAAAACCAUUUUUAAAAAUAAAAAAUAAAAAACUUAUUUAGAUAAAUUGUUAUAUAUAUAUAUAUAUAUAUAUUUGUAAAAACAUUUUAAAUUCAAUUUAUAUAAUAUAAAUUUAAUUUAAUUUAAGUCUUAUUAAAAAAAAAUUGUUUGGAUAAGUUUUUUUUUUUAAAUAGUUUAUUAUUUUUGUUUUGUAAAAACAUUGCAAAUUCAAUUUAUAUAAUAUAAAUUAAUUUAAUUCAAGUCUUAUUAAAACCAAAAUAAUUUUAUAAUUACAAAUAAAUUUAAAAAUAAUUUUUUUAGUAAAACAUGAAUAAUAAAAUUAUAAAUUAUAUUAUUGUGGACCCUGCAUUUAUGCUCAUGCGCUUCCACUUGUUGGCGAACUCAUUUUUUAUUUGAAAAUGAUUUAUUUUUUUAGAAAAUGACUUAGAGUCGCCACUUAUUUUUGUUUUAUUUUUAAAGGGCAAGCAAAAUAAGAAAGAAAACCCUAAGUGUGACUCCUUAUUCGAAAAAGGUAGUCUGUGUAAAACCGGAUCAGGGUUCAGGGAUCAGGUUACUUAUUGGGAAGGUAUGACAAUGACCGUAGCACUCCUCUAAGUCCUUAAAAACGGGCCUCUACUAAAAAAAAUAAAGUAAUCAUGGCAAUCAGUAAGGAAAUCACUGGAUACCCAGAACAAUUAUGCACAUGUGAGAAUUAAAACAUGCAUAAGAAUGGACAAAGUGAGAGUGGGUGCGUACCUUGACAACGAACCACAAUGCGUUAUCAAGAAAUGGGGUUAGUGCACGAUCAAUGAACAUAAAACACGUCACACAUGUCACUAAGCAGAGUGAGAAAUCAUCAGAUAUUACAAUUCAAUCAAAUUUAUUUUUAGAAGAAACAUCUGUUGAUGUAGAGCCCCUACCAAAGCCUAAUUUAUUUUUGCAUGAAUCAAUUUCAUAAAUUCAAUCGCUUGGAAUUACAGAAUUAAAUUCAUGCUUAUUUUAAAACAUCUUUUUAAAAUCAUGGAAGAUGUGAAAAUGGUUUUCCAAAGAGAAAAUGACAACUGAUUUUAUUGAAAAUGGGAUUUUGGGGACCUAAACGUUAAAGAGGGAUUAGGAAUUGAAAAUUAAAUCAUUUGAAAAUUGAAUUUUUCAAAAAUCAGUUUUGAAAGCAUGCAUGCAAGUAUGGACUGUGAAAGUGGGCCUAGGGAGGGUGGCCAUGCAAAAUGAGGUCAUACACGUGGGCCUUGGGUACAAUUGGGACUACUUUGCUGGUGCCAGUGGUGCUUGCAGCUGUCAUCCAUGAUUUCUUCAUUGGGAUCAAUUUCCAUUCUUACUGCCAAACAUUCCAUAACAAUUGACCAAACUAGUAACCCUGACCUUGCAUGAAAAUGAACGUUACCUAGAAACUCACUGCCAGUGAGAUUCAUUGCUCUUUCAAAAGGUCUCAUUUUCUUUCUCAUCCAAUUGCUUUAAGGAGCAUUCUAGCGUCACGAUUGGUGACUGCGCAUCAUCUAGAGCCUUCUUUCUUCUCAGAAUCAGGUUUGCGUGCAGAGGCCUGUGCUUGUUCAAGGUUGACCUAAAUUCAUCUAGGUUUAGAACCGACCAGUUGAGCUUGGGGAGCAACGACAAGAAUAUCAGUCACUUGCGAAGAGAAAACUCGAGAUCUUUCAAGUAAUGCCUGACAUAGAUUCCUCCAACCUGUGGCCAAUAUCUCAUUCCUUGUUGGCCAGACGCCUAUUAGGGCGUAUCUCAAUCAAUAAUAUGAUUUUUCGUUUGUUCACAAUAAAGACCGGAAGCCAUGGUUGUGAUUUAUGCAGUACAGAAGAAGUUGCCAUGGCUGGUAUCCUUACAAAUUCUGGUGUUUCUGCUAUCUGUUCAAGUGCAAAACACAACAGCUUUAUCAAGUUUGUCCCUAACAACUGAUAUUGAGCCCUCUGGAGGAAACCUUGAUAAAUUCAUAAUCACUUUUGACUCAUGCAUGGGCUGCCCAUCAAAUUUUCCUAGCAACGAGACGACUGCUGUCAUCUACUGCAAAGAGAAUUUCUUCUCGCAAAGACAAGAGGAGUUUAAGAAUACACACUAUUCUGCCAUUUCAUUUCCUCUUUCUCCACAACCAACAUAAACCAUAGUGUCUACAUUAGAGUACUUAGAAAGAGCUUAACUGAUGACCGUUUUUCCACAACCAAAUGCCCCAGGUAUGGCACAAAUUUCACCGAAAACAGAAGGGAAAAGGGCAUCAAGAACACGCUGUCCUGUAAGUAGUGGGGUAUCAGGACUACUCUAGGGAAGUUAUUUCUGUCAUUUUGAAAAAGAAAAAUUAAAGAAUGUACACAUGCUUUCAAGUGGACUGGAGCAUUCUACAUAUCAGGUGGUCUGUAGCCACAUGUGCCACUUUGUGGAAGUUGGAACAGUCGAUCACUAGGCUAUUUAGUGUGGCCAAGCCACGUUAAUCAAGGACAAGUCUUCAUACUUAAAAGUCAAAUGGUGCCUUUAGUCUCAUUACACAUGGCUAUUUAAAGAUGAACUAAUCUUUAGUGUAAUGUGAUUAAGACAGUACUAACUGAUCAAUAUUUUUUCUAAUUUUGGAUGCAAAUGCUUGCUGGCUUCAUCAUUGGAUGGGAUAAAGGUGCAUUCAUGACUCUGAAUACUUGCAGUAAUACUUGCAGUAAUACUUCAUUCUCUUUUUUCUCGAUGAGACUUCUUGGCACAAUUUUGCUUCUCAGCAACCUACCUCUCCAUGGAAAAUGAGUUGCGAUUGAUGGUACUGGAUAUUUUCUAGGAAGCUAAAUAUAGAUAUAUAGCACUCAAUGUCAACGAUAUAUAUAGCAUUAACAGUAUAUGUCUCAAUGCUCAUCAGCUACAAGCAAGGGACAAACACUUACAAUGAAUAACUCACGUCAACAUUCCUAAACAGGACAUAGAAGUGACAGAUCUAUAUAUAGAACACUGCAUAUGAGUCACAAGAAAAGAUAAUACGGGUGCAUAGCAGCUCUUAUAUUACAUAUUACUCAUACCGUUCAAAUUCACUCAGUUGGGAUGGGUGGGAGAAGGAGGCCUCUGGGGUGGCUUGUGCGUGUGAGAAGUGGAAGAAAGUUGAAUGGAAUGAAACUGAAAAACAGGGUAGAAUAGAGGUUUCUUGAAUCUUCUGAAAUCUUUAUUUUUCUGAGAUUUAUUCUCUGUUUUUGUGAGUCGUGACUCUACAUAUAUACAUGUAUUUAAAGUUAGUUAUGCCUUAUAACUAAUUAUCUAACAGUACCAAAACUAAUCAUCUAGUUGCAUGUUUCUAAUUAAUGCUAUUUAGUUACAACUAUAUAUGGCUUAACAUCCUCUCUCAAACUCAAAAGUCUAGCUAGAACAGUGAGUUUGCUUCAUAGAUUGAGAAAUUGUUGAAUAGGUAAGGCUUUGGUAAGAGCAUUAGCAAUCUGGUCAUAAGAAGGAAUGUGUUGAACCACCAAAGUCUUAUUGAGCACCUUUUCCUGAACAAAAUGGCAAUCUAGUUCCACAUGCUUAACUCGAGAAUGAAAAUAGGAUUGGCAGCAAGAAAGGUGGCUGAAAGAUUGUCAUAGAACAAAACAAAAUAGGAGAAUAAGAAGAUGAGAUAGAAAACUCCUGAAGAAGAUGUUGAAUCCAUUGAAGUUCAAAAGCAACAUUUGCUAAGGCCCUAUACUCAGCUUCAUUGCUGGAACGAGACACAACUUUCUGCUUACUGGAGUUCCAGGAGACUAGAUUAGAGCUAAAAAAGAUGCAAUGACCACUUGUACUUCGACGAUCAUCAGGGCAACCAACCCAAUCAACAUCAGCAUAAGCAGUAAGUUGAAAAUCAGGAGAAGAAUAAAAGGAAAGACCAAAGGAAGUAGUGCCCUUAAGAUAAUGCAACAAUCGUUUAACAACUUGCCAAUGAAGAUCAGUUGGUUAUUGCAUGAAUUGGCAAAGUUUAUUGAUAGAGAAAGAGAUGUCAGGCCUUGUAAUGGUACAAUAUUGCAGGGCUUCAACAAUGUUGCGAUAUUGAGAAGGGUCAGCCAAGAGGGAACCUUUAGAGGCAGAUAAAGUGUGAGAGGUAGUCAUUGGUGUAUCAAUAGGUUUAAAAUAUGGAAGACCAGCACGAGUUAACAAGUCCUGAAUAUAUUUGGUUUGGGAAAGAUGAAGAGAAGAUCCUUGCCAACAUACUUCUACACCCAAGAAGUAAUUCAGAAUACCAAGGUCCUUGAGAGCAAACUGAAAGUGUAAAGACGAAACCAUUUGGUGGACUAGCACGGUAUUAAGACCACUAACAAUAAUGUCAUCAACAUAGAUGAGAAUAAUGAUCAUGUCAGUCCCUUUCCGAAGAGGAGCUUGCUUCAGACCCUACAAGGCUUUGCGAAGUUUACAGAAAAAACCGGGUUUAGAAUGAUCAACAAAGCCUGGAGGUUGAACCAUGUAAACCUCUUCUUCUAACUCACCAUUGAGAAAGGCAUUAUUAACAUCUAAUUGUUCCACUAACCAACCAUGAGAAAUAGCAAGAGAAAGAACAAUUCAUAUAGUAGUUGGUUUAACAACAAGGCAAAAGGUUUCAAAAUAAUCAAUACCAUAUGUUUGAUUAAAACCCUUUGCAACUAAGUAGGCUUUAAAACGAUCAAUUGAGCCAUUAGCUUUGAGUUUCAGCUUGUAUAUCCAUUUACAACUAAUAAUGCGUGUAUUAACAGGUUUAGGAACCAAUGUCCAUGUGGAAUUGGUGAGAAGAGCAUCAUACUCAGUCUUCAUAGCAGCUUGCCAAUUAGGAUGCAAUAUUGCUUCUUUGAAAGAGGAGGGUUCGACAACAGUAGUUUGGAUAGCAAGGCUAAAUAUUUUUUUGGGUUUAAAAAUACCAUUUUGGCUACGAGUAACAAUAGUUCGGUUUGGAAGUGAAAGAGGAUCAGUGGAGGAGGCUGGAACAAGGGAUUGUGGUAAAGUAGGAAAGGAAGGUGGAUGAGAUGGAACAAAAUCAGUAGGGACAAUAAUGGGAGAAGAAAAAUUAGGUGGAGAAUGAUGAGGAUUCCUUGAAGAUGGUGUAGGAAUAGAGAGAAUACCAGAAUCAAGAAGUGUUAAAGAAGAGUUGGAUGAUGAUACUGGUUGACAGGAUAAAGACUUUGUUAAAAAUGGAAAUCGAGUUUCAUCAAAUACAACAUGACGAGAAGCAUAUAUCCGAGAGGAAGCCAUAUCCAAACAGAGGAAUCCCUUGUGUUUAGCACUAUAACCCAAAAAACAGCAAACAACAAAUAUAUUUGCUAGCUUGUGAGAAGCAUAAGGGCGAAGAUAAGGAAAACACAAGCAUCCAAAACUUCAAAGAGAUGUAUAAUAAGGUAAACGAUUAUAAAGAACUCCAUAAGGAGAAUUUUGUGAAAGAACAGCAGAGGGAAGGCAAUUUAUGAGAAAAAUGGCAGUUUGAAAUGCAAAUGACCAAUAUUUGAGAGGGUAUACCAGCUUGUAUUAACAAAGAAAGACCAACUUCCACAACAUGACGAUUCUUUCUUUCAACUCUUCAAUUUUGCUAAGGAGUAUAAUGACAAGAGACUUGAUGAAGAAGACCAUUUGUAGCCAAAUAAUUCUGAAAAGCUGAAACUGAAACUCAUCAAAUUGAUUUUUAGUAUCAAAUUUUCUUCAGACUGAACACAUUGAUUUUUAGUAUCAAAUUUUCUUUCAACCAUGGCUUGAAAAUGUUGGAACAUAAGUAAAGCUUCAUCUUUAGUUUCCAAAAGGUACAACCAUGAGAAUAUGCUAAAAUCAUCAAUUAGCAAGAGGAAAUAUUGAGCAUUACCAUUGACAGAAACUAUAGGAGUUGCACCCCAAAGAUCAACAUGGAUGAGACCGAAUGGUUUUAUUGCUCUAGAAGUGGAUAUUUCAAAUGGAAAACGAUGGCUUUUAGCCAACUGACAAGACUCACAUACAGAGUUAUUAUUGUCAUGUUUCAAAGGUAUUUUAUAAAGAGAUAAGAUUUUGGAAACUACAUUAAUAGAGGGAUGACCAAGUCUAUUAUGCCAAAGCCUCAAAGAACCAACGGCUAAAGUACUACUAGUAGAGUAAAAUACUAGUGGAUGACCAACAACUCUUGGUGUAGCAAGAAGUUUAUAGAGACCCUUCUCAAUUUUUCCUUGAAGAAGAGCAAGUCUCGUUUCCUGAUCCUUUACCACAAAAUGAGAAGAACGAAAUUCAAUAAAGGUGCCAUUGUUUGAGUAAAAUCGUUGCACGCUAACUAAGUUGGUGGUAAUAGAAGGAACAUGUAAGACAUCAUUGAAAAACAAAGAACCACUUGAAGAGGCAAGAGAAAAUUUACCAAUAUUUGCAAUGGAUAAACCCUUACCAUCUCCAACAAUUACUUUGUCACCACUGGUAAAUGGAUUAUGGAUUGUUAAAUUGUUAAGAUCAGAUGUGAGAUGAUGGGUAGCCUUUGUAUCAAGAAACCAAUAAGUGUCUCCCAUUGUUGCAGAAGUUGUAGUCAUAGCCUCAGGAUUGUUAGAGGUGGAAUGUUUAGAAUCUUUUGGCUGAUAAUCAGAGUUAAACCGAUACCAGCAUUGUAAAGCGGUGUGUCCGAACUUACAACCGAGAGAAAUAAUCUUUACUUAUUCUCUAAAAACUGUUCUUUAUUCCACACAUUAUUUCUAAAAACUGUUUCUAGAUAACAAUGACAAAAUAGUAUUAGGAAUUUUUAAAAAUAAAAAUUGUUUUUAAAUUACAUGAUCUAUAUCAUUCACAUUUGACCAUUAUAGCUUUGUUCAGGAAAACACUUGAAAGUAACCUUAUCGUGAUAAGAGAUAUAAGUUGGCUGUAGUUUCAAACUGAAAACAGAGGAUGGCAAUAGAAAGCAAAGCAUUAGUUAUCUGCAAUCAGUGGUGAUCAUGCCCCAUGUCAAUUUCGGACCCAUAUCUUAAAACCGUAUAAUUUGCAUUUCAACAUUUCUGAUUUCUCAGAUGUUUCAUACUCCACAGAAGAACAUUGUUUGUGAAAGCAUGCAUUUAUGCUGGAUUUUGGAUGAUGUGGGAACUGGGGCAAGGAUCAUAUGGAAGAGUGGUCGAUUUUUUCUGUACUUUAACAUUUGAAAUAGGAGCAGCACGGGCAUUUGUGGGGCUUAAUUGAUUUUGAAGCCUGAAAUUGCGUUUCUGUCAUUUUGUAAAAAAUAUGGCAGAUUCCAUGCUCUCAUAUGUUUGGUCUGUGGCCAUGUAUAGAUGCCACUUAGUGACCAGUUUGUAACUGUCAAUCAUAGUGUUUUGACUCUGGCUCAACAACAUCAGCCAUUGACGGAUUUUCAUACAUGCAAAUCAAAUAGUCUUCUUCCUCCCUUAGGAAUUUCGGUUUAAAUGUUAUUAAGCAUACAUUUGGCUGACAAUUAUUAACCACUUCAUGAUAUGGUUUCUUACCCUUAAUCAAUGGUUUCUAAGUGAAUAUAUGCAGAAGGAAAUCUGAACUGUAGACAGCAGUAUUGAUAAUUAUCAAUAUUCUUUAUAUAAGAGAAUAAACAACGUCAUAGUGAUCGUCGCCUACAAGAAAGGUACAUUUCCCAACAAGAUGUAGUUGUGACUGGUACAUGGACGUAAUUAACUCGUAGAAAAGGAUAAGACCAGUGCACGGCAGCUCUUAUUUUACAUGCUAAUUAUGCUAACCAAAGUCACUCAGUUGGGAUGGGAGGGAGAUGGAGGUUUGUGCGGUGGCUUGUGGGGCGGAGUUGGUGGCUUCUUUUCAGGAGCUUGUGGCUUUUUCGGAGCUGAAGGAGGCUCAAUCUUAUGAGGCGGCUUGUACGAGUCUUCUUUACUCUCGACAGGAGGGUGGCCAGGGUUGUGACCAUAAUGUGGUGGCUUCUCUCCCUUAGGUGGCUUGCCAACUGGGGUUGGUGGCUUGUGUUCAGGAAGUGGUUUCUCUCCCUUGGGAGGUUUACCAAUUGGGGUUGGUGGCUUGUGUUCUGGGAGUGGUUUCUCUCCCUUGGGAGGUUUAGUGGGUGACUUGUGUUCUGGAGGUGGCUUCUCCACCGGAGGCUUGUGCUCCGGUGGUGGCUUCUUGGUUGGAGGGGGCUUGGGGUAAUCAGCAAGAGAUGGGGGGGUGAGAACCACCACUCCAAGGAACAACACUAGCAAGUAUGUGGGAGACAUUUCUGAGUUUGAGCUGAUCAGAUGAUGCAAAACUAGAAGAAUUACGUGACCUUUUAUAGCAAGUAGCUCCCAAUACCCACAUGACACGUGUUACUGUGACCAUAAAUAUUAUAGGGUCCAUUUGUGCCCUACCGGGUUGAAAACUUGGACGCUUGGCCGAGGACACACCGAACUAUGGAGGACUAUUGACGUGUGAUCACAGCUUUUGGAUUUUUCUUCCUGUGCAGCUGUCUAGCGGUUGGCAUUAUUUUUUUAAUCUUAAAUAAAGGCAUAGUUAUAGAGUACAUUUAUAUAUCUUCAGAUAGCCAUUAAUAUAUUUGAUGAAGAAAGACAAGUGCAUACAACAUGUAUACGGCUUGCUUCAAUCGAGUACAUUUAUGAUCAGUUUUCCAGUGCAAGUAAACCAGUUUUUUGUUCCACAACUAUUUUGGAAUCUUGUUUAUCAGUUUCUAUCAUUAUAAUGUCACAUAGGCUGCAAACUUGGGCACCCAAAGAUCUAGUUGGGCAAAUUUGUUUCAGAAUUUCAAUGGUGGAUUCAGUAAUUGUUAAAAGGUGUUUCUUCAUUAAGGAAAGAGUCCUGUAAAAAUAUUGUUAAAAGGUGUCAUAGAAACUAUAAUAAUUAAAUAACUUCUUUUCCCCGUGGGUGGUGUUUCUUCUGGGGAUACCCAAAAUGAGUUCAGAUUAAAAUUGGUUCGAGUCAAAGCUGUCUCUUUUGUCCAGAAAUCAACUAUUUUGCGCAUUGCAUGAAUCGAUAAAGAAAAAAUGAAAGCCAAAUCACACCUCCCCUGCAAAACCUAAACCCCGGUUGCUAACUUUCUAUGUUUCAGUCCUAUUCAUACAGGAAUAUUGGUUCAAGUUUGAGAAAAAUGGCAACUUACCUAGGGAUUACUUGGUUGUGGUUUGCGACGACUAUUUACGCAACCAACCAUGAGUUUGACUUUAACGUCAUGGGUUGAAGCCUCCUACAAUCGUGUAUGAUAGUUCAAAGCUCGUAGUAGAAAUUAUACAGGAAGGAAGAAACCUCCAAAGCUAGCUCCAAAAGAGAAUUAUCACAUCGAUAGCUCCAGAGAUUCCCAAGGGGACUGAAUCAAAGACAAGUUCCUCACUUUUUCUUCUUUUGAGGCCAAAUAUGAACCAAGGAUCACACGACCUCAUUCAACUUCAUAAGUUUGAUUUCAUGCAGUUGAACACUGGGUGAAGGCCAUGACAAGAAUUGAUUAAAAAAUUCUACCACUGUUUUAAGUAAUGGAAGAUUAUUAUCUCUGAUUGGCACCACAACAGCACAUGCUGCUAGAUCUUUCUAGACACUCCAUGCAAUGAAAGUACAAUGGAUCUUGUAACGAUAGAAACUAAGCCAUGCUACAGUACUAGAUGACGAGGUAAAACUAUUAGACAUGGGUGGCAGCCUAUAUGGGAGGGACACAAGUCUAAUUGAUUUGCAUUUCAGCGUUCUAGAUGGGUAUGUUUUGGAAGAUUUGUUCUGGAAAUACCGCACCAAGUAGGAUUCUUUUUUCUCUUGAGUGGGUCCACUUGCAUGCCAAUUAUCGAGUUGAAAAGUAGAGCACCUACCUCGUGCUCGUGGAACCGAAGGUCAGUGAAGUGGGGCUCCUUUUGGCCUCUUGUGUUUCUGUUCCAACCAAGGCGGCGGAGGGAAAAACAGCAAUAUGUCUCCGCUAAAUAUCAACGCAUGAUAGCGAAUGAGGGAGAAAAAAAGUAAUUGGCAUCUCAAUCUCACAAACUUGGUACAGUAGUGACAUUAAUAGUCUUCCACAUGGUUUUUAUUUUAUUUUAUUUUAUAUUUUAUAUUUUCCAUUUUUUUAUUUUUUUGUAUGUCAAGGCUAAUGAAUAAAAUGCGUUAGCUUGUUUUGUGAUUGGAACUGCAAAUGUCCAAAUUGGAGUUUCUCCAUUUCUCAGUUCGGAUGGUUAACUUUAUAAACAAGAUAUAGGAAACAUGUGAACGUCUUGAGGAACAAUUCGAAUUAUUGAUUAGAACUCCUAGGUUGAGUUCCAAGAUUUAAAUCAGACCCCUCUAGCAGCUUCAGGGGUACCUAGCAAUUAGAACAUAUUAAUGAAGAUUUAGGAUUUAGACUCCGGAAUACAAAUUAAUAUGUAUCUUAUGCUCUGACUAGCUUCCCUGCAUAUGCACAAAAUGGAGAUGACCCAAAAAAUAGCAGAAUCGCCUUAGUUUAUGUGGUUAAGGUGAUUCUCCGGUUAAUAUCCACAUUGGCUCAUUAUGCAAAUCAACUGAGCUAUUUUUUUUUUAAUGUCAAAUAGGAACUCCUAAUUAACCUAACCAUUGGCCUGUGUAAAUUGAUUUCACAUGCACAAUGUUGUAGUAGAAGUCCACAUUUUGAAUUUUAUUUUUGGAAAGGUAAGGAAAAUGAAGCAUUGUGUAAUUAUAAAAAUAACUUCAUUGGAAUUCACAAGGUUCACCCAAAAUGGAGCUACAUCCGUAUUCUAUCUUACAGUAGACUAUAUAGAUUGUACAAUAGUAAAUUGCAAAUACAAUUAAUAAGUCUUGUGUUUCCUUACUAAUAAUCCUUUGACAUAAACAUUGCAGCACUAAGGUCCUCUUGGGCAGACACCUUGCACCCAUGAGAGCACUAAGAGGAAGCAAGGCGGAGUCAUGGGUGCAAUGUCAUGACUUGUUGCACUAAGAGAGGCUUGGUGAUGGCAUAGUGCUGCAGUAGCAAGAAUGUUGCCUUGGCAGGGACACGAUCUAGGGACAGAUGCCAAGAAAGGCUUAGCACUCACAUGAGUUGCACAAAGAUGAAUGAAAUAGAACAUCAAAGAGACAUCUUGGCAAGCUCAAGAAAGACAUGUGGGUUGGUAAAUGAAUGGAUGCAAGAGGCAACAACAUGAGGAGUUUCAAAUGGAUAGGGAAUGAGUCAAAGACAUUUGAAAGCUACAAGUUGGAUUCUAAUUACGAUUGCAAUUUGAGUUUGAGUAGGAGUUUAUAUUAUGAUUGUAAUUGUAGUAUGAGUUGGACUAGGAUUGCUUAUCCCUAGUCAAAAUAGGAGUUGUUCAUGCCACACCCUAUGAAAAGAGUUUGAGUAGGGACUAGGAUUGCUUGCUCCUAGUCAAAUAUGGAGUAGGUGGUGCCACACCUAUAAAAAAAAAAGGGACAACAUGAGAGAGAGAGAGAAUGAAUUCACCAAAGAUAUUGUGGGAGUUUUGCUUUGUUACAUCUUGUAUUAUUAUUUAGAAUAGUAAUAAAAUACAAGUUGGGGCUAGAGCCCCAUAAUCUCGUGUGCCUUUGUGGGUUAUUCUUUAUUUGCCAUCUCGUGUGGAUUGGAUUAGAUUGAUGAGGCGAAAUAUUAUGUGGGAAAUUUAUGUUGGGACACUUACCAUAACCAGGUAAAAUCUACCAAGUCUUUUGUAAUAUCUUCUACAAAUAUUUUAGACCAGUUCUUCACAAAACAUCAUAAUAUGUUUUGUGUUUCUCUUGGAUUUUGAGUUGAAUUGUCUUAGAUCAAUUGAAUGCAUCUCAAUAUUAUUAUCUUGUUUGAAGGCUUGAUGAUUUUCCAUUUAACUUUACUUUCUUUAGGUUAUGCUUGAUUCCUUAAAAGUACUAAGGAAAACAAAAAAUAAAAAAAAAUAAAAAAUGCAGAGGGUUAGGACAUGUGUUAUCUAAUUGUCCUAUCCAAAGAUAUUAAGAAAGUCAUGUAGGAAAGUAAUUGAAAACUAGGUCAAGAAAGGAGCAAAAGGGAAUUGUUUUGGUAUUUUCUUUUUUAUUCUUGAAGGUGGCAGAGCUAAAAUUUGAGAAAUCAAGCAAAACAUACUGAAAUUACAUUGAAAGAAAGAAAAUGGUAGUUAAUGUCUUGCAGUACAUGAUAAGGACUUCAUGCAUGUAGUGUGACGACCCAUGUCUUGGACUGAUGCCACACUCACGGUUACACUUAUACCCUUGGUUCUCUCUUUACUACCUUGGCUAACCUAGAUCAGGCUAUGAGAUAGGCUCCUCACCACACCAUCACUUGCCCAGUAAUUAGUGACAUUUUCAAGCAAUGAGGUAACAUGGUGACACCAAGAGGGUUUAUCCCUCGCCCCAACAAGUCUAGACUCGGUCUCAAAAAAAUGGAGAAAAAUGAGGUGUCGUUAUGCAGAAAUACAACAACCAUGCCUUCCUUAUUACUUAGAUUCAGAAUGUGAAGGUGAAAUUGAGAAACAGAAACUCUUGAAACCAGAAUGAAAAUUGAUACUUUUACGAAGAAUUACAACAUUAGAGGAAGACUACAUUCUUCCUCUAUAUUCCUACGUUUCUACACUACUUCUACUCCACUCCAUAUUUCUACAUACAUCUUUAAUCAGUUUUCCCUCCUUUAUAUAGAGCCAUCUUCACACAAAUUCCGCAAGGUAGAAAAGAGGAAUGAAACUUGGAGCAAGGUUCGACUACUGGUUGUCGCUUGUCAAGGCUGGAAUUGAACUUUUUUUCUUGGCUUUUCUGGGCAUAGGUAGUAACUUGUGGUUCCUUUUUGGAAUGAAAAUGGUACAGCUAGAACAUGUGGCACUCUCUUGUUGGAUUAUGUGUCAAACAUGUGGCAGCCAUCUAGUGGAGAUUAUUUCAAUUUUGGGAUGGAGAGUUGGCAUCCAAUUGCAAAGAAAUAUGACAUCUACCAACAUGCAAUGUAAACCUAUAUAGAUCAUAUGGAGAUAGAGAGGAAACAUAUAGAAAUGGAUAUAUACCUAGAACUAGCUUUUUAUUAAAUGAGACGGAGAGCCAACAAUGAAGGAAAAUCAAAAUUUUUGGCUCAUAUCAAAGAAUUCACAUUGUGUUACCCUAGGUUUUCUUAAAGCUUGCACAAAGCCAAAAAGCACACAAAAAAUUAUAUUUUCUAGCUCUCUACCUUGGAUGGUCUCUUGAUCCUACUUGGAGAUGUGCAUAAAUAAAAGGAUUUGAAAAUGACAAUUGACUAAGUAUGUAGUCAAUCAAUUACUCAUUAAUUGACUAGUUGAUCAAUUAACUUUGCAACAUCAUAUGCAAUCCUAAUAGCUAGUCAUCUAAUCAACUAGGUAGUAAAUCAAUAGGCCAAAAAUAUGUUUAUAAUGACUAUUUUGUACAAAAACCACCUAUAUGGUUAAAUAUAAUGCAUUUCAUUUAUAAAUCUUCUAAUUCUUGAAUAACGAUCCUAUCAUCCUUUGAAAGUUUUUAUUACACCUUUUAUACUUUUGUUCUAAAACUUACACAUGUACAUCACCCUUAAUUGUACCAUGAGAACCUAGCUUUUUUUUUUUUUUUUUUUGUAAUUCAUCAAAGUUAGCUUUUGUAUUCAUUACUGUACUAUUUUUAUUGUAACUUAGAAAGCGAGUGUUUUCAAGUGAGUGAAAUUGACUUAUAAAUAUUGUAAAGAUUCAUUGAUGUGUAUCUUAAACUAAGUGUACAAGUUGAAACAUUUGCUAGUAGAUUUUCUCAAGAUUUAGAAUAGAGCUUGAGGCUAUUGAAAUAGGUGGGGUUGCACCAAACCACAUCACAUUGUUGUUUGCACCUUUUUUUCACUCUCUUUUACUUAGUUGCUCUAUAUUUGUUGUCUAGUAAUAUCCUAUAGGCUUGAUGGGUUAGGGAGCAUCCCUUUGUGAAAAAUUUUCAUUCAAUCCUUAGUUGUAUCACGCAUAUAUAAAAUGCCUCAUUGUUUUAAUGGUAUUCAGUCGUGGCAUCACAGAUAUGGGCAUCUAAAUUUUAAAAGUUUGAAACUUUUAUCUAAAGAAAAUAUGGUGCUUUGCCUUUUUGUAAAGCAUGUUGAUGAAAUCCAUGAGAAUUGUGUACUUGGGAAGCAACAUCGAGAUGACUUUUUUUUUUUUCAUUUUUUAUAAUGCGACACCUAAGUCCGGUUUCUAAAUGCUGAAGUGAAAGGGUAGGUAUGGACCAUUGAAAUCUGAUCACAACUUUUGGCCUUUUCCUUUCUCUGCAGCCAUGUUGUCUCUUUUUUCUUUUGCAUGAUUUUCUUACCUAAACAGAAUCAUAGACUUGUUUAAUCUCUAAAUGGUAUUUCAUCCAGCUUUAAGCUACUGUAUUAUAUCUUGGUGGAGGACUUUUAAGAGUGAAACCGACAUAGAGCACAUGCAAGUGGGUAUAUGGGACAUGAAAUUUCUUCUUAUAAAGACUGCAUGGUUUUUAUAUUAGAGUUGUUGAGGCGCAAUGUAUUUAGCUUGUUUUGCAGUUAAAUUAAUUGGAUAAGUAGACAUUGUCGUUUCUAAAUUUCCCACCUAAGAUAGUGACCUUAUCCUUGACUGCUUGAUGAGAUACACAAACAAUUAUACCUUCAAAAUCUACUGUGAAGUGCUUCAUGUAUGUGUGAAGUAUUAGAAAUUUCUUUCUUGGCAACUUGUUUUUUCUUUGCCCUCUACUGAUAGGUUUGACUCAAAUUAAAUUCCCUGUCAUGCUAAUUAAUUUUCACGUGCAUGCUCAAAAGGAUCACGUCAACUCUGGUUUCUACUAUUCAGGUCCAUUCCCAGAUAAACUGGUUCAAAUUUGAGAAAAUGGCAACAGCCCUUUAGUGAUGUUGGUUUGGAGCCAGUAGCCAAACCCGCCCUGAGCUUUACCACUAAUGUCAAGGGACAAAGCCAUUUGAACAAAAACAAUAGCUUCAAGAGACUGAAUCGUGGAUGAAAUCUGAUCCACAUUUCUUCUCAUUUUGGGAACAAAUGAGAACUUAACUACAAAGAUUCUACUGCCUCAUAGUGCUUUUCCUGAUCUAAGGUUGGUUCGUUUCCCAAAUUGUGAGGUACGUGCCAUUCUCACGCUCAGGAGUGUAUCCACGUGGUGGACAUAAGAUGGUGGCUUAAUAUCUGGUGUCGGUGGCUUUACUUUACUAGGAGAGUAGUGUGUCUUCAUCUCAUUCACUGCCGGAGGGUGGCGUAAGCAGUGACGCUAAGGUGGGGCACAGUCAAUAUCAUUUGCAUUUGACCAUUAUAGUUUUCUCCCGGCUUGAAAGUAACCUUAUCGUGAUAAAGGAUUACUAGCACUAGUUCAGAUGACAGUCAUGUUAAAUUCGGACCAUGUUUGUGUCACAUUAUCAGCAACCAUGUGUUUAUGGUUCAUGCUAUCUGCAACUAAACUUGAUAUAUAACCACGUGAACUUCAAUCUAAAUUCUGGAAGUACUCUUGUGAUAGAUGGUGCCUGUCUGCAGAGUCCAUCAAUUGAAAAAUGGAGUGAGUGUAUCUAUAAGAGGGAAGGCUUGGCAAAUGUUCAGUUUUCUGGGAACUCAACAAGGAUCUAAAAUAGAUUGUUUUCUUUGCUGAUUUCAAUGGUUGAAAUUUGAGAAGAUUGUGUCCACAUAACACAACUAUUACUGGUCCUUCUGUUGCAAUUUAUCCUCUAAGGCUCUAACAUGUCUUCCAAUUCCCACUUCCCUGUUACUCCAGGAAAGCUAUUUCUGUCAUUGUGAAGAAGAAAAGAGAAUGUACAUAUCGAUGGUUUUAAGUGACUGGGGCAUUCAUAUCAGGUGGUCUGCAGCCAUAUAUGCCACUUUGUGAAGGUUGGAACAGUCAAUCACCAGGCUAUAUUAGUGUGGCCCAGCCACUUCAAUCAAGGACAAGUCUUCAUACUUAAAGUCAAAUUCUGCCUUUAGUCUCAUUAUAAAUUGCUGUUUAAAUAUUAAGCAAACAUUUGUUUAAUGCGAUUAAGACAGUACUAACUCAAUACUUGUUCUAUUUUUGGAUGCAAAUGCUUGAUGGUUUCAUCAUUGGAUGGGAUAAAGGUGCAUUCAUGAUUAUGAAUACUUGUAGUUAUAUUUUCAUUCUCUUUUUUCUCAAUGAGACUUGUUGGCACAAUUUUGCUGUUCAGAAACCUACCUCUCCAUCGAAAAUCAGUUGUGAUUGAUAGUACUGGAUAUAUUCAAGAAAGCUAAAUAUAGAUAGCACCAAAUAUUAUCGAUAUAAAUAGCAUUAACAGCGUACGUAUGUCUCAAUGCUCAUCAGCUAUAAGCAACGGGCAAACACUUACUAUGAGCAACUUGCGUCAAAAUUCCAGAAUAGGACAUAGAAGUGACAGAUCUAUAUAUAUAUAGAACACUGCAUAUGAGUCACAAGAAAGGAAAUUACGGGUGCAUAGCAGCUCUUAUUUUACAUCCUACUCAUACUGAUCAAAGUCACUCAGUUGGGAUGGGUGGGAGUAGGAGGUUUGUGGGGUGGCUUGUGCGGAGGAGUUGGCAGCUUCUUUCCAGGACCUGGUUGCUUCUCUGCUGGAGUUGAAGGAGGCUUAAUCUUCCGAGGUGGCUUGUAUGAGUCUUCAGCAUUCUCAGCAGGAGGGUGACCAGGGUUGUGACCAUAAUGUGGUGGCUUCUCUCCCUUAGGUGGUUUGCCAACUGGGGUUGGUGGCUUGUAUGAGUCUUCAGCAUUCUCAGCAGGAGGGUGACCAGGGUUGCGACCAUAAUGUGGUGGCUUCUCUCCCUUAGGUGGUUUGCCAACUGGGGUUGGUGGCUUGUGUUCUGGGAGUGGCUUCUCCCCCUUGGGAGGUUUUUCCAAUGGGGUUGGUUUGUGUUCAGGAGGUGGCUUCUCCACUGGAGGCUUGUGUUCAGGAGGUGGCUUCUCCACCGGAGGCUUGUGUUCAGGAGGUGGCUUCUCCACCGGAGGCUUGUGUUCAGGAGGUGGCUUCUCGAAUGGGGGAUGCUCAGGGUAAUCAGCAAGUGAGGGGUUGGUGAGAACCACCAUGCCAAGCAACAGGACUAGCAAGUAUGUAGGAGACAUCUUUGGGUUUGGACUUAAGACAGUGGAAAACUGCGAGAAUUCUCUAGCCUUUUAUAGCGGGUCGACCCAGUACUCACAUGACACGUGUCAUUAUGACACAUGUGCCAUGGGGUCGAUUUGGGUCCUACAGUGUUGAAAAGUUGGGCAUUUGAGGUGUGAGCACAACUUUUGGCCUUUGCUUUCUCUACAGCCGCCAUGCUUUUCCCUUUUUUCCUUUUCCUUUUGUUUUCCUCCUGCCUCGUGUUCUCAACUAAACACAAUUAGGUUGUUUAAUUGUUAAAUGAGAUUUUUGUCUGUCAAUCAUAUUAUAUCCUAUCAAGAGAGAACAGAGUGUAAUGUAGUACACAUAACACGAGGCAGUAGUAAUUUUAUCAUUUAUUUUUAUAGCUUGGACCACCGCAUUUUUUCUUCUAAAAUAUUCUGUCUUGUUAAGAGACGCAAUAAUACACAAUUUUAUCUGCCAUUCAACAUUUACUGUAAAGUUCUUUUAUCUCUUUGUAGUUCUAGAAAAGUACAAAAUGGAACAUCAUGUAUAUGGUGCCUUCUGUCCUAAAAAAGAAACUGGACAAAUUAUGAACUGCAUGCUAAAAAGAGGCAAAGGAGCUUAAUUCGCAGCAUAAUUAUUUUGGUUUCUAGAGAGCCCGGGGCCUUUUGGUUGGUUUGGGGUCAGAAAAUGAACAUCAUAGGGAUUGUGCCCUUAACUGGCCUUGUUACUACAAAGAAAUUGCCAUAGAAAUUUAUUCCAGGCUGAGUAUCUCCGGAUAGACCCCAGAAAAGAAGAGUCAUAAUGAGAAUCAACCUUUGUUGAGUUUGAUUCCAUGCCUCCAUUGUGUUCAUUUCAUGAAUCUGAUUUGCAUUUAACAUUACAGUUUUGUUCUGGAAACAAUCAAAGGAGCAUCGUUUGCUUCUUGGGUGACCCAUAGUGGUGGGUGGGUCGAUUUGCUUAGUUGAAAAUUGGACAAUUGGCUCCAUCGCCUACCUCUUGGAUUCCAUGCUCGGAUAAAACGACAACAAAUAAAUAUUUAUAACUUACAACUGGGGAAAGGAAAAAAUAGUACUAAAUUCAUGGUACAUGAUAGUGAGAGAAGGGGGUGUUACACUCAGCUAAAGUUCUUUUCUAAAUAUUGCAUGGUGUUUAAUUUUAUGUGUCGGCGCGCGUGUGAAUGGAACCUGCAAAAGUCCAAAUUGGCGUUUCUCCAUUUUCCACAUAGGAUGGUGACGUUAAUAGACAAAGAUACAAUAUCUGUAGACAUUGCUUAAAAAUCGAUGUGAAGUAUUAGAAAUUACAGGCCACUGUACUGGGGGAGCGGCUGCCCCGCCAAAGGAAGAAUGUAGCAAUUUCUUCUGUUAGCCAGGCCUUAGGAUUUAUGCAUGGGAUGCCUAAUAACAAACAGAGAAAAUAUGCUUUUGGGGAAGGUAUCCAACAACAGACACCAUCAUUCAGAUGGUGGGAAGGUAUCCAACAGAUGCCAUCAUUCAGAUGGUAACAUAUAUAUACAUUUAUUAGUGAGUUUUUUUAAUACCUAUAAAAAAAAUAUACACUUUGAUAUUGUGGCUGAAUCCAUUACAUACUCAACUAACCUUGCUCAUUAGGGAUUUGACGUAACAAGGGCAACGUUGCAGUAAAAGCUCGAAACUUUAUGCAGGUGACAUUACAUUUGGUAAAGAAGAGGAAAAUAAGGAAAGCCAUCCAUAAAAGCAAAAUUCCUCAUGGGAUGAAAUUCACAAACUUCAUUUACGUUAGAGUCGCAUCCAGGCAAUUAAUUCCACAUUAGACCGCCUUUUGACAUGUGUACGGAUCUUUUUUCAAAAAUUAUUUAUAAAUAAUUGAUACUUACAAAAAUAAUUUAAGAUUUAUAAAGGAUAAAAAAAUAUUUUCAAAUCUAUGACAAUUUAUAAAAUAUUAAUAAAAAAUUAUCUCUUAAACUUAGUAUAGUUUUAUCGUAUUAAACUUUUAUUUUGAACAAAUAAUUUUAAUCUAAGUUUUAAAUUCUAAAAUUAUUUCCUUAAAAUAAAAUUUUAAAAUUCAACACUUCAAUUGAAAUUGUCUUUUAAAAAAAAUAUCUUCUUAUUUUAAUCCUUAUAAACUAUAGUUGAUUGAAAAUACUAUUGAAGUUCUCUCUUCAAAAAAAGUCUUAUUUUAAUCUUCAUAAAUUGCCCUUGAUUUGAAAAUAAACUUUGGGUUAUCAUAUUUUAAAUAAUAUAUAUAUAUAUAUAUAUAUAUAUAUAUAUAUAUAACAAAUACUCUAUUUUUUUUUUAAAUGAACUAAUUUUAAUUAUAUUUUAUUUUAUUUUUUUAUAUAUUUUUAAUGAUAAACCAAACAUAGAAAAUCAUUUUUCUAAAUAUUUUAAAAUUUCUAAGCAACCAAACAUAAUCUUCAAAAUAAAAGGAGAAUAAGGAGGGACAAGUGAGAAAUGGCGAUUAAAAAAAAGUGUACAAAAGCUCAAUUAAUUUUCUUCUAGUCUUUUAUAUAAAAAAGUAUUGGUAUGUAAAUUAAUAUUUGGAUUUUAAUAGUAUUUUAUUUGUCUUUCUCUAUCUCAUGUAAAAGAGAAUUUAAGAUAUUUCCUAAAGCAAAGCAUUAGUUAUCUGCAAUCAGUGGUGAUCAUGGUCCAUGUCAAUUUCGGACCCAUAUCUUAAAACCGUAUAAUUUGCGUUUCAACAUUACUGAUUUCUCAGAUGUUUCAUACUCCACAGAAGAGUAUUGUUAGUGAAAGCAUUUUGUAACUGUUACUCAUAGUGUUUUGACUCUGGCUCAACAACAUCAGCCAUUGACGGAUUUUCAUACAUGCAAAUCAAAUAGUCUUCUUCCUCCCUUAGGAAUUUCGGUUUAAAUGUUAUUAAGCAUACAUUUGGCUGACAAUUAUUAACCACUUCAUGAUAUGGUUUCUUACCCUUAAUCAAUGGUUUCUAAGUGAAUAUAUGCAGAAGGAAAUCUGAACUGUAGACAGCAGUAUUGAUAACUCUCAAUAUUCUUUAUAUAAGAGAAUAAACAACGUCAUAGUGAUCGUCGCCUACAAGAAAGGUACAUUUCCCAACAAGAUGUAGUGGUGACUGCUACAUGGACGCAAUUAACUCGUAGAAAAGGAUAAGACCAGUGCACGGCAGCUCUUAUUUUACAUGCUAAUUAUGCUAACCAAAGUCACUCAGUUGGGAUGGGAGGGAGAUGGAGGUUUGUGCGGUGGCUUGUGGGGCGGAGUUGGUGGCUUCUUUUCAGGAGCUUGUGGCUUUUUCGGAGCUGAAGGAGGCUCAAUCUUAUGAGGCGGCUUGUACGAGUCUUCUUUACUCUCGACAGGAGGGUGACCAGGGUUGUGACCAUAAUGUGGUGGCUUCUCUCCCUUAGGUGGCUUGCCAACUGGGGUUGGUGGCUUGUGUUCAGGAAGUUGUUUCUCUCCCUUGGGAGGUUUACCAAUUGGGGUUGGUGGCUUGUGUUCUAGGAGUGGUUUCUCUCCCUUGGGAGGUUUAGUGGGUGACUUGUGUUCUGGAGGUGGCUUCUCCACCGGAGACUUGUGUUCUGGAAUUGAUUAAAAAAAUUCUACCACUCUUUUAAGUAAUGGAAGAUUAUUAUCUCUGAUUGGCACCACAACAGCACAUGCUGCUAGAUCUUUCUAGACACUCCAUGCAAUGAAAGCACAAUGGAUCUUGUAACGAUAGAAACUAAGCCAUGCUACAGUACUAGAUGACGAGGUAAAACUAGUAGACAUGGGUGGUAGUUGAUUACUACUCAAAAAGUACUCUUUUAUAGUUUGAAACUAACUGUUUUAAACACUUUUGAGUAGUAGUUAAUAAAUUUUAACUCAAUUGGCACAUUAAGGAACCUAGCAAGGGUUACUAAUAAACUUUUGGCAAGUUUUGGUGUUUUUGGUAGUUAUUCGAUCAUUGAAACAAGCCAAGAAUGAGGGAGAAUUUUGUGAAGUCCAUGGCAAUGCAAGUUAAAGCUCAAAUACACGAAGAAUCCAAGCUUUGGAGCACUACAUAGCCCUUUGCCAAGCCAAUUAGAGAUGCAAGGAACAAAACCAAAGGAAGAAAUCCAACAACCAACAUUUUCGCAUGGUUGUGUGAAAUUUCGCACACCAUGCGAAACCACAAGAGGUAGCCAAAGAAUUUCACAUGGUAUGCGAAAUCUUCUCAUGCACCGACUCCGUUAGAUUUUUAUCUUCAGAUAUUUUGUGUAAUUUCCUAGUUUCUCCUUGUAACCAACCUAGAUAUUUUCUUUUAUAUCUUUUUUUAUAUUUUUUAGGUAACAUCAUAUAUAAGGGGAGAGACAUAAGGAGGAUAUGGAUGUUUUUCAUAGAACACUUGUAAAUUUUCAGUAGUAAGAAAUAUACAAAGCUUUUUGCUAUGCCUUACCUUCUCAUUUUGUUUUCACCUGUCUUUCUAGCCAAACAACCUCUAAGGAUGAUUUCUCAGGGGAUGAGUGGCUAGGUUUUACGUUUCUUGGAGUGAGGGAAGCUAGGUGAAGGACCUGAAUGCAAAGAUGAGAGUUUUCCUUGCUUUAAAUGAAAGUAGUUGUUAAACAUUAAUGGUUUUUAUUUUAAGGUUUAGCUUUAAAUCCCUUAAAAACACCUUGAAUGACCAAUACUUGGUAAGCUUUUCGGAUUCUAUGGAUGCUUAUUGCUAGAUCCAUGGAUGUCUAUUAGUUAUCAUUUACGAGCCUUUGGAAGGUGAUUCAAGGUGAGGGUCUUUAGUGUUUGAAGCCAUUAAUGGGAAGCAAUUACCAUUUUUUCAUGAAUCCUUUGGAUCAAAUCUUAAUUGCUAAAUAUAAAACCGAUUUGGGAAAUAACCAUCCUUUAUGUUAUUAUCCCCAACGCAAGGAGAAGAUCCGGAAUCUUCCCUUUUGUCUAAGGAACCCGAUCCUAGUGACCUAAAGCUCCAAGAGACCUUUUCUUUGUAGUUAACUUCAUUUAUUGUUUUUGCUUAACUUAAAAUCAAUCUUUGCAACCACAAUUCCAUUUUCUUUAAAAGCUAAUUUUUAUAAGGAAAAACACCAUUUUAUUUCCUUCACUAAGUCAACUGUACGAUGAAAACCCAUCCCUGUGGACGAUCCUAGAGCCAUUAUACUAUGUUAGCUAUGCUACCCUAGUGUGAGGUGAUUUAGGUUUUAUAAAUUUUGUUGAUAACACCCAUCUGAGCCAGAAUCAAAUGGCACAACUGAACCAGGGACGAAUCAAAUGGCGCCGCUAUCGAGGAUGGUGCCAAAGUACAUUGACAUGACUUUUGGUGAACACUUGUGAUCUUCAUCACAAGUUUGGUGAUUUUUCUAUUACUAAUUUUUUUCUUUGUUUUUAUUUUAGCUUAUCUUUUAUUUAGUUUUUAGCUAACCUUAACUUUUUCUUAGAAUUGUAUUUCUUCUAUUUUCUUUGUUUUUGUUUCAGUGAUCUUUAGUUGUGCAUGCCCUAUUGGAUAAGAAAUAUUGAGGGAAUACUUGUGAAGAUUGAAAAUCCUCGAGAAACUGAGUUGGAAGUGUGAUUGAACAUCAUGGAUGUUCCACCUGAAGACCAGAAUAGCCAACAUGGUUAAGAGGAUAAUUUCAAAGCAUACCGAUCCAUGAGGGACUGCAUGCAUCCACCUCGUAUGAGUGCACCGUCAUGCAUAGUGCCUCCCACUGAGCAACUAGUAAUCUGACCUCACAUUGUGCCACUCCUACCUACUUUCCAUGGGAUGGAGAGUGAGAAUCUCUACUCGCAUAUUAAGAAAUUCGAGGAGGUUUGUAAUACAUUCCAAGAAGGAGGAGCUUCAAUUGACUUGAUGAGGCUCAAGCUAUUUCCUUUCACUUUGAAGGAUAAGGCUAAGAUUUGGCUUAAUUCUUUAAGGCCAAGGAGUAUCCGAACUUGGACUAAUUUGCAAGCCGAUUUUCUUAAGAAGUUCUUCCUUACCCAUAGGACCAAUGGUUUGAAAAGGCAAAUUUCGAACUUCUCAGCUAAAGAGAAUGAGAAAUUCUAUGAGUGAUGGGAGAGGUACAUGGAAGCUAUUAAUGCUUGUCCUCACCAUGGCUUUGACACAUGGCUCUUAGUGAGUUAUUUUUACGAUGGUAUGUCUUCUUCAAUGAAGCAACUCCUAGAAACUAUGUGUGGAGGAUACUUCAUGAGUAAGAAUCCGAAGGAAGCCAUGGACUUUUUGAGUUAUGUGGCUGAAGUUUUAAGAGGAUGGGAUGAACCAAAUGCUAGAGAGGUGGAAAGAAUGAAGUCUCAACCUAAUGCUAAGGGUGGGAUGUAUGUUUUGAAUGAAGACAUUGACAUGAAAGCAAAGGUUGUAGCUAUGGCAAGGAGAUUGGAAGAGCUAGAAAUGAAGAAGGCACAAAAAGUGGAAGCCAUUUCUGAGACAUCAGUGCAAGCUAUGCCUUGUUCCAUUUGUCAACCUAAUGCUAAGGGUGGGAUGUAUGUUUUGAAUGAAGACAUUGACAUGAAAGCAAAGGUUGUAGCUAUGGCAAGGAGAUUGGAAGAGCUAGAAAUGAAGAAGGCACAAAAAGUGGAAGCCAUUUCUGAGACAUCAGUGCAAGCUAUGCCUUGUUCCAUUUGUCAAUCUUAUGAGUACCUAGUGGAGGAGUGUCCUACAAUUCCAGUAGUGAGAGAGAUGUCUGGUGAUCAAGCAAAUGUUAUUGAUCAAUUCAAGCCUAAUAAAAAUGCUUCAUAUGGCAACACCUACAAUUCAAAUUGGAUGAACCAUCCAAAUUUCUCUUGGAAACCAAAGCUACCUCAAUACACACAACCUGCUCAAGCACCUUAGCAAUCCUCGAAUCUUGAACAAGCUAUUGUGAACCUUAGUAAGGUUGUGGGAGAUUAAAAGUCCAUCAAUGCUCAACUGAAUCAGAGAAUUGACAGUGUAGAGAGUACAUUGAACAAAAGGAUGGAUGAGAUGCAAAAUGAUCUGUCUCAAAAGAUAGACAAUGUCCAAUAUGCAAUCUCAAGGCUUACCAACCUCAACACAGUGCAAGAGAAAGGAAAGUUUAUUUCUCAACCUCAUCAAAAUCCCAAGGGUAUCCAUGAAGUGGAGGCUCAAGAGAGAGAAUCUUCAAAGGUGAGGGAAGUCAAAGCAGUUAUCACCUUGAGGAGUGGUAAAGAGGUUGAUCAACCCACAUCCAAGCCAAAGCAUAAUGAAGAGAGUUUUGUAGAAAAAGAAAAGAGAGGAAAAUAAAGGAAAGAGAAUAGAGAAAAGUACAAAGAAAGAUGACCAUGAGUCUAGUGUGGAUGAAGAGCCCAAGAGGAUAGUGAUCAAGGAAAAUAUGAUGAAGAAACACAUGCCUCCACCUUUCCCCUAAGCUUUGCAUGACAAAAAAGGAACCAAUAAUACAUCGGAAAUUUUUGAAGUAUUGAGGCAAGUGAAGGUCAAUAUCCCUUUGCUAGAGAUGAUCAAACAAGUGCCGACAUAUGCAAAAUUCUUGAAGGACUUGUGCACUGUAAAGAGAGGGUUGAAUGUGAACAAGAAAGCUUUCUUGACCGAGCAAGUGAGUUCCAUCAUACAGUGCAAGUCUCCAGUGAAGUACAAAUAUCCGGGCUACCCUACCAUCUCAGUGAGUAUUGGAGGUACUUGUGUGGAAAAAGCUUUGUUGGACUUGGGAGCAAGUGUGAAUUUGCUACCCUACUCUGUCUAUAAGUAGUUGGGACUUGGAGAGUUGAAGUCAACAUCCAUCACCCUAUCUCUGGCAGAUAGAUCAGUGAAGAUUCCAAGAGAGAUGAUAGAAGAUGUCUUGGUUCAAGUUGACAAAUUCUACUAUCCAGUGGAUUUUGUUGUUCUUGAUACGGAUCCGAUUGUCAAAGGAACUAAUUAUGUUCCUAUCAUACGAAGACCCUUCCUAGCUACAUCAAAUGCAAUCAUCAAUUGUAGGAAUGGAGUCAUGAAACUCACGUUUGUCAACAUGACAUUAGAGCUCAACAUCUUCCAUUUGUACAAGAAGCAUAUCCAUUCAGAAGAAAAAGAAGGUCUAGAGGAAGUGUGCAUGAUUGACACUUUAGUGGAGGAGCAUUGUGAUCGACAAUGCAAGAAGAUUUAGUUGAGAGUUUUGGGGAUCUUGAUGAAGGGUUACUUGAACCCUCAGAUUUGCUUGCUACCCUACUCCAUUGGAGGAAGAGAGAAGAAAUUCUACCCUUAUUCAAUGAGGAGGAGACACAAAGAGCUGCUAAAGAUAAGCCCCCAAAGCUUAUUCUUAAGCCACUACCCACAGAGUUGAAGUAUGCAUACUUGGAAGAAGACAAGAAGUGCACUGUUGUUAUAUCUUUAGCUCUUACCAUUCAUCAGGAGGAUUGUCUACUUGAAGUCCUUAGAAGAAGUAAGAAGGUAAUAGGGUGGCAAAUUUCUGAUUUGAAAGGGAUCAGCCCUUUUGUCUGCACCCAUCAUAUUUACAUGGAGGAUGAAGCUAAGCCAAUUCAUCAACCUCAGAGAAGGUUGAACCCUCACAUGCAAGAAGUGGUGAGAGUUGAAGUUCUUAAGCUACUUUAGGCUGGUAUUAUUUACCCCAUAUCAGAUAGCCCAUGGGUGAGUCCUACUCAAGUUGUGCCAAAGAAGUCGGGGAUCACGGUGGUGCAAAAUGAUAAGGGAAAAGAUGUCUCUACAUGUCUCACUAUAGGUUGGAGGGUGCGUAUCAAUUACAGGAGGUUGAAUGUAGUGACAAGGAAUGACCAUUUCUCGUUGCCCUUUAUUGAUCAAGUGCUUGAGAGGGUCUCUGGGCAUCCUUUUUAUUGUUUCUUGGAUGGCUACUCGAGGUAAUUUAAGAUAGAAAUUGAUGUUGAAGACCAGGAGAAGACCAUUUUCACAUGCCCAUUUAGAACCUAUGCAUAUAGGAGAAUGUCUUUCGGCUUAUGCAAUGCACCCACAACUUUCCAAAGAUGCAUGUUAAGCAUUUUCAAUGAUAUGGUGGAGCAUAUUAUGGAAGUCUUUAUGGAUGAUAUCACCAUAUAUGGAAGUGCAUUUGAUGAAUGCUUGGUCAACUUAGAAGUUGUUCUGAACCGAUGCAUUGAGAAAGACUUAGUGCUUAAUUGGGAGAAGUGCCAUUUCAUGGUACACCAAGGGAUUGUCCUUGGGCACAUCAUCUCCAAGCAAAGCAUUGAAGUUGACAAAGCAAAGGUUGAACUCAUUGUUAAGUUGCCAUUCCCAACAAAUGUCAAAGGAGUAAGGCAAUUCCUUGGCCAUGCCGGGUUCUAUAGGAGGUUUAUCAAGGAUUUCUCUAAGCUUGCAAGGCCUCUUUGUGAAAUAUUGGUGAAGGAUGUUAAAUUCAUAUGGGAUGAUAGAUGCCAAAGGAGUUUUGAAGAAUUGAAGCUAUUUUUGACAACCUCACCAAUAGUGAGGGCUCCCAACUAGCAACUGCCCUUUGAGGUAAAGUGUGAUGUCAAUGACUUUGCUAUAGGAGCUGUUCUUGGGCAAAGAGAAGAUGGAAAACCUUAUGUGAUCUACUAUGCGAGCAAGACAUUGAAUGAGGUGCAAAGAAACUACAUAACCACCGAGAAAGAAUUGUUAGCUGUAGUUUUUGCCUUGGAUAAGUUUCGUGCUUACUUGGUGGGAUCCUUCAUCGUGGUUUUUAUUGAUCACUUUGCUUUGAAGUAUCUAUUGACUAAGCAAGAUGCUAAAGCAAAACUGAUUAGAUGGAUUUUCUUGCUUCAAGAGUUCAAUCUCCAGAUCAAAGACAAGAAAAAAAUGGAGAAUGUGGUAGUAGACCACAUUUCAAGGCUAGCUAUCGCACAUAAUUCCCAUGCUUUGCCCAUUAAUGACGAUUUUCUAGAGGGGUCUCUCAUGUUGGUGGAAGUUGUCCCUUGGUACGCUCACAUUGCUAACUACCUGGUCACAAGAGAAGUUCCAAGUGAGUGGAAAGCACAAGAUAAGAAGCACUUCUUUGCAAAAAUUCAUGCCUACUAUUGGGAAAAGCCAUUUCUAUUCAAGUAUUGUGCGGAUCAGAUAAUAAGGAAGUGAGUUCCUGAAGAAGAGCAACAGGGGAUCCUCAGUCAUUGCCAUAAAAAUGCAUGUGGAUGCCACUUUGCUUAUCAGAAGACAACCAUGAGGGUGCUGCAAUCGGGUUUCUGUUGGCCAUCACUUUUCAAAGAUGCCCACACCAUGUGCAAGAGUUGUGAUCGAUGCCAGAGGCUUGGGAAGUUAUCAUGUAGGAACAUGAUGCCUUUGAACCCCAUUUUAAUAGUUGAUCUUUUUUAUGUUUGGGGCAUUGACUUCAUGGGACUUUUCCCUAUAUCUUUUGGCUACUCUUACAUCUUGGUGGGAAUAGAUUAUGUUUCUAAGUGGGUUGAGGCAGUCCCAUGCAAACACAAUGACCAUAGAGUGGUUCUCAAGUUUCUUAAGGAGAACAUCUUCUCAAGAUUUGGGGUGCCCAAAGCCAUAAUUAGUGAUGGGGGUACUCAUUUUUGCAACAAGCCUUUUGAAACUCUCCUAGCCAAGUAUGGGGUGAAGCAUAAGGUAGCUACACCUUACCACCCUCAAACUAAUGGGCAAGUUGAGUUAGCAAACAAGGAGAUUAAAAACAUAUUGAUGAAGGUGGUGAACACAAACAGAAAAGAUUGGUCAGUCAAGCUCUUCGAUUCACUAUGGUCAUGUAGAACAGCUUACAAGACCAUUAUCGGGAUGUCUCUUUAUCACCUAGUCUAUGGAAAAAAUGCCAUCUCCUUGUGAAAUUGGAAUACAAAGCUUGGUGGUCAAUCAAGAAGCUCAACAUGGAUUUGAGCAGAGCUGGGUUGAAGAGGUUCUUAGACCACAAUGAGAUGGAGGAAUUGAGAAAUGAUGCCUACAUCAAUUCAAAAAUUGUAAAAGAAAAAUUGAAGAGGUGGCAUGAUCAGUUGAUUUCCCGCAAGAAUUUUCAAAAUGGAUAAAGAGUCUUGCUCUAUGACUCUAAACUCCACAUCUUUCCGAGCAAGCUGAAAUCAAGGUGGAUAGGUCCUUUUACCAUUCACCAAGUGCAUUCAAAUAGAGUAGUGGAACUACUCAACUCCAACAACAUCGGGAGCUUCAAAGUGAAUGACCAUUGUCUCAAGCCCUUUGUAGAGUCUUUUUUCUCGCGACAAGGAGGAAUUCAUCCUCCUUGAUCCACAUCAAGCUUGACAAGACCAGUUUUUUUUUAUGGACUUAGUCUUUCUAAAGACUAUCGAGUCCAUAACUUUUUAUUUUAUUUUUUAUUUGAGAGUUUUUCGGUAUUAUUACUUGUUUUGUUUUUUAUUUUUCGUUUUACUUUUAUUUGGUUUGAUUUAACUUAGAUUUUUUAUGAUCAAUUGCAGGGGGGAUUUCAAAUAGAGGAAAAACCAAGAUAAUUCGCACACCCUGCGAAAAUUUCGCAAGGCAUGCGAAAUUUAUGGCUCAUUUCGCAUGGGAUGCGAAAUUUCGCACACCCUACGAACCAAUUUCGCACACUUUGUGAAAAUAAACCAACCCUACGAAAUCAUUUCAAAUACUCUACGAAAUUUUCGCAGAGCAUGUAAAAAAUUUCGCAGACCAAACACCAUUUCGCAUACUAUGCGAAAAUGUAAGGGGUCUACAAAACCAUUUCGCACCUCCAAAGCCAUUUCGCACAUUGUGCAAAAAUGAAAAGUCGCCCUAUCAUCCAUUUUUAAACCCCUUGAGCCCUGAAAUCCCCAUUUCGCAAGCACCCCUGUCCUUGCGAAUCCCUCAUUUUCCUCUGCCACCUUGCGACCUUGUCCCUCUCCAUUUGAUAUCGUGCCCUGCGCACAUCUCAUUUCAAAGACUCGCACUCUGCGCCCUCUCAAAGCACGAACCCAAGGCUCACAUUCCAUUUCCGACAUGGCACAGACCCGAGGAGCCCUUCCCGCCCCUUCAUCGAGACGCACACCAAGGUAGAGAGCCUCUUUUGCUCAGAUGCCAAGUGAUUCUCCAUUUCAGGCCACGGAGGCCCUGCGGAUUCCACAUUCCAAGGGUAGAACAGCCACUGGUCCUUCCUCUUCUAUUCCUCAGCGUAGAUAUGAGACGAGGAGACCACCUACUACACAAAGGGCGACUACUUCGCGCCAUGAGAAUUCGGUACGACACCCUCCUGCCAAGAGGGCCAGGACUUCAGGCCCAGGCGAGUCAUCCAAAGCUUCACAGCCUGAGCCUCCUGCAGAUUCCGAGGUUCCUACUGACAUAUCAUCGGAGUCUAUUAUCAAACGCCCGAUGCUCACAGCACCGCCCAUUGAGGGCAACUCUGAUUGUAGAGCGAGACCUUUCCACUUGGAGCUAUAUUUUAAUUAAGAGGCCAUGCCACAGCAGCCUGAGCUCCAAGACUCUUAUGGCUUACUACAGAGGUACCAUCUUGAGGACCUUAUGACUCCUCGUGAGUUCUUUUAUCCCAGAGUAGCACUAGACUUUUACCAGUCCAUGACUACUCGUGGCGUCCCGAGUCCUACCGCGAUGCACUUCACCAUUAAUGGACGUCAUGGUAUCCUCGAGGCCAGACAUAUUGGAGAGGCUCUACAGAUUCCUUUCGAGCUAGAGGACCCAUCUGUUUUCUGCCAAUGGUCCCCAAUAUCUCAGAGGGACAUGGUCCAUAUUUUAUCCAGGGGGACAUCUACAUAUUCGAUCCUUCUACGGAAGGAGCUUCGACCUGGGAUACUCCUCGUAGAUGUGGUGCUACUUUCCAACCUCUUUCCCUUUUAGCAUUCGAUACAUAGGCGAGGAGCUAUUUUGGACGCUUUAUUCUGUAUAUCAGAGGGCUUCUACUUUGGCCCGCACCACUUGAUCAUGGUUUCCCUCAUCCAUUUUGAGGAGAAGGUCCAUAGAAAGAAGCUUCAGAGGGCGAACACCAUUCCAUUACUAUUCCCGAGGUUGCUCUACUAGAUCUUGGAGUACAUGGGCUUUCCUACUGAGCCUCGGCUUGUGUGCCGCCGCCUUUGUCAAGAGCGAUCCACUCUCGACAAAUGGAAUCAGUUGGCGGGCUAUUCUACACCUCCAGGAGCCCCUCCCAUGGUAGCACCUCUAGUGUCCCCACAGGCAGAGUAGGGCAAGCUCCCGGUAGAGACUGCACCCCUAGUGCCCACACCUGAGGCUACUUCUGCUGUUCCGCCUACGACUCCUACUGUUCCACCAGUUGGUCCUUUUACAUCUGAGUCUUCCAUCAACAUCUCGACUUCGGAGUUUCGCGCCCUUGUGCAUACCUUUCAGACACUCACCACCACACAUACUGCUCUCUUCUAGAAAAUGGCUGAGAUGCGUGCCCAUCAGGACCAGCAGACUACUAUACUCCGCCAAAUUCAACAGCACCUGGGACUUCUGCCUCUGCCUCAGCUUGACCUUCCCACAUCAUCAGAGCCUCUAGCUCCAGUUGAGGAUACUAUUCCACCUGAGGACACUACCACAGUAGAGGUUCAGAUUCCACCACCUCAGGAGGCCACCACAGCUACAUUAGAGGAUGCAUCAUCUCCACCUGAGGCUCCCACUACUUGAUCAUAGGACAUCUCUUUAUCUUAUUGUAUUUACAUAUUAUAUUACUGGAGAUUUGUCUUUGUUUUGAUACUUUAUAUUCUGGCAUUGAAUGUAUUGCCUAAUGAUAUCUCAAUUGUACUUUCUCAUAUUAAUAUAUAGACAUCAAUUUUUUUUAGUAUACUUAGGAUUUUUCUAUUUACUCUACUCAUUACUCUUUUGUUUUUUUUUUUUUACUCAUGUGGUUUCUCCUAUACGACUCAGACUCCAUUUCACUCAGGAGGUACCACUUCUUCCCUUUAUUUUCAAUUGCUCUUGAAACAUUGAGGGCAAUGUUGAUCUUGGUUGGAGGGAGAGUUGAGGAAGGAAGUGAUUACUACUCAAAAAGUGCUAUUUCAUAGCUUGUAAUUAACUCUUUUAAAACACUUUUGAGUAGUAGUUAUCACCUUUUAACCCAAUUAACAUAUUAAGGACCCUUGCAAUCAAUUCUAAUCAAAUUGUGUUAAGUUUUGGUAUUUUGAUAGCUUUUUUAUCACCAAAGCAAUCCGAGAUUGAGGAUAUUUAUUUGGAAUCCAUGGCAAAAGAUGUUUGGACAGGACGUCCGGACACACCAUCGGAGGGCGGCGGAACGUGGGCUGUGGCAGGCUGUCGGAAUGACGUAGCAAGGCUUGUGCACUUUAGCCAAUGAUCGGGAUAACAUAUCCGAAAUUCUGCUCCGCCGACAUUCCACCCGGAUGUCUCACAUCCGGAAUUCUGCUCCGCCGACAUUACACCCAGAUGUCUCACAUCCAAAAUUCUUCUCCGUCGACAUUCCAUCCGAAUAUUUCACAUCCGACGCUUGACGCCGGAUGGGAGAGGAGGGCGUUUCAACUUCCCCGGUCAGACAUAUCCGAAUCCUUUGAUAACGCUUACCCGGAGAGUUUCGCAGCCAUUUUGCACAGUGCCGCGGUGUUCUCUUGAAGCUUCCCGAUAUGUGCGACCGACAUUUUGAGAUAUUUUGCUUUAGAUAUUUGAUGUCUAAAUCCCCAAACUCUCCUUGUAACCCACCAAUUAUAGGAUUCCUUAGUUAUUAAGUUUGGAAAAAUGGUGAAUAACCCCUUAUAUAUAGUUUGCAAUUUUCAUAAAAAAGAUAUGUAGAAUCUCGGGAGCUUGUUCCCAGAGAGACGCAUCCUUUGUACAGUUUUGGAAGGAAGUAAAAUACAGAGCACUUGCUCUGCUUUUCAUAUAUAUUUUUGUUUUCUCGUUCUUUUUAUUUCUAGCCAAUCAAAGUCUGAGGAUUUUUCCUCAGAGGAUGAGAGGCUAGGCUCUUCGUCUCUUGGAGUGAAGAAAACUAGGUAAGUUUCCACAUGCAUAAAUUGAAAGUUUUGUUGUUUUAGUUUUUAAUGAAGAGAAAGUGUGACCCGUUAAUGGUUUUUAUCUUUUUAGUUAACUUAAAACGCCUUUAAAUCACCCGGGCCAACACUUGAUAAGGCAAGUGGUCUCCAUCCAUUGAGAUGCACUAGUUUAUCUCUUGCGAGCCUUUGGGAGGUGGUUUGAAGGUAGGAUUUUCUAGAAUAACCAACACUUGAUAAGCUUUUGGACUCUAAGGAGACAUCCAUUAGUUAUCUCUUGCGAGCUUUUGACGGGUAAUCCAAGGUUAAAGAUCACCUUGAAUGGCAAGUACUAGGUGAGAGGUAUGAGCCAUUGCAAGAUGCAUUAGUGAGAGGGAUUUAGUGUUUGAACCCAUUAAAGGGAAGCAUCUGUACCACACCGGUUCGGGAAAUAACUAUAUGUUAAAUCCCCAAUGAGAGGAAAAGAAACAAGUGACCGGAACUCCCUUUUUGUAUAAGGAACCUGAGCCUAGUGAUCUAAACUCCAAGAAACACUUUUCUUUGUAAGUAAAAUCAGUUACUAUUUUUGGUUAGUUUAAAACCAAACCUUUUUCAUUCAAACAUCUUUAUGUUUUCUUUUAAAGCUAACCUUGAAAUGAAAAGGCACCAAUUCAUAUUUGAAUUAAUAUCAAUUGUGAAGUGAAAACCCAUCCCAGUGAACGAUCCUAGAGCCACUAUGCUAUAGUAGCUUUGUCUUUGCUACCCUAGUUCAUGGUUUAAUAGGUUAUAAAUUUUGUUGAUUACUCCCACAAUCAAAGGAGCACCAGUUGGACAUGAAUCAACUGAGACACUAAUUGGGCACAAAUCAGGAAGUUUUGUUAAUAAUGCUAGGUUAAUUUGUUAAUUUAGUUACUUUCUGCUUAAUUUUAAAAGUUUUCACUUUACUUUCCAUAGUUAUUAAGGAAAAAUUCUCAAAAUGAAAUGGGAGAAAUUGAAUUCUUACAUUUUUACUUGAAUUUUAGAAUUUGUAUUAUGCUUAUUGAAGCUGAUGAAUUAUUGAAACUCCUAUUGAAUUCAACCUUAUUUCUUCCACUUUAAUCUUACCACACACGGUGCACAUUAGGUUCCGAUUAUAAGAGGUGCGUUCUUAGCCUAUUGGAGGUUGGUCAAUUUGUUAAAGUUUGAGAAAGAUCUAGGUUAGGGGAGAGAGAAUAGUCUGACAUACUAUAAUCGAAAACUAAUAAACUUAACACUUAGAUCUUUGUGGAAGAGUAAGGAUUGGACCUUUGGGAGUGGAAAUUCGUUUGAUGCUUAAAUUUGCAUAAUGCUUACACUUUAUAAAUUGUGAUUAGGCAAGAGAUUUGAUGACUCUUGUUCAAGGUUGGGUUUUGCCUCUUUGAUGUUCCAUGAGAGAGUAUAAUCCUCAUCAUGCCACUUGAAAUUUUUUUUGGAGUGAUUAACAUGAUUUUGUAAAUUACUUUACUGUCUAUUUUUUUUUUAUCUCUCCUUCAUUGCUAAUGGACUAGCAAUAUGUCAGUUGAGGGGAGUGAUUACUACUCAAAAAGUACUCUUUUAUAGCUUGAAACUAACUGUUUUGAACACUUUUGAGUAGUAGUUAAUACCUUUUAACUCAAUUGGCACAUUAAAGAACCUAGCAAGGGUUACUAAUUAGUUUUUGGCAAGUUUUGGUGUUUUUGGUAGCUAUUUGAUCAUUGAAACAAGCCAAGAAUGAGGGAGAAUUUUGUGAAGUCCAUGGCAAUGCAAGUUAAAGCUCAAAUACAUGAAGAAUCCAAGCUUUGGAGCACUUCAUAGCCCUUUCCAAAGCCAAUCAGAGAUGCAAGGAAGAAAACCAGAGGAAGAAAUCCAACAAUUAGCAUUUUCGCAUGGCUGUGCGAAAUUUCGCACACCAUGCGAAACCACAAGAGGCAGCCAAAGAAUUUUGCACACUAUGCGAAAUUUCGCAUGGUAUGCAAAAUCUUCUUGUGCACCAACUCCGUUAUAUUUUUAUCUCAAAUAUUUUGUGUAAUUUCCUAGUUUCUCCUUGUAACCAACCUAGAUAUUUUCUUUUAUAUAUUUUUUAGGUAACAUCAUCUAUAGGGGGAGAGACAUAAGGAGGAUAUGGAUGUUUUUCAUAGAACACUUGUAAAUUUCCGGUAGUAAGAAAUAUACAGAGCUUUUUGCUCUACCUUACCUUCUCAUUUUGUUUUCACUUGUCUUUCUAGCCAAACAACCUCUGAGGAUGAUUUCUUAGGGAAUGAGUGGCUAGGUUUUACGUUUCUUGGAGUGAGGGAAGCUAGGUGAAAGACCCGAAUGCUAAGGUGGGAGUUGUCCUUGCUUUAAAUGAAAGUAGUUGUUAAACAUUAAUGGUUUUUAUUUUAAGGUUUAGCUUUAAAUCCCUUAAAAACAUCUUGAAUGGUCAAUACUUGGUAGGCUUUUUGGAUUCUAUGGAUGCUUAUUGCUAGAUCCCUGGAUGUCUAUUAGUUAUCAUUUAUGAGCCAUUGGAAGGUGGUUCAAGAUGAGGGUCUUUAAUGUUUGAAGCCAUUAAUAGGAAACAAUUACCAUUCUUUCAUGAAUCCUUUGGAUCAAAUCUUAAUUGCUAAAUAUAAAACUAGUUCGGGAGAUAACCAUCCUUUAUGUUAUUAUGCCCAACGCGAGGAGAAGAUUCGGAAUCUUCCCCUUUGUCUAAGGAACCCGAUCCUAGUGACCUAAAGCUCUAAGAGACCUUUUCUUUAUAGUUAACUUCACUUAUUGUUUUUUCUUAACUUAAAAUCAAUCUUUGCAACCACAAUUCCAUUUUCUUUGAAAGCUAAUUUUCAUAAGGAAAAUCACCAUUUUAUUUUCUUCCCUAAGUCAACUGUACGAUGAAAACCCAUUCCCAUGGACGAUCCUAGAGCCACUAUACUAUGUUAGCUAUGCUACCCUAAUGUGAGGUGAUUUAGGUUUUAUAAAUUUUGUUGAUAACACCUGUUUGAGCCAGAAUCAAAUGGCGCAACUGAACCAGGGACGAAUCAACAACUUAUAUGGGAGGGACACAAGUUUAAUUGAUUUGCAUUUCAACGUUAUAUAUAGGUAUGUUUUGGAAGAUUUGUUCUGGAAAUACUGCACCAAGUACGAUUCUUUUUGUCUUGAGUGGGUCUACUUGCAUGCCAAUUAACGAGUGGAAAAGUAGGAGCACCUACCUCAUGCUCGCGGAACCGAAGGUCAGUGAAGUGGGGCUCCUUUUGGCCUCUUGUGUUUCUAUUCCAACCAAGGCGGCGUAAGGAAAAACAACAAUAUGUUUGUGCUAAAUAUCAACGCAUGAUAGAUGUUUUUGUUUUUUGGUAUGUCAAGGCUAAUGAAUGAAAUGCUUUAGCUUGUUUUGUGACUGGAACUGCAAAUGUCCAAAUUGGAGUAUCUCCAUUUCUCACUUCGGAUGGUUAACUUAUAAACAAGAUAUAGGAAACAUGUGAACAUCUUGAGGAACAAUUUGAAUUAUUCAUUAGAAGUCCUGGGUUGAGUUCCAAGAUUUAAAUUAGACCCCUCUAGCAGCUUCAGGGGUACCUAGCAACCUAUAGCAUAUUAAUGAAGAUUUAGGAUUUAGACUCUAGAAUACAAAUUAAUAUGUAUCUCAUGCUUUGACUAGCUUCCCUACAUAUGCACAAAAUGGAGAUGACCUAAAAAAAUAGCAGAAUCUAGCUUCCCUACAUAUGCACAAAAUGGAGAUGACCCAAAAAAUAGCAGAAUUUCCUUAGUUUCUGUGGUUAAGGUGAUUCUCCGCUUAAUAUCACAUUGACUCAUUAUGCAAAAUCAACUGAGCUAAUUUUGUUUAUUUAUUUAAUGUCAAAUAGGAACUCCUAAUUAACCUAACCCUUGGCCUGUGUAAAUUGAUUUCACAUGCCCAAUGUUGAAGUAGAAGUCCAUAUUUUGAAUUUUAUUUUUGUAAAGGUAAGGAAAAUGAAGCAUUGUGUAAUUAUAAAAAUAACUUCAUUGGAAUUCACAAGGUUCACCCAAAAUGGAGCUACAUCCGUAUUCUAUCCUGCAGUAGACUAUAUAGAUUGUACAAUAGUAAAUUGCAAAUACAAUUAAUAAGUCUUGUGCUUCCUUACUAAUAAUCCUUUGACAUGAACAUUGCAGCACUAAGGUCCUCUUGGGAAGACACCUUGCACCCAUGAGAGCACGAAGAGGAAGCAAGGCAGAGUCAUGGGUGCAAUGUCAUGACUUGUUGUUGCACCAAGAGAGGCUUGGUGAUGGCAUGGUGUUGCAGUAGCAAGAAUGUUGCCUUGGUAGGGACAUAAUCUAGGGAUAGAUGCCAAGAAAGGCUUAGCACUCACAUGAGUUGCACAAAGAUGAAUGUAAUAGAGCAUCAGAGAGACGUCUUGGCAAGUAAAUGAAUGGAUCCAAGAGGCAACAACAUGAGGAGUUUCAAAUGGAUAAGGAAUGAGUCAAAGACAUUUGAAAGCUACAAGUUGGAUUCUAAUUACGAUUGCAAUUUGAGUUUGAGUAGGAGUUUAGAUUCUGAUUGUAAUUGUAGUAUGAGUUGGACUAGGAUUGCUUAUCCCUAGUCAAAAUAGGAGUGGUUCGUGUCACACCCUAUGAAAAGAGUUUGAGUAGGGACUAGGAUUGCUUACUCCUAGUCAAAUAUGGAGUAGGUGGUGCCACACCUAUAAAAAAAAAGGGACAACAUGAGAGAGAGAGAGAGAGAGAGAGAGAGAGAGAGAGAGAGAGAGAGAGAGAGAAAGAGAUAAUGAAUUCACUAAAGAUAUUGUGGGAGUUUUUCUUUGUUACGUCUUGUAUUAUUACUUAGAAUAGGAAUAAAAUACAAGUUUGGGCUAGAGCCCCAUAAUUAAUCUCGUGUGCCUUUGUGGUUAUUCUUUAUUUGUCAUCUCGUGUGGAUUGGAUUACAUUGACUUAGAGGGCUUCUAAGCACCACCUUUGUGGGUUAUUAUUUAUUUUCCAUUUCUUGUGGAUUAGAUUAGGUUGACUUUGAGGGCUUUUAAGCACCACCUUUGUGGGUUAUUCUUUAUUUUCCAUAUCGUGGGGAUUGGAUUAGGUUGACGAUGAGAAAAAUUAUGUGGGAAAUUUGUGUUGGGACACUUAUCAUAACCAGGUAAAAUCUGCCAAGUCCUUUGUAAUAUCUUCAACAAAUAUUUCAGACUAGUUCUUCACCAUAAACAUCAUAUUGUGUUUUGUUUUUCUCCUGGAUUCUGAGUUGAAUUGUUUCAAGUCAAUUGAAUGCAUCUGAAUAUUAUUAGCUUGUUUGAAGGCCUGGUGAUUUUCCAUUUAACUUUACUUUCUUUAGGUUAUGCUCACUAUAAGAAAAAUGAGAAAUAAUGACGCUUUUUACGCGUUAAGAAAGGCAACAGAUGAUGCUUCUCUAAAGCGUCCUCUUCGGCUCUGUCAUUAUAUGUGUUAGCCAAUAAUGACGCUUCUAGGAAGUGCCAUCUUUGAAUAAUGUUAAUAACGACACUCGUAAAAAGUGUCAUCUUUAAACAUAUUCUGGUCAAAUAAUUUUUACAAAAUUAGUAAUCUUCAAGCCGUUUCUGAAUCAUAUCUGAGCCUAUUUCUGGGGACCAGAAAACCAUCUUUUUUCCAUUCGCCUGAGAGGUCUGAUUAGCAUUUCUGGAAUCAAUCUCUAAACCCAAGCUUCCCUCAUCUACCCAUUUAACCCUCAUGCCCUCCUGUUUGAACAACUUUCCCACUAUAUACACAAAUUUUUUACCUUCUGUUGUUGGUAUUCGACCUCUUCCCAUUCCCAGCACAGAAUCCACCAUUAGUGCCACUUUGUGAAUAAAAUCAUCGAACCAGAUCUUUCGGGCGGAAGAUGAGCUCCAGAGAAAUAAAAUUUUUGGGGUCUUCCCAGCAUGAAAGUCAUAGGUAGCAUUAAUGACAUCAAGAAAUGGGGCACUGUUGAGAAAAAACAUGUUCCCAUCAACCACCCAAGAAUUGUACCAGACUCCAAACACUUCUGGAUUACAUAUGCCUUUACUAAGAUAUAUUUCUUGAUCUCCAUAUCAGAAUCUUGGAGACUCUUCAUUUUAUGAGCUCUGACACUACUGUGAAAUUGGUCCACAUCAAUCACAGGAUGACCCCUUCUAGCAAGAUCAAGCAGGAAGUCUGAAUUCGGGCCCAUAAAAAUGUAGUUCUGAAUAUUGAAACUCUCAAAGUGGCACAACAAAUUCCUUAUGACUCUUUCAGAUGCUCCAAACAGGCUCACAAGUAUAAUGGUAUCCUGUUUUUGCACAGAGUAAAGAAAAUAUCCGAGUUCUUCAAAACUCCUUACAACUAUUCCAGGAUGUACUUCUUUGAAACAGAAAUCGUACCACUUUAGCUUAGUCAGAGGUUGAAUCUAAAAUAACAAAACCCAAACUGAAAUCAAAAUCGAAAUCAACCCUAAUAGAUUUCAGAAACAACAAAUUAAAAGAGUAAAGCACAAAAGGGGGAAAACACAUAUGAAGCAAUCUCCAUACAAGCCCUAACCUUAGAUAAACCCAAAAAAAAAAAUCAAAGCAGAGAGUUACCAUAGAGCAUCUCUGUUUCAAGCUUAGAAAAUGUUUAAUGCCAUUGAUAACUAGUUGGCUAGUGGUGGACUUCAAGCUUCUCUAUUUCGGUGUUAGUAGCUCUCAAUGGCUAUGGUGAGAACAAAGAAAUGAGAGGCUUAGGGUUUGGGAUGUGAGGUUAUUGAUGAUGAUGAGGAUAAAGUUAUGGGCUCUUGGAGGGGUUAGGGAAAUUGAAGAUGGCUGAGAGUAAAGGCUAGGGUUUUUGAGAUAGUUAAUAGCUUUUUAGGGUGUGACUGUCCAUAGAUAGAAGAUAAAUGAGGGUGUGAGAAUUUAUAGAUCUCUAGGUGAUAUGGCGGGUGUGAGAAUGAAAUUUUAGAGGGAAUUGUGUGUUUGGUAGAAAUUUCACACAUGCAUAUAUAAUGUUUCAGAACAUGGCACUUUAAAAAUACGACAAGGAAGAAAUUAUUUAUUGACGCUUAAAUAAAGCGCCAAGGUCUCCAACAUUUUUGCAAUCAAUGACGUUUGUAAAAGGUGCCAUUGAAUAGGAGUGCCAUUGCUUUCCCACAAAGCAUCAUUGUUAAUCAAGCCUUUAAAAAACGCCAAGAUAUGUUGCCACUUAGGUUAAAUAUUGACGCUUUUAAAAAACGCCAAGGAAAAAAACGUCAUUAUUCAUGUUUUUUGUAGUAGUGGCUUGAUUCCUAAAAAGUAAAGGAAAGCAAAAAGUAAAAAAAUAAAAAUGUGGAGAGUUAGGACAUGCGUUAUCUAAUUGUCCUAGUCCCAAAUAUAUUAAGAAAGUCAUGUAGGUUACUUGGAGUAACGAGUCAAGUAAAGCAAGCCUUCUAGUGUUUAAGACAUUAGAUAUUACCGAACUGAUUAUGUCAUUAAUGUAUUGCAUUUGUUGUUUCUAAUAUAUAGAAGAAGAUGAAAUUAUUGGAAUAAGUGGGAAAUAGGAAUAAAUCCAAGGUACCAAAAAGUCACUUUAUCUUAGAUGUUGUUGGAAACAUAAGUGAUUUCACAAUAACGACUAUGAGACAAUCAAGGAUUAAUAAGAUAGACUUUAUAUGAUAUACCUCCCAAUUAGAGCCUAAAAAUAUGGAUGAAGCACUUAGAGAUGAAUCUUCAAUUUUUGUACUAUAGGAAGAAUUAAAUCAAUUUGUUAGCUAUUCUUUGGAUAUUUGAUUCAUCACAAGCUACAAAUCACUUUUGAUGACCAAACACGAAACUAAGAGGAUUGGGCCCAAUUCGAUGCCUAUCAACAAUGAUUUGUAUUCCACCUCAUUAAUUAUUCAAAGUUGGGAAGCUAGGUCUAACCACUUUCUCUACCUGUUCACCCUUAGAGGAGCAGAAGAAAAUUCUAACUUUGGUGCCUAAUGCCUUUGACAAUCUUUCGACAAAGAGAGUUCACUAAUUACUUUGAUUAUUUCUCUGUUGGUCACUGGGGGACAAGACUUUUGUAAUGAAGUCAACUAGAACUUGCCCUUUGAGGGCCAUUCAUGGACGAUAUUACACCAUGAAUUCCCUUAGGUCAUGUUUGGUAUGUGAGAAUGAGGAGUGGAAUGGACAUCUUAUUCAUUUUUUCAUCUAUUCAAAUGUUGGGAUAACUCAAGUGACCAUGAGAAUGAAAUCAAGAAUGAUUCAAGGGAAAUGAAAUCUUACUUAUAAGUGUGAUUUCAAUUAAUCUCUAAUAGAAAUUAUUUUGAAUCAAUAGUGCAAGUUAUUUUUAAAAACAUUUUUCCAAAAUUAAAAAAAUCAAUUUUUUUUUUUUCGAUAAGUUGUUUUUAAAAGGAUUUUUUUUAUUUUGUAAAAAGAAAAUUGUAAUUCAAUUUAUAUAAUAUAAACUAAAUUUUAUUUUAUUCAAAAAGAAAUAAUUUUUUAAUUAUAAAUAAAUUAAAAAUAAAUACUUUUAAUAAAAUAUAAAUAGUAUUAUUAUAAUAAAAUCAUAAAUAAAUUUAAUUUUUUUUAUAAAUAUUAUAAAAAUAUGGAUAUUAACAUUGGAUAAUUGAUUUAUUUUGUUAAAAUAAAAAAUAAUAAUUUUUAAUAUUAUUUUAUGUUAAAUGAAUUUUAAAAUAAAGAAAGUUUAAUUAUUUUAAGGUAUAGAAGAGCCAAAUUUUGCAUUACAUACAUAACAAACAAUAUUUAUUAGAAACAUUUCUCAAGGAGAAUCUUAUUCCAUCUCACAAAGAUACUCGUUUAUUCGAUGUUUGACCAUCCGUAACAAUCAUGUCAAUUCUACUGAUUUAAUAAUUCCUUUACAUUUAUUACUCACUUAUGAACAUGGUAUUGUGAUUUAUUUAUUUAUUUGAUGUAUAAUUAAUUAAUCAAUUUUUUAAAUUUCAAAUUAUUUUUAAAAACUAUUCAUUAAGGAAUUUAAAGCAUUAAUUAUGUCUAUUAUUUUUUAUAGUCAUUAUAUAUAUAUUGAGUUUUAAUUUAUUUUUAAAAAUUAUUAAACUUAUUAAUAAAUUCAAUAUAAAGUCUCGUUUCAUUUGAAAUUCAUUUCUUUAGUGAAAAUUUUGAAAAAAAAAUUGUUAUUUAUUUUACUUUGUUUUAAAAAAAUUGUUUCUAGAGAACAAUAAUCAAAUAAUGGUAUGAAUUUUUAAAAACAAUUUUGUUUUUAAAUCAUAUGCCCAAAUAAUUUUUUUUUAUUUAGCAAAAAACUUUGUUGUAGUAUGUGGCUCAUAUUGAGGGAAAGACAUAUAUGGAGAAAAAUGUGCAAAUGUUGGAGUGGAGCGGAGUGGAAUGACGACAUUUGUCAUUCAAACUUGUAUUUUUAUUGUUAAGGGUGACCGAUAGGUUGGUACGGUUUAGGGGUAUUUUUGGAAUUUCAUUACCUGAGGGUUAGUAUAAAUACCAUUUUAUGUAACCCUAAUUUUACAUAUAAUGUAAGUUUUCUUCCUUGUUCUUGUGGACAUAGGCAAUCCGUCGAACCACGUUAAAUCUGUGUGUUUUUUUUUCUUUUUUCUUUUUCUCUAAUUUCUUCACCAGGAAUCGUUACACUAAGAUCAACAAACUCUCAAAGAUGAUUUUUAAAAUGAAAAAAAUAAUGUAUAGUGUGAGAAUUUUUUAUUUUUUAUUUUUUUAAAAUGAAAAUAAAAAAUUGCUUUAAGGUAAAAGUGUGGAUAUUAUUGUUAAUUUAUUUCAUUUUUCAUUUUCAUUUCCAUUGUUACCUACAAUUGAAAUGGAAACAACUAAUCAUUACAACCUUACAUUCUUAUAUGCAUCCAAAUACAAAAAUUGAAAUCACCAAAUUCAUAUUCAAGGCAAAAUAGGAAUGAAAACAAAUAUUCAUUCUCAUUCUUUAUUCCCACGUGUCAAACAUGACCUCAAAGUUAUAAACAUGAACAAGAAGUCCUUGAAACACCAAUGAUCUCUUCUGGUAUAUAUAUGAGCUUGAUUGACAACUGUUUUAAAUACAGUUUUUUUUUUUUUUGUUUUCAAAAUCAAAACAAAUUUAUUUUUAUUUUUUAUAAAUAGUAGUUUUUUAAUAUUUUUUUUAAACCUUAUUAUGAAAAUAGGAUGUUUUCUAAUAUCAUAUUUUAAUUAUUUUCAAUUAUUUUCCCUUCUUUUAAGGAGGGCUAUUUUAAAAAUAUGAAAAAUGAUACAAAAUAAAGCAUUACAAAUAAAAAUCAUUUUUAAGAAAUAUAUGAAAAUAAUUUGAGAACAUUUGAAGUUCCUUAAUUAAACUUUUGUUCUAGAAAAUGCAAGAAAACUGUUUUUGAAAAUUGUUUUCAUAAUGAUAUGCAUUGAUCGUUUAAAAUUUAAUUACAUGAUAAAAAGACCUAUGUAAAAACCAGAGUUAUAUAAUCAGUCAUAGAUCAAAUCUACUAAAUAUGAAAAGUAAGUACAUAGUUGUAUAUGACUUAGAUGGAGCCUUCUCCGAAUGACAUUCUUUAGUCGGUACUCAUAUUUUUUUGUUUCGUGUCUUCAACAUAACACCUCAUGAUCCUUAAUAAAUCACCUGAAAACUAUAUUAGCACCUUAUUGUUUAAUAUUUCUCUAAAUUUUUUUAUUAAGCAAAUAAAUUCCAAAUUUAAAAUGACAAAUAAAAUUUAUUAAUUUUUAAAAAUAAUUUAAAACUCAAAAACCAAUUUAAUUGAUAUUAAAAGUCAUGAAACUUAAUAAUAUUAGAAAGUCAUGUAUCCAAAUUUAUUUUAAAUGACUUGUUUAAUUUCUUGUUUAUAUAUAUUAUAUUUUUAUAAUUUUUUUUACUAUACAAAUAAAUUUUAAAUUAAACAAAACUUAAUGCGUUGAAUUCAUUAACGAGUCUAAUAAUUUUUAAAAGUUACUUAAAAUUUAAAUACUAAAUCAAUUAGUACCACAAAUUCAUGGAAAAAAAUUGAUUUAUUACUACUAUAUUGUUUCUCUAUUGCAUAGAACCAUUAUUUUUCAAUUUUUUCAUUUGGCAAAUGAACAUCAAAUUAAACAAGACUAAGUGUAUUAAAUUCAUUAAUGGGUCUAGUAAUUUUUUAAAAUAAUUUAAAAUUCAAAUAUUGAUACUCCAAAUUAAACAAGACUUAGGUGGUGUUUGUUUUUUGGUUGAAUAGAAAAAGGUAAAAUAUUUGACUUUUUCUAUUUAGUUAAAAGUAACUUGUUGACAUCGUCCAAUAUAAUUAAAGUAAACCUAUUGAGGGCAAGUUCACUUUAAUUAUGUUGGACGAUGUCAACAGGUUACUUUUAACUCAAUAGAAAAAAUCAAAUAUUUUGACUUUUUUUUUAACUCAAAUAAUAAAUCCAUUAAUACAAAAAAAUUAUGGAUAAUUUGAAACUUUCUUUCUUUUUUUUUUUUUUUUUGCUACACAUAGCUAUAUUUUUAUAAAUUUUAUCAUUAGAGAAAUGGAUUUCAAAUCAAGUGAAACUUUGUAUUGAAUUAAUGGAUUUAACAUUUUUUAAAAAUAAUUUGGAACUAAAAAAAAAAGAUUUAAUUACUAAGAAAAUCAUAGAUCAAAACUAAUAUAUUCUGAUCCAUGAUUUUAUUAUUUUUCCUAUACAUACAAUUAUAUUUUUAUAAUUUUCUCACUAGGUAAAGAUAUUAUAAAUUAAGUGACACAUAAUUAAUAAUUUAAAUUUUUGAAUGAAUCUUUUAAUUUUAGGAAUAAUUUGAAAUUUAAAAAGUUGAUCCAAUUAAUUGUAAAUUAACUUAAAAUAUUAUAAAAUAUUAUGUUCAUAAUUAAGUACUAAAUGUAUAUAUGUAAUGAAAACUUAACUAGUUACAUGUUACAAAAGCCAAAAUUUAUUCAUUCUUUAUUUUAAAUAAAAUAUUAUUAAUAAUUAUUUUUUUUAAAAUAAUAUUUAGUAAUUAUUGUUUUUAAAUUAUUAUUAUUAAUUUUUAAUAAAAAAAUUGCAAAGUUAUUAAUAUCAUUAUAUUUCUAACAUAAAUUUAAAUAGUAUAUUUUUUAAUAUAUAUAUAUAUAUAUAUAUAUAUAUAUAUAUAUAUAUAUAUAUAUAUAUAUAAUUUAUGAUUUCAUUAUAAUAUUUUUAUUCAUGAUUGACGAAAAAUUAUUUAUUGUUUAAUUUAUUUGAAUUGCAAAACUAUUUUUCAAAAUUCAAGCGAGAAAAUAGGCCUGGAUUUGAAUUUCCUGUAGAAGAGAAGGAUGUGGAGAAUAUGUUGGGAGUAUUUGUGGAUAAAGAAAAGGCCAGGGUACUGAGAAAGGAGAGAGAACUUGCUCUUGCCAAAAGAGCCCUGCACAGGUAUUCUACUGAUUCUAAUUAUCGGUUCUUACAUGAUCAGAUUUCAGAUUUAUUUGCUGAGCUUCUGAAAUCUGAUACAGUAUUUAAACUCCGGUGAGCUUUACAAGAUUAGUCUCGCAUCCAAUUCCAAAUGGUGUCCCACAAUUGAUUCUUCUUAUGAUAAAUCCACCUUGAUAUGUGAAAAUAUUGCUCGAAAGGUUUAUCCUCGCGAGGAAUAUCCAGAAUACUAAGGAAUUGAGGAGGCUCACUAUGUUUAUAGAGUCAGGGAUAGGUUGAGAAAACAAGUAGUUGUUCCAUUACAUAAGGCCCUGGAGUUGCCAGAGGUUUUCAUGUGUUCGAACAAGUGGGGAUCACUUCCCUACAACCCUGUGGCUUCAGUGGCCAUGAAAUCAUACAAGAGCCUCUUCUCAAACCAUGAUACAGAGCGGUUUGGUGAGUAUCUUGAGAAAGUGCAAACUGGGAAGGCUAAGAUUGCAGCUGGUGCAUUACUUCCCCAUGAGAUUAUAGCUUCAUUGAAUGAGGAGGAUGCCGAGAGAGUUGCCGAGCUUCAGUGGGCAAGAAUGCUGGAAGAUUGAUCAAAGAAAGGGAGGCUCACAAAUUGCAUUGCAGUAUGUGACGUAUCAGGAAGUAUGAGUGGAACUCCAAUUGAGGUGUGUGUGGCUCUGGGGCAGUUAGUUUCAGAGCUCAGUGAAGAUCCAUGGAAAUUAAGGUAAUGUAAUUACUUUCAGUGCAAAUCCUGAGCUUCACAAGAUCCAAGGAGACAGCCUUGUAUCCAAGACUGAAUUUGUGAGGAUGAUGGAAUGGGGUGCCAACACUGACUUUCAGAAAGUUUUGACAGAAUCUUACAAGUAGCAGUGGAGGGAAAUAUGAGUGAAGAUCAAAUGAUAAAGAGGGUUUUCGUUUUCAGUGAUAUGGAGUUCGAUGAAGCUUGUGGGAGGUAUAACUAUUGUGACUAUGACUAUGAUAUGGAGGAAAUUGACGAGAGUCAGAAGGCAUCUCAGAAGUGGGAGACAGAUUAUGAAGUGAUACAGAGGAAAUUCCAGGAGAAAGGAUACAGAAAAGUUCCAGAGAUAGUGUUUUGGAACCUUAGAAACUCAUCAGCGACUCCAGUGACGGCCACAGAGAACGGGGUGGCCUUAGUAAGCGGGUUUUCAAAGAAUCUGUUGACCUUGUUUUUGGAAGGAGGUGGAAUUCUGAUCCCUCAGGAUGUGAUGGAAUUCGCCAUCUCUGAUGAAGAUUACAAGAAACUUGUUCUAUUUGAUUAAGAUAUCAAGAGAUUUAUCAAUAAUAAUAUAUUUUUUUUCUAUGUGAAAUACAUAUAAUAUUAACUGUGGAGUUAUCAAAGUUCUGGAGGUUUAAUUAUUUCUUCUUUUCAAGUUUUGUUUAUUUAAGGUUUUCUUUGUCUUUGUUAGGAAUUCCCCUUGGGUGGACCCAGCUGGGGAGUUGGAUUGAGGAAGUAAGCAGGCGAACUUGUGUUCUUCUAUGGACAGAGAAAAAAAAUAAAAUAAAAAAAUAAAAAAGGAGGUUAUUUGCAUUUGGAUGUCGUGGUUUGAGGGUACAACUACAAGCUCGAAAUUGUACAUAAUGUGAAAACUCCUGUGUCCAUUGCUGAGAACAGCAUAAAUGAUGGUGAUUUUCAAGUUGUGCCUGGUAUUCUACAGGAUGAAACAAGAAAGGAUCCAGGUGGUAUAUUGAACAAUAUCCCAAUCAUGUUGGUGGCAUCUUUAUUUAGUUAAUGGUAUUCAUUUGGUGGAAGCUGGUUGUUUAUGAUGUUUUUAAUUUUUUUUAACAUGAAGUUCGAUCAAAUACGUAUCUUAGUAUGUUUUGUUUGAGCUAAUUGGCAAAUGCGCUUUAAACAUGGUCACAUGGAUGCAGUUUUAUUUGUGAAAUGAUAAUAGUCGAUUACUUGGUCAGUAAGGUUUAUAUCUCUAACUUCAACAUCUUAUUGUAGUCUUUUAAAAUGUCAAAAGUUUAAUGCUUGAGAAAUUUUGGAAUGGAGACAUUCUAAACAAAGUUAAUAAUCCACAAGACUUGGUAAAACCGAUCAGAUGAUGCUUACGUACAUCAAUGCCUUCUUUAAGCCAUAUCCUAUUUUCAUUGAACGGGAUGUGCCAUCUAGUUUGGUUCUUUAAGCCUCCAAAUCCUAAACCUAGUCUCAAUUUAGAGCAAAUUUAGGGUGCAGGGCCUGCAUGCCUCCCCCUCCCCCUUCCACAAAUAGUAGUGACCUUGCUAUGCCUAUGCAUUGUCAAUGCCUCAUUUUCUAUGGUCUCCAAUGUAAUAUCUUAGUUUCAAUGUCUCUUUCCUUACUAUCUCCAAUGCAAUAGAUUGAUUUCAAUACCUCUUUACAACUAAGACCUCCAAAUUUUCUUGGUUCAAACCUACCAGAAUUUUUCUUCUCCUUUGCUUUCUAUCAAUAUUAGUUCCCCUAAUUUAAUAUAUACUUCUUUAUUACCUUCAACUCUACCUCUCUUUCUUUCUCUAAAAGCUUCCUCAAAGAUUUAAUUGCUUUCUUGCAUGUUUUAAGAAAACAAACAUGCUCAUAUUACAUUACCUCUACUUGAGAUCUACCUUAUACUCUACCUUCUUUCUUUACCUCCUAUAUCAUCUACUACAUUAGCUUCAAAAAUAUUAUUUAGUUUGAUACUAAAUAAGGCUCCUAAUCCUACUCUUCCUUCAACAAACUUUCUUUUUACAAGUUCCUUAAACUUUAUUUUUUAUUUUUUAUUUUUUGGAAAUUCGGGUUAGAAAGAUUCCAUUACUCUUACCUAAUAUUUCAACCAUCAAGUUGAAUCCACUUAUUGCCUAAAUCCAAGGAGUCUGCCCUCCACAAAAACAAGGAAAUUGAUCCCACAAUAACAAGGAGAUUGCCUUCCACAGAAACAAAGAGAUCUCCCUUCACAGAAGCCGAAUACAUUGCAAUCUAUUUUCUUUCUUGUAAGAUCAAAUCUUCAAUCGAGCUCCAUCUUAUGGGGGCAUAUUAGAGAAAUUUAAUAUUAUCCUUAAUUUACAUAUUAAUAUUUAUCUAUUUAUUAUAUAUUGAAUUAAAAUAGAAUAUAGAAUUUGAAUCAUAGUAGAAGUUUACUAUAAGAUUGAAUUACAAUAGUUAAUAGAGUUUAAAUUAUAAUAACUCAAAUACAUUUAUAUAUAUUUGACCUUACGAGAUUUUCUAUUUAUGUAUUUGAACUACAAUCCUUAUGAUCCUUAGGUCUCUAUACCUUCGUGAUGGGCUCCUUGACAUUUCAUAGGUUGUGCUACACAUGCAUUUGAAAUUUAGAGUGCAUUUGACAGUGAUUCUGGGAAGUGUUUUUGGCAUUUCUAACACUUAAAAUUUUUUAUUUUUCAAGUAUUAGAAAUGCUACAAACACUUUUGAAAAUUACUGUCAAACACACUCUUAGGAGCGCAUAUAGUAGAAAACUAGAAAUUGUGGUUUUUUUAGGAUUUACUGUAAUGUCAUUAGGAGGGUAGUAAGUUGAAACUGAGUAUGAAUAAAUAUUUCUUUCUUUGGGAUGUUCUUCUGGUAGGUGCUGAUGAAACUGUUCUUUUUACUGCCAAUGUCACAUAUCAGCCAGAAAUUGAAAAUUUCAGUCAAGGUGUCCUCGGUUUUAGUGGUGAGGAAAGCUAGAAAUUUUAAGGUGAAGUUCUGUUAAAAACCUUAAGUAGCUGGGAUAUCAGGCCUGUUUUGCUUGAAAAAAAAAGUUGCAAGAUAACUCAUAUGCCAAACAGGUUCUGAUAUUGUGAAUCUAUCGGCAGACAUCAGUAAUCUCAUCUUCUGAGAUGGAUGUUGGGGGUGCAUGUGGUGGUGGAGGGGCAAGGUUUCAUUUGGUUUAUUUUGUUGAUGGAUAUUGUCUAGCCCCCUGCGCCAAGUUUGAGGGGUGGUGGGUUGUGAUGGCCCUACAAUUACUAUUAAUUUCUUCCUCUUUUACCGAUUAAAGUGUCCGAACAGUCGAAGUUACCCUUAUGCAUGUCAACUUGAUCACUUACCUCUUCAAUGGAGUUUAUGCUGGUUCAUUUAGGAACUGAUUUUUAUUGUUAUGCAUUCUAUGCUGAUGUUUAGGCCUCUCCAUCAUCACUAUAUACAAAAAUUCUAGGUUGAUACUAUAGGUUGAGAUUUAUUUUUUAAAUAAAAAAUAAUAAAAAUAAAAAUUAUGGUGAUGUUUAGUUGUUUUAUGGAAAAUUUUAACAAGUUAUUUUUGGGCAAGUUUUCAAACAAAAAGAAAAGUAAAAGUUGUUUUGACAAAAACAUAUAGAAAAAAAAAAUCAUAGAAAAGAAAUAAUUUCCCCAUAUUCUAACUUUUUUUAAUUUUUCUCAAUGGGCAAAGGAAUAUCAAAUCAAGUUUGAGUAGGAUUUCUUAAUUUUUAAAAUAACUUACAAUUAAAAAAUUUUGGUGUUUUCAUUUUUGGACAAUUUUUUAUUAAGCAAAUGGACUCUGAGUCAUGCAAGAGAUAUGGUUGAUUAAUGGGUCAAACAAUUUUUUUAAAAUAAUUUAAAACUCAAAUACAUAAUCAAUGUCACAAAAUUUAUAAACAAAAAUAGGUUUAGAGAAGAUCUACACAUAAUUUUACUUUUCUAAUUUUAUUUUAUUUUAUUUUUUUGUUGGAAAAUAGUCUUCAAAUCAUGUAAGAUUUAAUAGGUUAAAUUUGUUAACAAUAAAUUUUAAAUUAUAAAAUAUAAUCUGGAACUUAAAAAUCAAUUCAAGUAAUGCUAAAAAAAAUCAAAUUUGGUAUAGAAUGACUACGUAAAAUUUUUUACAAAACAAAUGAAUUUUAAAUCAAGUGAGAUUUAAUGCAUUAGAUUUUUAUCAAAUAUAGUAAUUUUAAAAUUUAAUUUGGAACUCAACAAUAGACACAAUAAAUACCAAAAAAUAAUGAACCAAAAUUGGUUUGGAAUAACUCCACAACCUCUUUUUUUUUUUUUUGGUGCACACGAAUUUUCUUACUAGGUAUAUUGCUUUCAAAUUGAGAAAGAUUUACUAUUUAGAUUUUUUUUUUUAAUGAGUUUAAUGGUAUUUUAAAAUAAUUCAAAAUUUCAAAAAUUGACUAAUUACUAUUAUAAAUUCAUAAACCAAGACUAAUUCAAAAUGCAUUGGGGGCUAAGGGGGUUGAAAAUAGGGACAAUGGGAUGGGUUUGGGACAUGACACUCAUAUCUCAUUUCCAUUCCAAUUACAUAGUUAUCUCCCAUCCUUAUCCCAAACUUGUGUUGGAGCAAGUUGAUUUGUUCCCAUCUUUGUUGAUGAAAUGACUAAUAACCUCAUCCCCUCCUUAUCUUAGAUGUACAUUUUGUCAAAUUUGAUCAGGUAUGAUUGAUCCAAGCCCUAACCCUAAUUGGUAAUGACUGGAUACUACACCUAAUUGCAUUCUUCUUUCGUCGCAAAAUAAUGAGAUUAUAAUAAUCUAGCAAAUAAGAAAAAAUAGUAUGGAAGUUCAAUUUAACACCAUAACUAUCAAUAAUUUUAAGCUUAUAGAUGACUUAAAUGAUUAAAAACUAAUGCAAAAUACCAAAAAAAAAAGUUCAUAUAAAGAAUUCACAAGAGAACAAAAUGAACAAAAACCAAAUAUGAACAUGGGUCAACAUUAGUUAUGGAUUUGGAUUCCUUUCAAGGCCAAUCUUUGAACCAAGACUUCAUCAAAUCUACUACUUCAAAGGCUUUUGUGUUCUUCUUGGGUUGUGCUCUCAAACAAAGACUUCAAGGUGAUGCUCUAGAUGAUUGCAUUACACAUAUUUAGGGUGGAGAGAUUGGAGAAGCUUGAAGAUGCCAACGAUGGGUACAAUUGAGUGGUCAAUAAGAACAAUGUAGCCUAUGACUAGUUUGAUGUCGUGGUACAAGAGUUUUAGGCAUUGAGGUUAAAGCAAGAGCAACAUGGAAUUGAUUUUGGAGUCUUUCAAUUAGUGUAAAGGAGGAAGAAGUGGUAUUGAUUCUAGAAAUAGGGUUUUAGGUGGUGCGUUAGAGGAUGAAGAAGAAGAAAAAGAAGGAUCUGUUGGAAUUAGUGUGAGUGUGAAGAGAGAAGUAUAUAAAUAAGGGGAAGUAAAAGCAAAGUUCUAAAAGCUAUAUUUUUUUUUAUUGUUGGUGUAUGGUUGCAUGAUUAUCCCUAUAAAUAAUAGGAGUUUUUUUGGUAUUCUACUAGUAGUUGAAGGAUAAUUUCAUAAAUUUAUAUUUAGAGUGGGGUGGGGUGAGUUGUGACAAAAUUCAUACCCGUCCUAAACCUUGGUUCAGAUUUUUAAAAUAUCCUCAAACUUAUCAUAUACCCAACUUUUAUAUUUCAUACUUGUCUUGAUAGAGGCAGGUUAGGCCGGGUUACUUGAGUAACCUACAUAAUUGUCAUCCCUAGUUGAAAUACACUUUUUUGGCAGUGGCCACCAACUGAGCUAGAAGCUUGAUCGAUUGACCUACAAGAUUAGUUCUCAUCAUUUUAAAAAAAGUUUUGGCCUUGGUUGUGAGUGCAAUUGAAUCUAAACUGGCAUUUCCUUAAUGCAUCUACUUCAAUCCUAAAUUUCUUACUUCCUAAGCCUCAAUUGUUGUUAGGAUUUUGGAAAGCCCAUUUCCUUAAAUUGUAAAUUUAAGAAAAAAUAAAAUAAAAGUGAGACAUUUCUUGAUUGAAUAUUGUUAAAGGUCCCUUGGCAUUAAGACUUGGUUGAAGCCUUGGAAGAUUAGUGGAACUCUCAACUUGUGUUUGAAUCUUGAGGAGAGUGGACGUAAGCCAAAAUUUUGUCAAACCAUUAAACAAAUUGAGUUUGAAUCCUCAUUUCUUGAUUUCUUAUUUAUUUGCUUUUUCUUAUUAUUACUUGAAUUGUCAUUUGCAUUCAUUAAUGUUAAAAUUGGUUAUAAUUAACCAACACUAAUUCUCUUUCCCCUUCCCUUUCUUGGGUGUAAACCUAGGUUGGAUUAACUAGAUUAAUUUAUAAAAUCUAUUAAGAUGGUAAAAGAAUAAUUAUUCUUAACACACAUAAGAUCAUCUUCAAUCAAAUGACUCAUUGGCUAAUAUGUUGAAUUUGCUUAUUACUUGCAACUCAAAAUUGUGUUCUAGUUGAUAUGUCAAGUCCCCAGUGUAUGGACAUUAAAUUUGUAGUACGUGAUGGUAAUUAGAUGGUCCAACUCCAAGAAAGUGAUUGAAAACUAGUUCAAGAAAGGUGCAAAAGGGAAUUGUUUUGGUAUUUUCGUUUUUAUUCUUGAAGGUGGCAGAGCUAAAAUUUGUGAAAUCAAGCAAAACAUACUGAAAUUACAUUGAAAGAAAGAAAAUGGGAGUUAAUGUCUUGCAGUAGAUGAUAAGGACUUCAUGCAUGUAGUAUGACCCAUGUCUUGGACUGAUGCCAACUCACGGUUACACUUAUACCCUUGGUUCUCUCUUUACUACCUUGGCUAACCUAGAUCAGGCUAUGAGAUAGGCUCCUCACCACACCAUUACUUGCCCAUUAAUUAGAGACAUUUUCAAGCACUGAGGUAACAUGGUGACACCAAGAGGGUUUAUUCCUCGCCCUCCUCGCCCUCAACAAGUCUAGACUUGGUCUCAAAAAAAUGGAGAAAAAUGAGGUGUCGUUAUGUAGAAAUACAACAACCAUGCCUUCCUCAUUACUUUGAUUCAGAAUGUGAAGGUGAAAUUGAGAAACAGAAACUCUUGAAACCAAAAUGAAAAUUGAUACUUUUACGAAGAAUUACAACAACAUUGGAGGAAGACUACAUUCUUCCUCUUUAUUCCUACAUUUCUACACUACUUCUACUCCACUCCAUAUUUCUACAUACAUCUUUAAUCAGUCUUCCCUCCUUUAUAUAGAGCCAUCUUCACACAAAUUCCGCAAGGUAGAAAAGAGGAAUGAAACUUGGAGCAAGGUUCGACUACUGGCUGUAGCUUGUCAAGGCUGGAAGUGAACCUUUUUUCUUGGCUUUUCUGGGCAUGGGUAGUAACUUGUGGGUUCCUUUUUGGGAUACAAAUGGCUAGAACAUGUGGCACUAUCUUGUUGGAUGAUGUGUCAAGCAUGUGGCAGCCAUCUAGUGGCGAUUAUGUCAAUUUUGGGAUGGAGAGUUGGCAUCCAAUUGCAAAGAAAUAUGACGUCUACCAACAGGCAAUGUAAACCUAUGUAGAUCAUAUGAAGAUAGAGAGGAAAAAUAUAGAAAUGGAUAUAUACCUAGAACUAGCUUUUUAUUAAAUGAAACGGAGAGCCAACAAUGAAGGAAAAUAAAUUUUUUUGGCUUAUAUCAAAGAGUUCACAUUGUGCUACCCUAGGUUUUCUUAAAACUUACUUUUAUGAUAACAAAAAAAAAAAAAAACAUUAUUGUUUAAUCCUUUGUUUUAAACGCAUGUUUAGCAAGUUAUAAAAUGUAAAAAUCUUUCUAAGUUCAAAUAUGAAGAUAUGACAUCAUUUCAAGCAAGAUAGUCUCUAGGAAUUAAUGUAAAGCUAAAUUAAGGUGAAAUUAAAUUAGUUCAAUGCAUUAAUUUAAGAAACUUGACCUAUCAAAAGUACAAAAUUAGAUGAAAUCCAUUUCAAUGGUUAAAAUGAUCAAAAUCAAACUUUUUCUAAGUAUUUUUUAAAAGUAUCAAUAUUGAAAGACAAUUUUAUAUUUAGUCAGAGUUUGGACAAAACCAAAAAGCACACAAAAUCCAAGCGACCAUCUCUAGCUUGGAUGGUCGCUUGAUCUCUAGCUUGUGUACUUGGAAAGCAACAUCGAGAUGAUAUAUAUAUAUAUAUAUAUUUUAUAUAAUAUUGUUUGUCCAAAUUCCCUAAAAAUUAGGCCACCACAUGUUCAUAAUUCUCCCUUCUUGAAUUUGAAAACUCGGACAAUUGGACAAUGCGACACCUAAGUCCGGUUUCUAAAUGCUAAAGUGAAAGGGUAGGUAUGGACCAUUGAAAUGUGAUCACAACUUUUCUCUGUAGCCAUGUUGUCUCUUUUUUCUUUUGCAUGAUUUUCUCACCUUAACAGAAUCAUAGACUUGUUUAAUCUCUAAAUGGGAUUAAUUUCAUCCAGCUUUAAGCUACUAUAUUAUAUCUAGGUGGAGGACUUUUAAGAGUGCAACCGACAUAGAGCACAUGCAAGUGGGUAUAUGGGACAUGAAAUUUCUUCUUAUAAAGAUUGCAUGAUUUUUAUAUUAGAGUUGUUGGGGCGCAAUGUAUGUAGCUUGUUUUGCAGUUAAAUUAAUUGGAUAAGUAGACAUUGGCGUUUCUAAAUCUACUGUGAAGUGCUUCAUGUACGUGUGAAGUAUUAGAAAUUUCUUUCUUGGCAACUUGUUUUUUCUUUGCGGUCUACUGAUAGGUUUGACUAAAAUUAUAUUCCCUGUCAUGCUAAUUAAUUUUCACGUGCAUGCUCAAAAGAAGAGUAUGACCUUAGUGCACCAAAAUCACUUUGAUUAAUUUGUGAUAGGUUUUUGUGCAUCAUGACAUUAGCCUUAUUCAUUUAGAUAAUGUUUAGUUUUUAGAAAGUAUUAAGAAAAGGAAAAUAAAUAUUAAGAAAAAUAUUCUUAUAUUUGAUUGUAUUAUGAAAAAUGUCAUAAAAAAAUCAAAUAUAAUUUAAAUUAAUUAAUAAUUUAUACAUUUUCAAAUUAUUUAAUCUUUAUAUUGAAGAUAUAAUAUAAAUGAAAUGAGUUUUAAGUAUUAUAUAAAAGUGAUUUAUUGAUCUUGCAUAUAUGUAUUUCUUUUUUUUUUCUUCUAUUUUUUUUCUUUAUUUUAUUUUCCUUAUGUUUUCCUCAACAUUUUCCGGAACCAAACAUAGCCUUAGGAAAUCCACAAUUACCUUCAACUGAGUAUAUUCGGUUGUUUUAGCAAUGUUAGGCUGCUAACUUGUGUUGGUACGAACCUGUUAAGCCUAAAGAUGUAAUUAGUUAGGAUAUUCUUUUCCCUCUAGUCUUGUAGCUCCACGUGUAUAGUUGGUUAGGACCUCAUUGUAUAUAAUGCCUGCCCUGUUAUUGUUGAAGACAACAGAGAUAAAUAAUAUUAACAUUUUUCCUCUCAUCUCUCUUUGUUUCCCUCUGUUUUCAUCUCCUCUCUCAUCUUGGUAUCAGAGCCUCCAUGGAUUCUUUCAAAGAAACCUCCGAAUCACCUUCUGCUAGCAUUGUUAAUGUGCAAAACCCAUUAUCUCAGUCAAACAACCUUCCUUCACCAGCAGCCACACCCUCUUUUUCUUUCUUGUCUAUGAAUCAACCUCUCACAGUGAAGCUGGAUAAUGGAAACUACCUCAUCUGGAAGAAUUAGCUUCUGAAUGUCAUCAUUGCGAACAGACUCGAUGAUUUCAUUUAUGGAACUCGACCCUGCCCUCCUUGAUUUCUCAAUCUGCAACAACAAACCCUCACUCCAGAGUACUCGGUCUAGCAGAGAUACAAUCGACUUCUAAUGAGUUGGCUGUACGCAUCCUUGUCCGAAGAUAUAAUGACUCAGAUUGUUGGGUAUUCAACAACUGUGGAGAUUUGGAACGUCCUUAAUCAGAUUUACUCUGCCUCUUCAAUGGCGUGGGUUACCGAGCUUCACACCAAGCUUCAAACGCUCAAGAAAGAUGGACUCUCAGUUGGUGAAUAUAUUCAAAGGCUCAAAUCCAUUUGCAAUAGUCUUGCAGCAAUAGGAGAACUAGUUUCUGAGAAAGACCAGCUUAUCUAUUUGUUCAAUGGAUUAUAUUGUGAGUAUAAUUCUUUUGUUACCUCCAUUCAAAAUCGAUCUGACCAACCAACUAUUGAGCAAAUCCAUAGCCUAUUGCUUAGCUAUGACUUUCGGCUUGAACAACAAAACUCUGUUUCUCUCCAUUAUGCCCAAGUCCGUAUGGCUCAUCUGAACAAGAAACCUUAUAAAUCAACUCCUCAACCUACAUUCAAUCAUAUUCACAUUCAACCUAGAUACUCUUCUCCACCUUUUAAGCCAACCACUAGUCAAUAUCAACCCAGGAUUUUGGGCAAACCACAACCACAACCAUGACAGCCUCAACCUCAAUGGAAACCACAUUUUUCAAUCCAGAAUCAAAAGCCUCAGUGCCAAAUUUGUGGUAAAUUUGGACACACUGCUCUUAUUUGCUUCCAUUGCACAAAUUUGAACUAUUCACCCCAACCUUCUCCUAAAUCUUUCAAUACUGUUCUCACCACAAAUUCCCAGCUCCCUAAUCCUCCAAAAUUUUCUUACCCUACAAUGGCUCAUCCUGCUGCUACGCAUAACACGAUUCCUGAUACAAAUUGGUACAUGGACUCAGGUGCUACACAUCACUUUACUCCGGACAUCAACAUGCUUGACACUGUGACACCAUUUAGUGGUUUAGAACAGGUGACAGUUGGGAAUGGUAAGCAACUCUGUAUCUCACAUCUUGGUACUGCAAAACUACCAUCCUCGUAUUCUCCUCUUGUUCUACAUCAGGUAUAUCACACUCCAAAAAUUUCAAAUAAUCUUAUUAGUGUUAGAAAAUUGUGUUCUGAUAAUAAAGUUUUUGUUGAAUUUUAUGCCACUCAUUUUCUUAUCAAAGAUCAAGUUUCGAAGAGAGUUCUCUUUCAAGGUCAACUUGAUAAUGGCUUAUACAAAGUUCAGUCGUCAUGCUCUCCUUCUACUAUUUCCUUUCAUCCUCAAGUUUUCAUAGCCAACAUCAAGGAUCAAAAUUUGUGGCACAAGAGACUAGGCCACCCAGCUUUAUCUGUUAUUAAUCAAAUCUUGGAUUCUUGUAACAUUGCUCGAACACAGAAAAUUGGUUUUAAUUUUUGUAGUUCUUGUCAAUUAGCAAAAAGCCACAGGCUUCCUUUUUCUCUGUCUCCAUCCAUUGCAGAAAAACCUUUUGAGUUAAUUCAUACAGACCUAUGGGGUCUUUCUCCUGUUCGCUCUAUUUCUGGUGCUCGUUAUUUUUUACUUUUCAUUGAUGAUCAUACUCGUUUUACUUGGUUUUAUUUGCUCAAAACAAAAGAUGAAGCAUAUCCUACUUUUCUCAAGUUUCAAGCUCUCAUUGAAAAUCAAUUUAAUACCAAGAUUAAGGUUGUCCAAUCUGAUUGGGGAGGUGAGUUUCGAUCUCUCUCCAUACUGUUUUCAAAUAUGGGCAUUGUCUAUCGUUUAUCAUGUCCAUACACCUCACAACAGAAUGAGUGGGUUGAGCGAAAAAAUCACCAUGCGGUUGAAAUGGGAUUGUCCUUUCUUGCUCGCUCGGGUAUGCCCUUAUCUUAUUGGCCUUAUGCCUUUCAAACUGCCACUUACCUUAUUAAUCGUCUCUCUACCCCUGUGCUGCACCAUCAAUCCCCUUACUUCGCACUCUAUCACAAAUUCCCAGCUUAUACUCAUCUUAAGGUCUUUGUUCCUCUUGUUUUCCAUAUUUACGCCCUUAUAAUACCCAUAAACUCCAAUACAGGUCACUGGAGUGUGCUUUUCUUGGUUGCAGUUCACACCACAAAGGUUAUCUAUGUCUUGACAUUCAUUCUAGCAGGGUGUAUAUUUCUCGCCAUGUGAUUUUUAAUGAAGAUUCUUUUACAUUCAAGAAUUUGAAAUCUUCUCUCUCUUAGUCUAUUUCUUCUUCCUCUUCUUUAUUAGUUCCUCUGUUCAUUUCCUUGCCUCCCCUCUCCCCAUAUCCUCCUAUUUCUCCAUCUAUAUCUCAUUCUUUUCUCUCUUCUUCUUCUACCUCUAGUACUUGUUCCCCUCUCGUUGCUCCUACCUCUCUUCCUCCCUCUUCACACUUUGUGUCCCAUCUAUUCCACCUCCUUCUCCACCUUCUUCGAGUGUGGACCUGCUUGUACCUUGUGUGAAUACAAAUUUACUUACUUUUUCUCGCACUCACAAUAUUCAUCCUAUGGUGACCAGAUCUAAGGGUUUGUAUCUAUAAACCUAAGUUGCUAUUGAGUGUCUCCAUAGGUUCUCUCACUAAGCCUACUUCCUUUCUUCAAGCUAUUAAAGAUCCUUCAUGGAAGCAAGCCAUGGAAUUGGAGUUUGCUGCCCUUCAACACAACAAGACCUGGCAUCUAGUUCAUUCACCUUCCUCAGGCAAAGUAAUUGGUUGUAAAUGGGUCUAUAAGAUAAAGCUUUAGCCUGAUGGCUAAUUGAGAGAUACAAGGCCCGCUUAGUAGCUUAGGGUUAUCAUCAAACUGAAGGUAUUGACUACUUCGAAACAUUCAGCCUGGUUGUCAAGCCUUCUACUACCGUAUUGUGCUCAGUCUUACUUUUUCCCAGAAUUGGUGUAUUAGACAGCUGGAUGUUCAUAAUGCCUUCUUACAUGGUGACUUAGCUGAAGACGUUUUCAUGGAACAACCACCUGGAUUUGUUGAUCCUCUCUAUCCUACUCAUGUCUGCAAGUUGGAUAAGUCUCUCUACGGUCUUAAUAGUCACCUCGGGCUUGGUAUACUAAGCUGAGUACUUCUCUACUACACUUGGGAUUUGUUACUUCUAAGAAUGACUCUUCCUUAUUUAUUUGUCAUUCGUCUCAUGGGUUACUUCUUGUUCUUGUCUAUGUGGAUGAUAUAAUCGUCACUGGGAGCCACUCUCCUCAAGUUACUCACCUUAUCCAAUAGUUGCAUCAUCAGUUUUCUUUAAAGGAUCUUGGUCAUUUACACUAUUUUCUGGGCUUGGAGGUUCAUCACACCCCUACUGGUAUUCACCUCAGCCAAGCAAAGUAUAUCACUGAUCUCCUUACCCGGGCGGCUAUGUUGGAUGCCAAGCCAUGUCCCACUCCUAUGUCCUCCAACACAUAUCUUUCUCUUCAUGAUGGAGUGGCUCUUGAAAAUGGUUCAGAUUAUUGAAGUUUUGUUGGUGCCCUUUAGUAUUGUACCAUGACACGCCCAGAUAUAGCUUUUGCAGUAAAUAAAGUGUGUCAAUUCAUGCACCAUCCCUCUGAUGUUCACUGGCAGGCUAUAAAACGUAUUCUCCAGUACUUAAAGGGCACAUCUCAUUUUGGUCUCUUCCUACAGCCUUCCUAUGACUUCAACAUCACUUGCUAUACAGAUGCCGACUGGGCUUCCUGCCUUGAUGACAAGUGUAGCACCAGUGGCUACUGCCUCUUUCUUGCCUCUAAUCUGGUUUCUUGGUCAUCUUCCAAACAAAAAGUGGUCUCCCGCUCCAGCGCCAAAUCAGAGUACCGAGGGGUAGCAAAUGGGGCUGCUGAAAUUGCUUGGACUGAAUCUCUUCUUUGUGAACUUUCCACCCACUCGACCUCCCCUCAUUGUCUGUGACAAUAUCAGUGCCACAUACUUAGCUGUCAAUCCUAUUUUGCAUGCCCGCACCAAAACAUGUGGAAAUCGACUAUCACUUUGUCUCGGAACGUGUUCUUCAACGCUCUCUCUCUCUCCAGUUUACACCUUCGGAUGAUCAACUUGCUGAUUGCAUGACCAAGCCUCUCUCCACCCAACGUUUCAUCACUCUACGCUCCAAGCUCACUGUUCUCACUAGACCAAUGAGCUUGAGGGGGGAUGUUAAGCCUAAAGAUGUAAUUAGUUAGGAUAUUCUUUUCCCUCUAGUCUUGUAGCUCCACGUGUACAGUUGGUUAGGACCUCAUUGUAUAUAAUGCCUGCCCUGUUAUUGUAGAAGACAACAGAGAUAAAUAAUAUUAACAUUUUUCCUCUCAUCUCUCUCUCUGUUUCCCUCUGUUUUCAUCUCCUCUCUCAUCUGAACCAAAUGAUCCAUGUUAACCUUGGCUUGGUUUGAUUUGGCUCUAUCUUAGAGAGCUCAAGGAUCACGUCAACUCUGGUUUCUACUAUUCAGGUCCAUUCCCAUAUGAACUGGUUCAAAUUUGAGAAAAUGGUAACAGACCUUUAGUGAUGUUGGUUUGGAGCCAGUUGCCAAACCCGCCCUGAGCUUUACCACUAAUGUCAAGGGAGAAAGCCUUUUGAACAAAAACAAUAGCUUCAAGAGACUGAAUCGUGGAUGAAAUCUGAUCCACAUUUCUUCUCAUUUUGGAAACAAAUGAGAACUUAACUAAGAAGAUUCUACGGCCUCAUAGUGCUUUUCCUGAUCUAAGGUUGGUUCGUUUCCCAAAUUGUGAGAUGCACGGGCCAGACUUCAGAACUCUCACGCUCAGGAGUGUAUCCACGUGGUGGACAUAAGAUGGUGGCUUAAGAUCUGGUGUCGGUGGCUUUACUUUACUAGGAGAGUAGUGUGUCUUCAUCUCAUUCACUGCCGGAGGGUGGCGUAAGCAGUGACGCUAAGGUGGGGCAUAGUCAAUAUCAUUUGCAUUUGACCAUUAUAGUUUUCUCCCGGCUUGAAAGUAACCUUAUCGUGAUAAAGGAUUACUAGCACUAGUUCAGAUGACAGUCAUGUUAAAUUCGGACCAUGUUUGUGUCACAUUAUCAGCAACCAUGUGUUUAUGGUUCAUGCUUUCUGCAACUGAAAUUGAAAUUGAUAUAUAACCAGGUGAACUUCAAUCUAAAUUCUGGAAGUACUCAUGUGAGCGAUGGUGCCCAUCUGCAGAGUCCAUCAAUUGAAAAAUGGAGUGAGUGUAUCUAUAAGAGGGAAGGCUUGGCAAAUGUCCAGUUUUCUGGGAAUUCAACAAGGAUCUAAAAUAGAUUGUUUUCUUUGCUGAUUUCAAUGGUUGAAAUUUGAGAAGAUUGUGUCCCACAUAACACAACUAUUACUGGUCCUUCUGUUGCAAUUUAUCCUCUAAGGCUCUAGCAUGUCUUCCAAUUCCCACUUCCCUGUUACUCCAGGAAAGCUAUUUCUGUCAUUGUGAAGAAGAAAAGAGAAUGUAGAUAUCGAUGCUUUUAAGUGACUGGAGCAUUCAUAUCAGGUGGUCUGCAGCCAUAUAUGCCACUUUGUGAAGAUUGGAACAGUCAAUCACUAGGCUAUAUAUUAGUGUGGCCCAGCCACUUUAAUCAAGGACAAUUCUUCAUACUUAAAAGUCAAAUUCUGCCUUUAGUCUCAUUAUAAAUUGCUGUUUAAAUAUUAAGCAAACAUUUGUUUAAUGCGAUUAAGACAGUACUAACUCAAUACUUGUUCUAUUUUUGGAUGGAAAUGCUUGAUGGUUUCAUCAUUGGAUGGGAUAAAGGUGCAUUCAUGAUUAUGAAUACUUGUAGUUAUAUUUUCAUUCUCUUUUUUCUCAAUGAGACUUGUUGGCACAAUUUUUCUGUUCAGAAACCUACCUCUCCAUGGAAAAUAAGUUGUGAUUGAUAGUACUGGAUAUAUUCAAGAAAGCUAAAUAUAGAUAGCACAAAAUAUUAUCGACAUAAAUAGCAUUAACAGCGUACGUAUGUCUCAGUGCUCAUCAGCCAUAAGCAUGGGGCAAACACUUACGAUGAGCAACUUACGUCAAAAUUCCAGAAUAGGACAUAGAAGUGACAGAUCUAUAUAUAUAGAACACUGCAUAAGAGUCACAAGAAAGGAAAUUACGGGUGCAUAGCAGCUCUUAUUUCACAUACUACUCAUACUGAUCAAAGUCACUCAGUUGGGAUGGGUGGGAGUAGGAGGUUUGUGGGGUGGCUUGUGCGGAGGAGUUGGCAGCUUCUUUCCAGGACCUGGUGGCUUCUCUCCCUUAGGUGGUUUGCCAACUGGGGUUGGUGGCUUGUAUGAGUCUUCAGCAUUCUCUGCAGGAGGGUGACCAGGGUUGUGACCAUAAUGUGGUGGCUUCUCUCCCUUAGGUGGUUUGCCAACUGGGGUUGGUGGCUUGUGUUCUGGGAGUGGCUUCUCCCCCUUGGGAGGUUUUUCCAAUGGGGUUGGUUUGUGUUCAGGAGGUGGCUUCUCCACUGGAGGCUUGUGUUCAGGAGGUGGCUUCUCCACCGGAGGCUUGUGUUCAGGAGGUGGCUUCUCCACCGGAGGCUUAUGCUCUGGUGGUGGCUUCUCCACCGGAGGCUUAUGCUCUGGUGGUGGCUUCUCGAAUGGGGGAUGCUUAGGGUAAUCAGCAAGUGAGGGGGCGGUGAGAACCACCAGGCCAAGCAAGACCACUAGCAAGUAUGUAGGAGACAUCUUUGGGUUUAGACUCAGAUGGUGCAAAACUAGGAGAAUUGUCUUUUAUAGCGGAUCGCACCCAAUAAUGAAAUGACACGUGUCUUUAUGACCCAUGUGUAAUGGGGUCGAUUUGGGUCCUACAGUGUUGAAAACUUCGACAUCCACUUUUGGCCUUUUGCUUUCUCUACAGCCGCCUUGCUUUUUCCCUCUUUCCUUUUGUUUUCCUCCUGCCCCAUUCUAUCAACUAAACACAAUUAUGUAGUUGUUUAAUUCUUAAAUGAGAUAUUAUCCGUCAAUCGUAUCAUAUUUUAUCAACAGAGAACGGAGUGCAAUGUGGCAAUCCAAAGAAAGAAGAUCCAUAAUGCAGCUGUAAUUUUAUCGUUUACUUUUAUCUCUUGGACCACUGCAUUUUUGUUAAGAGGUGCAAUAAUACACGUCUUUAUCUGCCAUUCAAUGUUUACAGUAAAGAGAGGGCACAAAACUCUUCACUGCUCUGCAUGUGUCCCAAAAAUGCAAUUGGACAAAUUAUGAUUUGCAUGCUAAAAAGAGGCAAAUGAGGUUAAUUCGCACCAUAAUUAUUUUGUUUUCUGGACCCCGGGGCCCUUUGGUUGGUUUGGGGGUCAGAAAAUGAACAUCAUAGGGGGUUUUUCCCUUAUGUGCAUUUGUAUCUGAUGGCUUUAACUCGCCUUGUUACUACAAAGAAAUUGUCACAUAUAGGAACUUAUUCCAGGCUGAGUAUCUCCGCAUAGACCCUAUAAAAGAAGACAAGUCAUAAUGAACAUCUAACCUUUGUUCAAUUUGAUUCAAUGCCCCAUUGUGUCCACCUCACAAAUCUGAAUUAUUAUAUCCAUUGAAUACAUAAAUUAAUGAAGAAAAUAUGAAACCCAAGAUACAUCUCUGCACAACCUCAACCCUGGUUGCUAUGUUUCCCUUCUAUUCACAUGAGGAUAUUGAUUACGGAAUAGGGAAACCUAGCAAGGGUUUACUCGGCUCUGGUUUGAUGCUAAUUGCCAAACUUGCAACAAGCCCUGAGUUUGAAGCUCACAGAAGAUGUUAUACAGGCAGGGAAAAACCUUCAGAGUUCGCUGCCAAAGAUAAUUAUUAAGGAGAUAUCACCAAGAGAAUUCCAAGGAGUCUGAAUCAAAGACAAAUUGGUCGUUCGUGGAGGUUCUUACUUUCUUUUGGGUAUAACUCACUGAGGGCACUGUCUUUUUUAUUUUCAUUUCACAUUUAGAGUUCUGUUCUGGAAACAUAUAAAAGGAGCAUCAGUUUGUUCUUGGGUAACCCAUAGUCGUGAGUGGGUCCAUUUGCAUGCUACUUAGUUGAAAAGUUGGACCAUUUGCUCCGACGCCUACCUCCUGGAUUCCAUGCUCGGAUAAAACAAGAAUAAAAAAAUAUUUAUAAUUUACAAAUGGGGGAAAGAAAAAAAUGUCAACAACAAACUAGGAAAAAAGAGUAGUAAAAUUCAUGUCACAUGCUAGUGAGAGAAGGGGUUGUUACACUCACUCGAAGUUCUUUUCAAAAUAUCGCAUGGUAUUUUAUUUUAUGUGUGAGCGCAGUUGUGAAUGGAACGUGCAAAAGUCCAAAUUGGUGACCUUUAAUAAAUAUUUAAAACAAAAAACGAAAAAAAGGAGGGAAAAGGGAUCAGAAAAGAUAAAACAAUGUGUACAAAAGCUCAAUUAGUUUGCAAAUUACUGUUUGGAUUUUGAUAGUAUUUUAUUUGAUGUAAAAGAGAAUUUAAGAUAUUUCCGAAACAAAAGCAUUAGUUUGCUCCAUGUCAAUUUCGGCAUUUCUCAUAUGUUUCACACAUACACAGAAGAGCAUCGUUUUUUAAAGCAUGCAUUUAUGUUGGAUUAAUUUGGAUUUUGUGGGAACUGGGGCAAGGAUCACAUGGAAGAGAGGUUGACUUUUUUCAGUACUUCAAUGGUUGAGACAGGUGAAGGCCUGAUUGAUACUGAAGCCUGAAAUUGCGACUCCGUCAUUUGUCAAAACAUAUGACAGCUUCCAUGCUCUCGUUUGGUUGCAUUGUUCUGUGGUCAUGCAUACAUGCCACUUAGUGAUCAGUCUGUAACUGUCAAUCAUUGGGCUUUGACUGAACAACAUCAGCCAUGUAUAAAUACUUGCAAAUCAAACGGUCUUCUUCCUCCCAUAAGGAAUUUCGGUUUAAUUAUGAAGCAUGCAUUUGGCUGACCAUCAUAAACCACUUCUUUAAAUUGAUGAAUGAUAGUUUUUCAUUCAUUCUUUCAUUCGUUCAUAUACAGAGUAUAUAUAGAGGGUAAUCAUCAUUCUAAGAAUGGGAAAGAAUGAUACAAGGAAAUAAUGAUAUAAAGAAAUAACAACUAAUAUUCUAAUAUCUCAACUUUCCUAAUAUCUAAACAUUCCUAAUAUCUCAACACUAAAUGAUAUAAAGAAAGAAUGAUAUAAGGAAAGCAUUCCUAAUAUCUCAACACUCCUCCUCAAGUUGGUGCAUAGAUGUCAAACAUGUCCAACUUGUCUAAAAAUUUUGAGAACAGUUGACUUGAGACAUCUUUGGUGAGGAUAUCGGUCAAUUGAUCUUCUGAUCGAAUCUUAGGCAAUUCCACAAUCUUAUCAUCCAACUUUUCCUUAAUGAAAAAUCUAUCCAUCUCGACAUGCUUUGUACGAUCAUGUUGUACUAGAUUAUGAGCAAUGUCACAUGCUGCUUUAUUGUCACAAAACAAUCGGAUUGGUUGCCUAGAUAGGUAACCUAAAUCCUAUAAGAGGAGUCUUAGCCAUAAUGCCUCACAAAGUCCUAAAGUCAUACCUCUAAAUUCCGCUUCUGCACUUGAACGAGCGACGACAUUUUGCUUCUUACUUUUCCAUGUCACAAGAUUACCACCUACAAAGGUAAAGUAACCAGAUGUAGAUCGCCUAUCAUCCACUGCACCGACCCAAACAGCAUUAUACUUCUAUACUCUGAUGAUCAACAUUUUUAGCGAACAAAAUUCCCUUCCUAGGAGCAUUCUUCAAAUACCUCAAAAUACGCAUGACUACAUUCAUAUGUUGCUCUCCAGGAUUAUGCAUGUAUUGACUCACUACACUCAAUGUAUAAGCAAGAUCUAGUCUUGUAUGAGCUAAGUACAUUAAUCUCCCCACAAGUCUCUGGUAUCUUCCCUUAUCGAUUGAUACUUGAUUAGGCUCAACACACAAUUUCAGACCUUCUUCUAUUGGUGUAUUAAUAGGUUGACAUCCCGACAUUCCAGUUUCCUGUAGAAGAUCUAAGGCAUACUUUCUUUGAGACAGAAAAAUUCCUUCACUUGAUCGAGAAACUUCAAUCCCAAGAAAGUAUUUCAGACGACCAAGAUCUUUCAUUUCAAAUUCUCUAGAUAGAUACUUUUGCAAAGCUUUUCUUUCUUCAGGAUCAUUUCCUGUAACUACAUGUCAUCCACAUAUAUCAUAAGUGUCGUAAUCUUACCAUGUUGCUUUUUCAAGAACAAAGUGUGAUUUGAAUUACUUUGAUGAUAGCCAAAAGCUCUCAUUGAUUUUGUGAACCUUCCAAACCAUGCUCUCGGGGAUUGCUUCAACCCAUACAAUGACUUCUUCAAUUCGCACACCUUCUGACAUUGCUUUUCUGACACCAUGCAUCCUGGUGGAAGAUCCAUAUAUACUUCUUCAGAUAAAUCGCCAUGCAGAAAGACAUUUUUUACAUCGAACUAUUGUAAUGGCCAAUCUAGGUUUGCAGCUAAAGACAAUAAUACUCGAACUGUGUUGAUCUUAGCUACAGGUGCAAAUGUCUCUGUGUAGUCAAUUCCAUAAGUUUGAAUGUACCCACUAGUCUUGCUUUAAAUCGUUCAAUACUACCAUCUGCCUUGUACUUCACAGUAUAGAUCCAACGACACCCAACUAGCUUCUUUCCUGGUGGACAUUCUACGAGUUCCCAUGUUUCAUUUUUCUGCAAUGAUUUCAUCUCUUCAUUCAUGGUUGCUUUCCACUUUGGAUCAGCUAAAGCUUCCUGCACACUAUUAGGAAUAGCUACAGUAGAUAAUUGAUUUACAAAUGACUUAUUUGAUUCAGACAAACCAUGGUGUGGACCCGCAUUUUUCACGUGCGCCUCUACUCGAUCGGCGAGACUCGCUUUCUAUUUGUGAAAAAUUAAUUUUAGAAAAGUUGGAGUCGCCACCUAUUUUAUUUUUAUUUUGAAGGGAAAAUAAAACAAGAAAGAAAAACCCUAAAAAGUGACUCCAUAGUUUUGGAAAAAGCAUGUCUUUGGGAAACCUGAGUCUAGGUCCGGGGAUCAUGUUACUUAUUGGGAAGGUACCUCUAGGAGGUAGCACCCCUCUAAGCCUUAUGAAGGUCUCUACUAACUAAAUUAAGGGAAGUGUGGCAAUAAAUCGAUUGAUCAUAGAUACCUAAGUAGACUAGGUGAUUUUAAAGUGUGGCAUGUCAAACACAAUCAAAUUGCAAUAAAGGAGAGUUAGGGCGCGUACCUGAACCGCUUCUCAAGCGCUAUCAUAAAACAUCAAUGGUUAAUUUAAAUAAUAUAUCAUCCAGCAUGUAUUUUAUUAGAAAUAAUCAAACAAUGAAACAUGUAUAUCAGAACACUCAAGCAUUAUUAGACAUAAGCAUUAUUUCACUAUUCACAGAAUUCAGAAAGUAGGUGAUAGAGGACAUACCUGGAUAGCAUAGAUAAUUUGUAAUGUGCUUCCUCAAGUUGUAAGGGGUUAGAUAACAAAUAAUAAAAUAUAGAAAUCCUAGCAUGCUCGUUAUCUAAUUAGCAUAGCAAAAGUGAUCACAGUAUACAGAAUCAUCAAUUAUCACAUACAUCUUGUAUAUAAUUCCUAAAAAAAAUAGAUAGACAUGAUUUCAACAAGUGUCAAAUGUGGCAACAAAAAUAAAUUUUGAAAAGAUUUUCUUAUGUAGGGGUUUCACCAAUUCCCCAAAUUAAUAUACACGAAUUUAGCUUAGAAUUAUCCCAUUUAUUUGGGACUACAAGCUUUGAUUCGUGUUUUUGUUCAAAACCAAAAAUUUUUGUUGAAAAUCAAGAAGGAUGCGAACCGAACAAGAUAUGGUUGCAUAUUAUUUUUAAAUAAAUAAAUAAAUAAAUAAAGGAGAUUUUGAUCCUGAGGACUUUAAUGAGUUUUUUUUUUUAAAAUAGAUUUUUAAAAUGAUUUUUUUGAGAAAAGUAUUUUAUUUUAAAAUAAAAGGGAUUAAUUUGGGAAAAAAAUAAAAUAUAAGAAAUAAAAUACCAAACAAAACAAAAAUGAAACCUCAAAGUAAAAUUUUUUUAGUAAUUAACAAAAAUGAUAAUGGUGAUGGUAGAGGGCAAUCUUCAUGAUUUUCCAAUGGCCUCAGAAAGAAAAUCAAAUUAAAUGAAGGAUCACUAACAGGCAAGACAUUCUAAAUUAGACAAACUAACAAAGUAUCAAUUCAUGAACUAACCGCUAGGAUUUUGAAAGCAUAUAAGCUAAGAUAAGGGUGAUCAGGAACUAAUAUUAAUGAUUUUGAAAUAAAAACUAAAAAAAAGGAUCAAUUCGGGUAAGGAACUAAAAUUAUAAAAGUACCUAAACUAAUUAUGACGAGUUUGACUAAAUUAAACUAAAAACAUGAACUUUCAAACAUAGAAUUAAUUUUACUAAUGAACCAAAGCAAACUAAAAAUAUGUACUUUCAAGCAUAGAAUUAAUUUUAUUGAUGAACUAAACUAUAACAAAUAUCUAAACUAAAUAUAAUGAAUCAAAUUAAAUUAAAGCAACUUAAAAACGCAAACUUUCAAACAUAGAAUCAAUUUUAUCAAUGAAUUAAAACUAUAAAUGUAUUUGAACUAAAUAGAUGAAUCAAACUAAAUCAGAGCAAAAUUAAAAAAAAAAAAGAACUUUCUAACAUGAAAUCAAUUUUAUCAACAAAUAAAUGAAUGAAUAACAAGUAAUUAAAAGAAUAGCUACUACAUGAAUAACUGAAUGAAUAAAAUUCAAAUGUUUUCAAUCUGAAGCAAUCAAUCAAAAUUAAAUAGGGAUCAAAUCAAAAUAAUCGAAAUCGGAAAAACAAUAUGCAAUCUUUCUAAAGGUUUAACCAGACAAUUGAAUUAAAAUUAUGAAUAGAAUAAAUUAAUAAACCAAAUCGAAACCUAAAUUGUACCUAAAAAGAUUAAUUAAUUAAACUAAGAAAUCAAAAUCAAUAACAAAACUAAACUAAGGAGUAAAUUAAGACAAGACUAAUUAAAUUAAACUCACAAACACGUUUUAACUAUCAUAUGGAUUAAAACAAAAUUAGCAUGGACUUAUGAAUUACGAACAAAAAUAAUCAAAACUAUUUUAAAAAACUCACCUCUAUUAUAAGAAAAAAUCUGCCUUUGAUGCGUUGAGGUGGCUCCCCUCUCUGUGUGGAUCUCUCUGCUCCCCAGAAAAAAAAUGUCUCUUCCUCCGUUCUCUUUUGUUUCAGCAAAAUAAUAUAUCCCCUGCUGUGGAUCUCUCUACUCCCAGAAAAUAAUAUAUUCUCUCCGUGUCCUAAAGUGGACCUAGGGUGCCUAAGUGGACCUAGGGUGCCUAAAUGGGCCUAGGGUGCCUAAAUGGGCCAAGUGUAUCUAAAUAGGCUUAGGGUGCCUAAGUGGGCCUAAGUCUAAGUGAGCCUAAGUCUAAAUCAAGACUACCAAGGAUCAUAAUAAGGGGUUAGGCAAUCCCUUAACCAAAGUCUCCAAGGUGGCUAAAAAAAAGUAAGUAGUAUGAGUAGCUAUGGGUCACCAAGGAACUACUGUGGAGCAUUGAAAACGAAUUUAAAGACAUGUGCCAAAGGGACAAAAUUGAGGGUCUACAGAUGGUUAGACACAUAGUUGCUCAUGGGAUAUUUGACUUUGGUAAACAAUUCAGAUUCAUAUGUGGGUUUAGGAAUACCUUUAUUAUGACGGUGUGGUAAUCGUUUCAUGAAUGGAUCAGGUUGCAAAUUAAGAACACCCUCAGCAAACAACGAUUGGUUUGGUAUUUCAGUGAAGACAUCUUCGAACCCAAAUUGUUGACCACUCAUAUCCAACUCACCCGCUUCCUGGUUCACUAGUUCAGAUUGUCCAAAUUCAUCAUUCUCAUAGAUAUGAUAAUCAUAAUCGAGAGUCUGAAUUUCCUUAUGGUACUCCCCCUGAAGUUCAGACUUAGAUGAAAAAUACAUCGAAUAUUCAUGAAACAGCNNNNNNNNNNNNNNNNNNNNNNNNNNNNNNNNNNNNNNNNNNNNNNNNNNNNNNNNNNNNNNNNNNNNNNNNNNNNNNNNNNNNNNNNNNNNNNNNNNNNNNNNNNNNNNNNNNNNNNNNNNNNNNNNNNNNNNNNNNNNNNNNNNNNNNNNNNNNNNNNNNNNNNNNNNNNNNNNNNNNNNNNNNNNNNNNNNNNNNNNNNNNNNNNNNNNNNNNNNNNNNNNNNNNNNNNNNNNNNNNNNNNNNNNNNNNNNNNNNNNNNNNNNNNNNNNNNNNNNNNNNNNNNNNNNNNNNNNNNNNNNNNNNNNNNNNNNNNNNNNNNNNNNNNNNNNNNNNNNNNNNNNNNNNNNNNNNNNNNNNNNNNNNNNNNNNNNNNNNNNNNNNNNNNNNNNNNNNNNNNNNNNNNNNNNNNNNNNNNNNNNNNNNNNNNNNNNNNNNNNNNNNNNNNNNNNNNNNNNNNNNNNNNNNNNNNNNNNNNNNNNNNNNNNNNNNNNNNNNNNNNNNNNNNNNNNNNNNNNNNNNNNNNNNNNNNNNNNNNNNNNNNNNNNNNNNNNNNNNNNNNNNNNNNNNNNNNNNNNNNNNNNNNNNNNNNNNNNNNNNNNNNNNNNNNNNNNNNNNNNNNNNNNNNNNNNNNNNNNNNNNNNNNNNNNNNNNNNNNNNNNNNNNNNNNNNNNNNNNNNNNNNNNNNNNNNNNNNNNNNNNNNNNNNNNNNNNNNNNNNNNNNNNNNNNNNNNNNNNNNNNNNNNNNNNNNNNNNNNNNNNNNNNNNNNNNNNNNNNNNNNNNNNNNNNNNNNNNNNNNNNNNNNNNNNNNNNNNNNNNNNNNNNNNNNNNNNNNNNNNNNNNNNNNNNNNNNNNNNNNNNNNNNNNNNNNNNNNNNNNNNNNNNNNNNNNNNNNNNNNNNNNNNNNNNNNNNNNNNNNNNNNNNNNNNNNNNNNNNNNNNNNNNNNNNNNNNNNNNNNNNNNNNNNNNNNNNNNNNNNNNNNNNNNNNNNNNNNNNNNNNNNNNNNNNNNNNNNNNNNNNNNNNNNNNNNNNNNNNNNNNNNNNNNNNNNNNNNNNNNNNNNNNNNNNNNNNNNNNNNNNNNNNNNNNNNNNNNNNNNNNNNNNNNNNNNNNNNNNNNNNNNNNNNNNNNNNNNNNNNNNNNNNNNNNNNNNNNNNNNNNNNNNNNNNNNNNNNNNNNNNNNNNNNNNNNNNNNNNNNNNNNNNNNNNNNNNNNNNNNNNNNNNNNNNNNNNNNNNNNNNNNNNNNNNNNNNNNNNNNNNNNNNNNNNNNNNNNNNNNNNNNNNNNNNNNNNNNNNNNNNNNNNNNNNNNNNNNNNNNNNNNNNNNNNNNNNNNNNNNNNNNNNNNNNNNNNNNNNNNNNNNNNNNNNNNNNNNNNNNNNNNNNNNNNNNNNNNNNNNNNNNNNNNNNNNNNNNNNNNNNNNNNNNNNNNNNNNNNNNNNNNNNNNNNNNNNNNNNNNNNNNNNNNNNNNNNNNNNNNNNNNNNNNNNNNNNNNNNNNNNNNNNNNNNNNNNNNNAACCAAAGGAAGCAUGUUCCAGACGUCGAUGCCACAACCAAAUUUCAGACUUUUUCUUCUCCUCCUUAGAUCCAUCUGCCAUCAAGGCUUGUUGCAACUUAUUUGAAUCCUUUGAUUGCAAGUCCAAGUAUAGAGUUUCCCCCGCUUAAUACGACAACCAAUCGUCUGUCUUGUUUGAAUGUCCUUAAUCACACAAAAUUCAGGCCAAAAAAUGACAAUACAAGAUAAGGCUGCAGUGAUUUGAGAAACUAACAAAAGAUUGUAAUCUAAAGAUGGAACAACUAAAACAGAAUCCAAAUUCAAAGUAUCAGUAAGAGUUAAGGAUCCUUCCCCAAUGACUGGGGUUGUGUUACCAUUGGCUGUGGAAACAAUUUUUUGUGAGGAAGGUCUAAGGGGUGAAACCUGUCUAGAAUCAAAAGUCAUAUGAUCUGUAGCACCAGAAUCAAUUAUCCAUGCACUAUUAAUAACAGGUGUAAAAGUAUUUAAAAACUUACCACAAUGAUCUGUAGCGGCUACUAAUGCAGAGACUUUCUCAACAACAUUAGUCUUUGUUUUUAUUUCGGUAACAGUUGCAAUCAAGGUUUUCUUGGAAUUCUUCUUCCGUUGAUCACGAUUAUUAUCAUUAAUAACAAAGUGUUGAUAGCCUAAACAUGAUCUAAAGGUCCAUGGUGCAAACCCUCGGUUCCUCAUUGUUUUCCUGGUCAUACCAAGAGUUGUUGCUUUGAAAUUGUGGGAUAUCCAGACUGGUGGGAUCAGUUUUAUUGCAGUGAGUGCAUUUGAAUGUUGACUUAUCAAUAUUAGGGCUUGUCUUCGGAUGGUUGAUUGCUGUUGGACUACCAUAGCGACAAAAUAUCCAGGAUUUCAAUUCCAGGGCUCUGAUACCAUCUUCAAAUUGAUGAAUGAUAGUUUUUCAUUCAUUCUUUCAUGUACAGAGUAUAUAUAGAGGGUAAUCACCAUUCUAAGAAUGGGAAAGAAUGAUACGAGGAAAUAAUGAUAUAAGGAAAUAAUAACUAAUAUCCUAAUAUCUCAACUUUCCUAAUAUCUCAAUAUUCCUAAUAUCUCAACUUUCCUAAUAUCUAAACAUUCAUAAUAUCUCAACACUAAAUGAUACAAGGAAAGAAUGAUAUAAGGAAAACAUUCCUAAUAUCUCAACACCACUUCAUGAUAUAUAUAGUUUCUUACCCUUAAUCAAUGGUUUCUAAGUGAAUUUAUAUAGAAAGAAAUCCAAACUGUAGACAGCAGUAUUGGUAACACUCAAUAUUCUGUAUAUAAUAGAAUAAAUAGCGUCACAGUGAUCGUCGCCUACAAGCAAGGUACAAAUACCACAAAGAGUGACCCACAUAGACAUUCCCCAACAAGAUGUAGUAGUGACUGACACAUAGCCACAAUUAACACGUAGAAAAGGAUAAGACCGGUGCACAGUAGCUCUUAUUUUACAUACUACUUAUGCCAACCAAAGUCACUCAGUUGGGAUGGGAGGGAGAUGGAGGUUUGUGCGGUGGCUUGUGGGGCGGAGUUGAUGGCUUCUUUCCAGGAGCUUCUGGCUUUUUCAUCGGAGCUGAAGGAGGCUCAAUCUUAUGAGGCGGCUUGUACGAGUCUUCUUUGCUCUCGAAAGGAGGGUGGCCAGGGUUGUGACCAUAAUGUGGUGGUUUCUCUCCCUUGGGAGGUUUACCAAUUGGGGUUGGUGGCUUGUGUUCUGGGAGUGGUUUCUCUCCCUUGGGAGGUUUAGUGGGUGACUUGUGUUCUGGAGGUGGCUUCUCCACCGAAGGCUUGUGCUCCGGUGGUGGCUUUUUGGUUGGAGGGGGCUUGGGGUAAUCAGCAAGAGAUGGGGUGGUGAGAACCACCAGUCCAAGGAACAACACUAGCAAGUAUGUGGGAGACAUUUUUGAGUUUGGGCUGAUCAGAUGAUGCAAAACUAAAGCAUUACGUGACCUUUUAUAGCAAGUAGCUCCCAAUACCUACUUGACACGUGUUACUGUGACCCAUAAAUAUUAUGGGGUCUAUUUGUGCCCUACCGGGUUGAAAACUUGGACAAUUGGGCAAGGACCCGCCUGACUAUGGAGGACUACUGAGGUGUGAUCACAGCUUUAGGAUUUUUCUUCCUCUGCAGCCGUCUUGCCGUUGGCAUGAUUUUCUUAAUCUCAAAUAAAGGCAUAGUUAUAGAGUUGUUUAAUCUCUAAAUGGGAUUUUAUAUAUCUUCAGAUAGCCAUUAAUACAUUUGAUGAAGAAAGAAAGACAAGUGCAUACAACAUGUAUACGACUAGCUUUCAUGGAGUUCAUUUAUGAUCAGUUUUCCUGUACAUGUAAACCAAGAUCAUAUAUGUUUUUGUUCCACAACAAUUUUGGAAUCUUGUUUAUCCGUUUUUAUCAUUAUAAUGUCACAUAGGCUGCCAACUUGGGCGCUAAAUUAAAGAUCCAGUUGGGCAAGUUCGUUUCAGAAUUUCAAUGGUGGAUUCAGGAAUUGUUUUAUAAGAUAUGCAAAAUAGUAGAGGGAUGAAUAGUGUUUCAUUAAGAAAAGAGCCCUGUAAAAAUAUUGUUUAAAGGUGCCAUAGAAACUAUAAUCAAUAAAUAACUUUUUUUCCCCAUGGGUGGUGUUUCUUGUGGGGAUCAGUGACUGGUUUGAGUCAACGCCGUGUCUCUUUAGUCCAGAAAUCAACUAUUUUAUGCAUUGAAUACAUCAACAAAGAAAAUAUGAAAGCCAAAUGACACCUCCCCCGCAAAAACUAAACCCUGGUUGCUAACUUUCUAUGUUUCAGUUCCAUUCACACAAGAAUAUUAGUUCAAGUUUGAGAAAAAUGGCGACUUACCUAGUGAUAACUCGGUCUUGGUUUGCGAUUUGACUUUAACGUCAUGGGUUGAAGCCUCCUACAAUCAUCGUGUAUGCUAGUUCAAAGCUCGUGGAAGAAGUUAUACAGGGAGGGAGAAACCUCCACAGCAAGCUCCAAAAGAGAAUUAUCACAUUGAAAGCUCCAGUUGAACACUGGGUGAAAGCCAUAACAAGAUUGGUUUUCUAUCGCUCUUUUAAGUAAUGGAAGAUUAUUAUCUCUGCUUGUCACUACAACCGUGCAUGCUGCUAGAUCUUUCUAGACACUUCAAACAGUGAAACCAAGUAUGAUUCUUUUUCUCUUGAGUGGGUCCACUUGCAUGCCAAUGAACGAGUUGAAAAGUUGGACAAUUGGCCACAGCGCGCACUUACCUUCUGGAACCGAAGGUCAGUGAAGUGGGGUUCCUUUUGGCCCCUUGUGUUUCUGUUCCAACCUACUCCAGGAACCGAAGUUCAGUGAAGUGGGGCUACUUUUGGCCUCUUGUGUUUCUGUUCCAACCAAACAAAAAUGGGAGGGAAAAAUAGCAUUAUGCUUGUGCUAAAGAUCAACGCAUGAUAGCUGAAUAAGGGAGAAAAAGGCAUUGCUAUCUCAAUUUCAUAAACUUGAUAAGUAGUGACAUUAAUAGUCUUCCUCAUAGAUGGAUACAUGGUUUUAUUUUAUUUAUUUAUUUUUAUUUUUUUGUUUUAUGUCAAUGCUAAUGAAUGAAGUGCAUUAGCUUGUUUUGUGACUAGAACUACAAAUGUCCAAAUUGGAGCUUCUCCAAUAUAUUUCUCAGUGAGUUAUUGAUUAGAACUCUUGGAUUGAGUUCCAAGAUUUGAAUCAGACCCCUCUAGCAGCUUCAGGGGUACGUAGCAACCUAUAGCAUAUUAAUGAAGACUUAGGAUUUAGACUUAGGAAUACAAAUUAAUAUGUACCUCAUGCUCUGACUAGCUUCCCUGCGUAUGCACAAAAUGGAGAUGACUCCCAAAAAAAUAGCAGAAUCGCCUUAGUAUGUUUUUGUGGUUAAGAUGAUUCUCCACUUUAUAUAUCCACAUUGGUUCAUUAUGCAAAUUAAUCAACUAAGCUAUUUUUAUUUUUUCUUAAAUGUGAAAUAGGAGCUCCAAAUUAACCUAACCAUUGGCCUGAUUGAAUUGAUUUCACUUGCAUAAUGUUAUAGUAGAAGUCCGUAAUUUGAAUUUUAUUUUUGCAAAAGGUAACGUAAAUGAAGCAUUGUAAUUAAAUUUAUUUGUAAUUACAAACUAAUUUUAUUUUAUUAAGAAUUAAUUUAAUUACUCAUUUAAAAUAAAAAUCAGUUAUACUUUUACCAAGAUGAUAAUAUUCAUAUUUUUCUAGUUAACAUAUAUAAAAUAGUACACUUUUUCAUAUAAAAAAAUAAUUUAUGAUUUAUUAUAAUGUUACUAUUCACAUUUUACUAAAUUGAUGGUACAUGAUAGUGAGAGAAGGGGGUGUCACACUCAGCUAAAGUUCUUUUCAAAAUAUUGCAUGGUGUUUAAUUUUAUGUGUCGGCGCGCGUGUGAAUGGAACCUGCAAAAGUCCAAAUUGGCGUUUCUCCAUUUUCCACAUAGGAUGGUGACGUUAAUAGACAAAGAUACAAUAUCUGUAGACAUUGCUUAAAAAUCGAUGUGAAGUAUUAGAAAUUACAGGGCACUGUACUGGGGGAGCGGCUGCCCCGCCAAAGGAGGAAGAAUGUAGCAAUUUCUUCUGUUAGCCAGGCCUUAGGAUUUAUGCAUGGGAUGCCUAAUAACAAACAGAGAAAAUAUACUUUUGGGGAAGGUAUCCAACAACAGACACCAUCAUUCAGAUGGUGGGAAGGUAUCCAACAGAUGCCAUCAUUCAGAUGGUAACAUAUAUAUACAUUUAUUAGUGAGUUUUUUUAAUACCUAUAAAAAAAAAUAUACACUUUGAUAUUGUGGCUGAAUCCAUUACAUACUCAACUAACCUUGCUCAUUAGGGAUUUGACUUAACAAGGGCAACGUUGCAGUACAAGCUCAAAACUUUAUGCAGGUGACAUUACAUUUGGUAAAGAAGAGGAAAAUAACGAAAGCCAUCCAUAAAAGCAAAAUUCCACAUGGGAUGAAAUUCACAAGCUUCAUUUACGAUAGAGUCGCAUCCAGGCAAUUAAUUCCACAUUAGACCGCCUGUUGACAUGUGUACCAAUCUUUUUUCAAAAAAUAUUUAUAAAUAAUUGAUACUCACAAAAAUAAUUUAAUAUUUAUAAAGGAUAAAAAAAUAUUUUCAAAUCUAUAACAAUUUAUAAAAUAUUAAUAAAAAAUUAUCUCUUAAACUUAGUAUAGUUUUAUCAGAUUAAACUUUUAUUUUGAACAAAUAAUUUUAAUCUAAGUUUUAAAUUCUAAAAUUAUUUCCUUAAAAUAAAAUUUUAAAAUUCAACACUUCAAUUGAAAUUGUCUUUUUAAAAAAUAUCUUCUUAUUUUAAUCCUUAUAAACUAUAGUUGAUUGAAAAUACUAUUGAAGUUCUCUCUUAAAAAAAAGUCUUAUUUUAAUCUUCAUAAAUUGCCCUUGAUUUGAAAAUAAAUUUUCAGUUAUCAUAUUUUAAAUAAUAUCUAUAUUUAAAAUACUCUAUUUAAAAAAAAAUGAACUAAUUUUAAUUAUAUUAUAUUUUAUUUUUUUAUAUAUUUUUAAUGAUAAACCAAACAUAGAAAAUCAUUUUUCUAAAUAUUUUAAAAUUUCUAAGCAACCAAACAUAAUCUUCAAAAUAAAAGGAAAAUAAGGAGGGACAUUUGAGAAAUGGCGAUUAAAAAAAAGUGUACAAAAGCUCAAUUAAUUUUCUUCUAGUCUUUUAUAUAAAAAAGUAAAGGAAUUGAAAAGUAUUGAUAUGUAAAUUAAUAUUUGGAUUUUAAUAGUAUUUUAUUUGUCUUUCUCUAUCUCAUGUAAAAGAGAAUUUAAGAUAUUUCCUAAAGCAAAGCAUUAGUUAUCUGCAAUCAGUGGUGAUCAUGCCCCAUGUCAAUUUCGGACCCAUAUCUUAAAACUGUAUAAUUUGCAUUCAAACAUUACUGAUUUCUCAGAUGUUUCAUACUCCACAGAAGAGCAUUGUUUGUGAAAGCAUGCAUUUAUGUUGGAUUUUGGAUGAUGUGGGAACUGGGGCAAGGAUCAUAUGGAAGAGUGGUCGAUUUUGUUCUGUACUUUAACAUUUGAAAUAGGAGAAGCUCGGGCAUUUGUGGGGCUUAAUUGAUUUUGAAGCCUGAAAUUGCGUUUCUGUCAUUUUGUAAAAAAUAUGGCAGAUUCCAUGCUCUCAUAUGUUUGGUCUGUGGCCAUGUAUAGAUGCCCCUUAGUGACCAGUUUGUAACUGUCAAUCAUAGUGUUUUGACUCUGGCUCAACAACAUCAGCCAUUGACGGAUUUUCAUACUUGCAAAUCAAAUAGUCUUCUUCCUCCCUUAGGAAUUUCGGUUUAAAUGUUAUUAAGCAUACAUUUGGCUGACAAUUAUUAACCACUUCAUGAUAUGGUUUCUUACCCUUAAUCAAUGGUUUCUAAGUGAAUAUAUGCAGAAGGAAAUCUGAACUGUAGACAGCAGUAUUGAUAACUCUCAAUAUUCUUUAUAUAAGAGAAUAAACAACGUCAUAGUGAUCGUCGCCUACAAGAAAGGUACAUUUCCCAACAAGAUGUAGUUGUGACUGGUACAUGGACGCAAUUAACUCGUACAAAAGAAUAAGACCAGUGCACGGCAGCUCUUAUUUUACAUGCUAAUUAUGCUAACCAAAGUCACUCAGUUGGGAUGGGAGGGAGAUGGAGGUUUGUGCGGUGGCUUGUGGGGCGGAGUUGGUGGCUUCUUUUCAGGAGCUUGUGGCUUUUUCGGAGCUGAAGGAGGCUCAAUCUUAUGAGGCGGCUUGUACGAGUCUUCUUUACUCUCGACAGGAGGGUGGCCAGGGUUGUGACCAUAAUGUGGUGGCUUCUCUCCCUUAGGUGGCUUGCCAACUGGGGUUGGUGGCUUGUGUUCAGGAAGUGGUUUCUCUCCCUUGGGAGGUUUACCAAUUGGGGUUGGUGGCUUGUGUUCUGGGAGUGGUUUCUCUCCCUUGGGAGGUUUAGUGGGUGACUUGUGUUCUGGAGGUGGCUUCUCCACCGGAGGCUUGUGCUCCGGUGGUGGCUUCUCCACCGGAGGCUUGUGCUCCGGUGGUGGCUUCUUGAUUGGAGGGGGCUUGGGGUAAUCAGCAAGAGAUGGGAUGGUGAGAACCACCACUCCAAGGAACAACACUAGCAAGUAUGUGGGAGACAUUUCUGAGUUUGAGCUGAUCAGAUGAUGCAAAACUAGAAGAAUUACGGGACCUUUUAUAGCAAGUAUCUCCCAAUACCCACAUGACACGUGUUACUAUGACCAUAAAUAUUAUAGGGUCCAUUUGUGCCCUACCGGGUUGAAAACUUGGACGCUUGGCCGAGGACACACCUGACUAUGGAGGACUAUUGACGUGUGAUCACAGCUUUUGGAUUUUUCUUCCUGUGCAGCUGUCUAGCGGUUGGCAUUAUUUUCUUAAUCUUAAAUAAAGGCAUAGUUAUAGAGUUGUUUAAUCUCUAAAUGGGAUUUUAUAUAUCUUCAGAUAGCCAUUAAUAUAUUUGAUGAAGAAAGACAAGUGCAUACAACAUGUAUACGGCUUGCUUCAAUCGAGUACAUUUAUGAUCAGUUUUCCUGUGCAAGUAAACCAGUUUUUUGUUCCACAACUAUUUUGGAAUCUUGUUUAUCAGUUUCUAUCAUUAUAAUGUCACAUAGGCUGCAAACUUGGGCACCCAAAGAUCUAGGUGGGCAAAUUUGUUUCAGACUUUCAAUGGUGGAUUCAGUAAUUGUUAAAAGGUGUUUCUUCAUUAAGGAAAGAGUCCGGUAAAAAUAUUGUUAAAAGGUGUCAUAGAAACUAUAAUAAAUAAAUAACUUCUUUUCCCCAUGGGUGGUGUUUCUUCUGGGGAUCAGUGACUGGUUAGGGUCACCCAAAAUGAGUCCAGAUUAAAAUUGGUUCGAGUCAAAGCAGUCUCUUUUGUCCAGAAAUCAACUAUUUUGCGCAUUGAAUGAAUCGAUAAAGAAAAAAUGAAAGCCAAAUCACACCUCCCCUGCAAAACCUAAACCCCGGUUGCUAACUUUCUAUGUUUCAGUCCUAUUCAUAUAGGAAUAUUGGUUCAAGUUUGAGAAAAAUGGCAACUUACCUAGGGUUUACUUGGUUUUGGUUUGCGACUAUUUACGCAACCAACCAUGAGUUUGACUUUAACGUCAUGGGUUGAAGCCUCCUACAAUCAUGUAUGAUAGUUCAAAGCUCGUGGAAGAAAUUAUACAGGAAGGAAGAAACCUCCAAAGCUAGCUCCAAAAGAGAAUUAUCACAUCGAUAGCUCCAGAGAUUCCCAAGGGAACUGAAUCAAAGACAAGUUCCUCACUUUUUCUUCUUUUGAGGCCAAAUAUGAACCAAGGAUCACACGACCUCAUUCAACUUCAUAAGUUUGAUUUCAUGCAGUUGAACACUGGGUGAAGGCCAUGACAAGAAUUGAUUAAAAAAUUCUACCACUCUUUUAAGUAAUGGAAGAUUAUUAUCUCUGAUUGGCACCACAACAGCACAUGCUGCUAGAUCUUUCUAGACACUCCAUGCAAUGAAAGCACAAUGGAUCUUGUAAUGAUAGAAACUAAGCCAUGCUACAGUACUAGAUGAGGGGGUAAAACUAGUAGACAUCUUUCUAGACACUCCAUGCAAUGAAAGCACAAUGGAUCUUGUAAUGAUAGAAACUAAGCCAUGCUACAGUACUAGAUGAGGUGGUAAAACUAGUAGACAUGGCUGGCAGUUGAUUACUACUCAAAAAGUACUCUUUUAUAGCUUGAAACUAACUGUUUUAAACACUUUUGAGUAGUAGUUAAUACCUUUUAACUUAAUUGGCACAUUAAGGAACCUAGCAAGGGUUACUAAUCAACAUUUGGCAAGUUUUGAUGUUUUUGGUAGCUAUUUGAUCAUUGAAACAAGCCAAGAAUGAGGGGGAAUUUUGUGAAGUCCAUGGCAAUGCAAGUUAAAGCUCAAAUACAUGAAGAAUCCAAGCUUUGGAGCACUUCAUAGCCCUUUGCCAAGCCAAUCAAAGAUGCAAGGAAGAAAACCAAAGGAAGAAAUCCAACAAUCAGCAUUUUGGCAUGGCUAUGUGAAAUUUCGCACACCAUGCGAAACCACAAGAGGCAGCCAAAGAAUUUCGCAUGGUAUGCGAAAUCUUCUUGUGCACUGACUCUGUUAGAUUUUUAUCUUCAGAUAUUUUGUGUAAUUUCCUAGUUUCUCCUUGUAACCAACUUAGAUAUUUUCUUUUAUAUCUUUUUUUAUAUUUUUUAGGUAACAUCAUAUAUAAGAGGAGAGACAUAAGGAGGAUAUGGAUGUUUUUCAUAGAACACUUGUAAAUUUUUGGUAGUAAGAAAUAUACAAAGCUUUUUGCUCUGCCUUACCUUCUCAAGGGAUGAGUGGCUAGGUUUUCUUGGAGUGAGGGAAGCUAGGUGAAGGACCUGAAUGCAAAGGUGGGAGUUUUCCUUACUUUAAAUGAAAGUAGUUGUUAAACAUUAAUGGUUUUUAUUUUAAGGUUUAGCUUUAAAUCCCUGAAAAACACCUUGAAUGGCCAAUACUUGGUAAGCUUUUUAGAUUCUAUGGAUGCUUAUUGCUAGAUCCAUGGAUGUCUAUUAGUUAUCAUUUACGAGCCAUUGGAAGGUGAUUCAAGGUGAGGGUCUUUAGUGUUUGAAGCCAUUAAUGGGAAGCAAUUACCAUUUUUUCAUGAAUCCUUUGGAUCAAAUCUUAAUUGCUAAAUAUAAAACCGGUUUCGAGAGAUAACCACCAUCCUUUAUGUUAUUAUCCCCAACGCGAGGAGAAGAUCCGAAAUCUUCCUUUUUAUCUAAGGAACCCGAUCCUAGUGACCUAAAGCUCCAAGAUACCUUUUCUUUGUAGUUAACUUCAUUUAUUGUUUUUGCUUAACUUAAAAUCAAUCUUUGCAACCACAAUUCCAUUUUCUUUAAAAGCUAAUUUUUAUAAGGAAAAACACCAUUUUAUUUCCUUCACUAAGUCAACUGUACGAUGAAAACCCAUCCCUGUGGACGAUCCUAGAGCCACUAUACUAUGUUAGCUAUGCUACCCUAGUGUGAGGUGAUUUAGGUUUUAUAAAUUUUUUUGAUAACACCCAUCUGAGCCAGAAUCAAAUGGCACGACUGAACCAGGGACGAAUCAAAUGACGCCGCUACCAAGGAUGGUGCCAAAGUACAUUGACAUGACUUUUGGUGAACACUUGUGAUCUUCACCACAAGUUUGGUGAUUUUUCUUUUACUAAUUUUUUUUAUUUUAGCUUAUCUUUUAUUUAGUUUUUAGUUAACCUUAAAUUUUUCCUAGAAUUGUAUUUCUUUUGUUUUCUUUGUUUUUGUUUCAGUGAUCUUUAGUUGUGCAUGCCCUAUUGGAUAAGAGAUAUUGAGGGAAUACUUGUGAAGAUUGAAACUCCUCGAGAAACUGAGUUAGAAGUGUGCUUGAACAUCAUGGAUGUUCCACCUGAAGACCAGAAUAGCCAACAUGGUUAAGAGGAUAAUUUCAACACAUACCGAUCCAUGAGGAACCGCAUACAUCCACCUUGUAUGAGUGCACCGUCAGGCAUAAUGCCUCCCACUGAGCAGCUAGUAAUCUGACCUCACAUUGUGCCACUCCUACCUACUUUCCAUGGGAUGGAGAGUGAGAAUCCCUACUCGCAUAUUAAGGAAUUCGAGGAGGUUUGUAAUACAUUCCAAGAAGGAGGAGCUUCAAUUGACUUGAUGAGGCUCAAGCUAUUUCCUUUCACUUUGAAGGAUAAGGCCAAGAUUUGGCUUAAUUCUUUAAGGCCAAGAAGUAUCCAAACUUGGAUUGAUUUGUAAGCCGAGUUUCUUAAGAAGUUCUUCCCUACCCAUAGGACCAAUGGUUUGAAAAGGCAAAAUUUGAACUUCUCAGUUAAAGAGAAUGAGAAAUUCUAUGAGUGUUGGGAGAGCUACAUGGAAGCUAUUAACGUUUGUCCUCACCAUGGCUUUGACACAUGGCUCUUAGUGAGCUAUUUUUACAAUGGUAUGUCUUCUUCAAUGAAGCAACUCCUAGAAACUAUGUGUGGAGGAGACUUCAUGAGUAAGAAUCCGGAGGAAGCCAUGGACUUUUUGAGUUAUGUGGCUGAAGUUUCAAGAGGAUGGGAUGAACCAAAUGCUAGAGAGGUGGGAAGAAUGAAGUCUCAACCUAAUGCUAAGGGUGAGAUGUAUGUUUUGAAUGAAGACAUUGACAUGAAAGCAAAGGUUGCAGCUAUGGCAAGGAGAUUGGAAGAGCUAGAAAUGAAGAACAUACAAAAAGUGCAAGCCAUUUCUGAGACAUCAAUGAAAGCUAUGCCUUGUUCCAUUUGUCAAUCUUAUAAGCACCUAGUGGAGGAGUGUCCUACAAUUCCAGCAGUGAGAGAGAUGUUUGGUGAUCAAGCAAAUGUUAUUGAUCAAUUCAAGCCUAAUAACAAUGCUUCAUAUGGCAACACCUACAAUUCAAAUUGGAGGAACCAUUCAAAUUUCUCUUGGAAACGAAAGCCACCUCAAUACACACAACCUACUCAAGCACCUUAGCAAUCCUCGAAUCUUGAACAAGCUAUUGUGAACCUUAGCAAGGUUGUGGGAGACUUUGUGGGAGAUCAGAAGUCCAUCAAUGCUCAACUGAAUCGGAGAAUUGACAGUGUGGAGAGUACAUUGAACAAAAGGAUGGAUGAGAUGUAAAAUGAUCUGUCUCAAAAGAUAGACAAUGUCCAAUACGUAAUCUCAAGGCUUACCAACCUCAACACAGUGUAAGAGAAAGGAAAGUUUCCUUCUCAACCUCAUCAAAAUCCUAAGGGUAUCCAUGAAGUAGAGGCUCAAGAGGGAGAAUCUUCAAAGGUGAGGGAAGUCAAAGUAGUUAUCACCUUGAAGAGUGGUAAAGAGGUUGAUCAACCCACAUCCAAGCCAAAGCAUAAUGAAGAGAGUGUAGCAGAAAAAGAAAAGAGAGGAAAAUAAAGGAAUUAGAAUAGAGAAAAAUACAAAGAAAGAUGACCAUGAGUCUAGUGUGGAUGAAGAGCCCGAGAGGAUGGUGAUCAAGGAAGAUAUGAUGAAGAAACACAUGCCUCCACCUUUCCCCUAAGCUUUGCAUGACAAAAAAAGAACCAAUAAUACAUCAGAAAAUUUUGAAGUAUUGAGGCAAGUGAAGGUCAAUAUCCCUUUGCUAGACAUGAUCAAACAAGUGUCGACAUAUGAAAAAUUCUUGAAGGACUUGUGCACUGUAAAGAGAGGGUUGAAUGUGAACAAGAAAGCUUUAUUGACCGAGCAAGUGAGUUCCAUCAUACAGUGCAAGUCCUAGUGAAGUACAAAGAUCCGGGUUGCCGUACCAUCUCAGUGAGUAUUGGAAGGACUUGUGUGGAGAAAGCUUUGUUGGACUUGGGAGCAAGUGUGAAUUUGCUAUCCUACUCUGUCUAUAAGCAGUUGGGAUUUGGAGAGUUGAAGCCAAUAUCCAUCACUCUAUCUCUAGCGGAUAGAUCAAUGAAGAUUCCAAGAGGGAUGAUCGAAGAUGUCCUGGUUCAAGUUAACAAAUUCUACUAUCCAGUAGAUUUUGUUGUUCUUGAUAUGGAUCCGGUUGUCAAAUGAACUAAUUAUGUUCCUAUCAUACUUGGAAGACCCUUCCUAGCUACAUCAAAUGCAAUCAUCAAUUGUAGGAAUGGAGUCAUGCAACUCACAUUUGUCAACAUGACAUUAGAGCUCAACAUCUUCCAUUUGUACAAGAAGCAUAUCCAUCAGGAGGAAAAAGAAGGUCUAGAGGAAGUGUGAAUGAUUGACACUUUAGUGGAAGAGCAUUGUGAUCGAGAAUGCAAAAAGAUUUAGUUGAGAAUUUUGGGGAUCUUGAUGAAAGGUUACUUGAACCCUCAGAUUUGCUUGCUACCCUACUCCAUUGGAAGAGAAGAGAAGAAAUUCUACCCUUAUUCAAUGAGGAGGAGACGCAAAGAGCUGCAAAGGAGAAACCCCCAAAACUUAUUCUUAAGCCACUACCCACAGAGUUGAAGUAUGUAUACUUGGAAGAAGACAAGAAGUGCCCUAUUGUUAUAUCUUCAACUCUUACCAUUCAUCAGGAGGAUUGUCUACUUGAAGUCCUUAGAAGAUGUAAGAAGACAAUAAGGUGGCUAAUUUCUUAUUUGAAAGGGAUCAGCCCUUUAGUCUGCACCCAUCAUAUUUACAUGGAGGAUGAAGCUAAGCUAAUUCAUCAACCUCAGAGAAGGUUGAACCCUCACAUGCAAGAGGUGGUUCGAGCUGAAGUUCUGAAGCUACUUCAGACCAGUAUUAUUUACCCCAUAUCAAAUAGCCCAUGGGUGAGUCCUACUCAAGUUGCGCCAAAGAAGUCUGGGAUCAUGGUGGUGCAAAAUGAUAAGGGAGAAGAUGUCUCUACACGCCUCACUACAGGUUGGAGGGUGUGUAUCAAUUACAGGAGGUUGAAUGCAGUGAUAAGAAAGGACCAUUUCUCAUUGCCCUUUAUUGAUCAGGUGCUUGAGAGGGUCUCUGGGCUUUUUUUUUUAUUGUUUCUUGGAUGGCUACUCCGGGUACUUUCAGAUAGAAAUUGAUGUUGAAAACCAAGAUAAGACCAUUUUCACAUGCCCAUUUGGAACCUAUGCAUAAAGGAGAAUGCCUUUCGGCUUAUGCAAUGCACCCGCAACUUUCCAAAGAUGCAUGUUAAGCAUUUUCAGUGAUAUGGUGGAGCGUAUUAUGGAAGUCUUUAUGGAUGAUAUCACCAUUUAUGGAAGUGCAUUUGAUGAAUGCUUGGUCAACUUAGAAGCUGUUCUGAACCGAUACAUUGAGAAAGACUUAGUGCUUAACUGGGAGAAGUGCCAUUUCAUGGUACACCAAGGGAUUGUCCUUGGGCACAUUAUCUCCAAGCAAGGCAUUGAAGUUGACAAAGCAAAGGUUGAACUCAUUGUUAAGUUGCCAUCCUCAACAAAUGUCAAAGGAGUAAGGCAAUUCUUUGGCCAUGUCGGGUUCUAUAGGAGGUUUAUCAAGGAUUUCUCUAAGCUUGCAAGGCCUCUUUGUGAAAUAUUGGUGAAUGAUGUUAAAUUCAUAUGGGAUGAUGGAUUUGAAAGGAGUUUUGAAGAAUUGAAGCUAUUUUUGACAACCGUACCAAUAGUGAGGGCUCCCAACUGGCAACUGCCCUUUGAAGUAAUGUGUGAUGUCAAUGAUUUUGCUAUAGGAUUUUUUCUUGGGCAAAGAGAAAAUGGAAAACCUUAUGUGAUCUACUAUGCGAGGAAGGCAUUGAAUGAGGCACAAAGAAACUACACAACCACCGAGAAAGAAUUGUUAGCUGUAGUUUUUGCCUUGGAUAAGUUUCGCGCUUACUUGGUGGGGUCCUUCAUCAUGGUUUUUACUGAUCACUUUGCUUUGAAGUAUCUGUUGACUAAGCAAGAUGCUAAAGCAAGGCUGAUUAGAUGGAUUCUCUUACUUCAAGAGUUCAAUCUCCAUAUCAAAGAUAAGAAAGGAGUGGAGAAUGUGGUAGCAGACCACAUUUCAAGGCUAGCUAUCGCACAUAAUUCCCAUGCUUUGCCCAUUAAUGACGAUUUUCUAGAGGGGUCUCUCAUGUUGGUGGAAGUUGUCCCUUGGUACGCUCACAUUGCUAACUACCUGGUCACGGGAAAAGUUCCAAGUGAGUGGAAAGCACAAGAUAAGAAGCACUUCUUUGCAAAAAUUCAUGCCUACUAUUGGGAAGAGCCAUUUCUAUUCAAGUAUUGUAUGGAUCAGAUAAUAAGGAAGUGCGUUCCUGAAGAAGAGCAACAGGGGAUCCUUAGUCAUUACCAUGAAAAUGCAUGUGGAGGCCACUUUGCUUAUCAAAAGACAGCCAUGAGGGUGUUGCAAUCGGGUUUCUGUUGGCCAUCACUUUUCAAAGAUGCCCACACCAUGUGCAAGAGUUGUGAUCGAUGCCAGAGGCUUGGGAAGUUGACACGCAGGAACAUGAUGCCUUUGAACCCCACUUUAAUAGUUGAUAUUUUUUAUGUUUGGGGCACUAACUUCAUGGGACCUUUCCCUAUGUCUUUUGGCUACUCUUACAUCUUGGUAGGAGUAGAUUAUGUUUCUAAGUGGGUUGAGGCAGUCCCAUGCAAACACAAUGACCAUAGAGUGGUUCUCAAGUUUCUUAAAGAGAAUAUCUUCUCAAGAUUUGGGGUGCCCAAAGCCAUAAUUAGUGAUGGGGGUACUCAUUUUUGCAACAAGCCUUUUGAAACUCUCCUAGCCAAGUAUGGGGUGAAGCAUAAGGUAGCUACACCUUACCACCCUCAAACUCAUGGACAAGUUGAGUUAGCAAACAGGGAGAUUAAAAACAUAUUGAUGAAGGUGGUGAACACAAACAGAAAAGAUUGGUCAGUCAAGCUUCUUAAUUCACUAUGGGCAUAUAGAACAACUUACAAGACCAUUCUCGGGAUGUCUCCUUAUCGCCUAGUUUAUGGCAAAGCAUGCCAUCUCCCUGUGGAAUUGGAAUACAAAGCUUGGUGGGCAAUCAAGAAGCUCAACAUGGAUUUGAGCAGAGCUGGGUUGAAGAGGUUCUUAGACCUUAAUGAGAUGGAGAAAUUGAGAAAUGAUGCCUACAUCAAUUCAAAAAUUGCAAAAGAAAAAUUGAAGAGGUGGCAUGAUCAGUUGAUUUCCCGCAAGGAUUUUCAAAAUGGACAAAGAGUCUUACUUUAUGACUCUAAACUCCACAUCUUUCCGGGCAAGCUGAAAUCAAGGUGGAUAGGUCAUUUUACCAUUCACCAAGUGCAUUCAAAUGGAGUAGUGGAACUACUCAACUCCAACAAUAUCGAGAACUUCAAAGUGAAUGGCCACCGUCUCAAGCCCUUUGUGGAGUCUUUUUCUCACAACAAGGAGAAAUUCAUCCUCCUUGAUCCACAUCAAGCUUAACAAGACCAAUUUUCUUGAUGGACUUAGUCUUUCUAAAGACUAUCGAGUCCAUAACUUUUUGUUUUAUUUUUUAUUUGAGAUUUUUUCGGUAUUGUUACUUGUUUUGUUUUUUAUUUUUCGUUUUAAUUUUAUUUGGUUUGAUUUAACUUAGGUUUUUGAUGAUCAAUUACAGGGGGGAUUUCAAAUAGAGGAAAAACCAAGAUAAUUCGCACACCCUACGAAAAUUUCGCAAGGCAUGCGAAAUUUAUGGCUUAUUUUGCAUGGGGUGAAAAUUUUCGUACAUCUUACGAACCAAUUUCGAACACUUUGCGAAAAUAAACCAACCCUGCGAAAUCAUUUCGAUUACUCUACGAAAUUUUCGUAGAGCAUGCGAAAAAUUUAGCACACCAAACACCAUUUCGCAUACUAUGCAAAAACCUAAGGGGUCUGCGAAACCAUUUCGCACCUCCAAAUCCAUUUCGCACAUUGUGCGAAAACCAAGAGGCGCUGUGCGAAAAUGAAAAGUCGCCCUGUCAUCCCUUUUUAAACCCCUCGAGCCCUAAAAUCUCCAUUUCGCAAGCACCCCUGUCCUUGCGAAUCCCUCAUUUUCCUCUACUACCUUGCAACCUCGUCCCUUUCCAUUUGAUAUUGUGCCCCGCGCACAUCUCAUUUCAGAGACUCGCACUCCGCGCCCCCUCAAAGCAUGGACUCGAGACCCACCUUCCAUUUCCGACGUGGCACGGACCCAAGGAGCCCUUUCUGCCCCUUCACUAAGACACACACCAAGGCAGAAAGCCUCCUUUGCUCAAGUGCCUAGUGAUUCUCCAUCUUAGGCCUCAGAGGCCUCGGAGGCCCCGUGGAUUCCACCUUCCGAGGGUAGAGCAGCCAUUGGUCCUUCCUCUUCUACUCCUUAGCGUAGAUACGAGACGAGGAGACCACCUACUACACAAGGGGCGACUACUUCGAGCCUUGAGAAUUCAGUACGAUGCCUUCCUGCCAAGAGGGUCAAGACUUCAGGUCCAAGUGAGUCAUCCAGAGCUUCAUAGCCUAAGCCUCCUGUAGAUUCCAAGGUUCCUACUGACAUAUCACCGGAGUCUAUUAUCAGAAGCCCGAUGCUCAUAGCACCGCCCAUUGAGGGCAACUCAGAUUAUAGAGCGAGAUCUUUCCACUUGGAGCUAUAUUUUGAUCAGGAGGCCAUACGACAGCAGCCUGAGCUCCGAGACUCUUAUGGCUUACUGCAGAGGUACCAUCUUGAGGAACUUAUGACUCCUCGUGAGUUUUUUUAUCCCAGAGUAGCACUAAACUUUUACCAGUCCAUGACUACUCGUGGCGUCCCGAGUCCUACCACGAUUCACUUCACCAUUGAUAGACGUCAUGGUAUCCUCAAGGCCAGACAUAUUACAGAGGCUCUACAAAUUCCUUUCGAGCUAGAGGAUCCAUCUGUUUUUCGCUAAUGGUCCCCAGUAUCUCAGAGGGACAUGGUCCGUAUUUUAUCUAGGGGAACAUCUACAGAUUCGAUCUUUCUACGGAAGGAGCUUCGACCUGGGAUGCUCCUCUUAGAUGUGGUGCUAUGCUCCAACCUCUUUCCCUUACAACAUUCGGUACAUAGGUGAUGAGCUAUUUUGGACGCUUUAUUCCGUAUAUCAGAGGGCUUCUACUUUGGCCCGCACCACUUGAUCAUGGUCUCCCUCAUCCACUUUGAGGAGAAGGUUCAUAGGAAGAAGCUUCAGAGGGUGGACACCAUUCCAUUACUAUUCCUGAGGUUACUUUGCCAGGUCUUGGAGUACAUGGGCUUUCCUACUGAGCCUCGGCUCGAGCUUUGCCGCCUUUGUCGAGAGUGAUCCACUCUCGACAAAUGGAAUUAGUUGGCGGGCUAUUCUGCACCUCCAGGAGCCCCUCCCAUGGUAGCACCUCCAAUGUCCCCACAGGCAAAGUAGGGCGAGCUCCCGGCAAAGACUGUACCACCAAUGCCCACACUUGAGGCUAUUUCUGCUGCUCUGCCUAUGACUCCUACUGUUCCACCAGUUGGUCCUUUUACAUCCGAGCCUUCCAUCACCAUCUCGGCUUCGGAGUUUCGCGCCCUUGUGCAUACCUUUCAGACACUCACCACCACACAUACUCCUCUCUUCUAGCAAAUGGUUGAGAUGUGUGCCCAUCAGGACCGGAAGACUACUAUACUCUGCCAAAUUCAGCAGCACCUAAGACUUUUGCCUCAACCUCAACCUAACCAUCCCAUAUCAUCAGAGCCUCUAGCUCCAACUGAGGAUACUAUUCCACCUGAGAACACUACCACAGUAGAGGUCCGGUUUCCACCACCUUAAGAGGCCACCACAGCUACAUCAGAGGAUGUGUCAUCUCCACUUGAGGCUCCCACUACUUGAUCAUAGGACAUAUCUUUAUCUUAUUGUAUUUACAUAUUAUAUUACUAGAGAUUUGUCCUUGUUUUGAUACUUUAUAUUCUGGGAUUGGAUGUAUUGCCUGAUGAUAUCUCAAUUGUACUUUCUCAUAUUAAUAUAUAGACAUCAAUUUUUUUUAGUAUACUUAGCAUUUUUCUAUUUCCUCUACUCAUUACUCUUUUGUUUUUUUUUACUCAUGUGGUUUCUCUUAUACAACUCAGACUCCAUUUCACUCAGGAGGUACCACUUCCUCCCUUUAUUUUCAAUUGCUCUUGAAAUAUUGAGUGCAAUGUUGAUCUUGGUUGGGGGGAGAGUUGAGGAAGGAAGUUUUGUUAAUAAUGCUAGGUUAAUUUGUUAAUUUAGUUACUUUCUGCUUAAUUUUAAAAGUUUUCACUCUACUUUCCAUGGUUAUUAAGGAAAAAUUCUCAAAAUGAAAUGGGAGAAAUCGAAUUCUUGCAUUUUUACUUGAAUCUUAGAAUUUGUAUCAUGCUUAUUAAAGUUGAUGAAUUAUUGAAACUCCUAUUGAAUUCAACCUUAUUUUUUCCACUUUAAUCUUACCACACACGGUGCACAUUAGGUUCCAGUUAUAAGAUAAAAAACUAUCUCACCCCCUAAACUUAGAAAAAUUUACACUUGGUACCUUUGACAUCGUUUUAAUAGUGUUGGGACACCUUAUAAAAGGCCAAUGAGCCUUUAAAAAAAAAAAAAAAAAAAAAAAGAGAAAGAACAAAGUAUUGCACUUGCCUUGAAACCUGAGCAAGAUCCGAGGGGUAUACAGUGAAAGUCUUUAAAACCUGGUGCCCUAAGCCUUGAUUGGUUGGGAGUCACCGACCUCAAUGCUCGUUAUAAGGGUGAAUAGGUGGAGUUUAACAUAUUGUAGGUGCUUGGGUAUUGAAUUUCAAUCUCAAAAGUCCGGGAAAAAAUCUAAGGAGUUAGUGGUCAAAAGAUCCUUAAAGCUUGAUGCCCUAAACCUUGAUUGGUUGAGAGUCAUUGAUGGAUCCCCGCUACAUGGACAUUUUAGAAAACAAUACCUUUAGCAUUGCACGCCUACAAUGAAAAAAAAAUGUGAAAUAAAAGAGGUGCGUUCUUAGCCUAUUGGAGGUUGGUCAGUUUGCUAAAGUUUGAGAAAUCUAGGUUGGGGGGAGAGAAUAGUCCGACAUACUAUAAUAAAAAACUAAUAACCUUAACACUUAGAUUUUUGUGGAAGAGUAAGGAUUGGACCUUUAGGGGUGGAAAUUCUUUUGAUGCUUAAAUUUGCAUAAUGCCUACUCUUUAUAAAUUAUGAUUAGGCAAGAGAUUUGAUGACUCUUGUUCAAAGUUGGGUUUUUCCUCUUUGAUGUUCCAUGAGAGAGUAUAAUCCUCAUCAUGCCACUUGAAAUCUUUUUGGAGUGAUUAACAUGAUUUUGUAAAUUAUUUUACUGUCUAUUUUUCUUUAUCUCUCUUUUAUUGCUAAUGGACUAGCAAUAUGUCAGUUGGGGGGAGUGAUUACUACUCAAAAAGUACUCUUUUAUAGCUUGAAACUAACUGUUUUAAACACUUUUGAGUAGGUGUUAAUACAUUUUAACUCAAUUGGCACAUUAAGGAACCUAACAAGGGUUACUAAUAAGUUUUUGGCAAGUUUUGGUGUUUUUGGUAGCUAUUUGAUCAUUGAAACAAGCCAAGAAUGAGGGAGAAUUUUGUGAAGUCCAUAGCAAUGCAAGUUAAAGCUCAAAUACAUGAAGAAUCCAAGCUUUGAAGCACUUCAUAGCCCUUUGCGAAGCCAAUCAGAGAUGCAAGGAAGAAAACCAGAGGAAAAAAUCCAACAACCAGCAUUUUCGCAUGGCUGUGCGAAAUUUUGCACACCAUGCGAAACCACAAGAAGUAGCCAAAGAAUUUUGCACACCAUGCGAAAUUUCGCAUGGUAUACGAAAUCUUCCUAUGCACCAACUCCGUUAUAUUUUUAUCUUCAGAUAUUUUGUGUAAUUUCCUAGUUUCUCCUUGUAACCAACCUAGAUAUUUUCUUUUAUAUCUUUUUUUUAUAUUUUUUAGGUAACAUCAUAUAUAGGGGGAGAGACAUAAGGAGGAUAUGGAUGUUUUUCAUAAAACACUUUUAAUUUUCUGGUAGUAAGAAAUAUACAAAGUUUUUUGCUCUGCCUUACCUUCUCAUUUUGUUUUCACCUAUCUUUCUAGCCAAACAACCUCUGAGAAUGAUUUCUCAGGGGAUGAGUAGUUAGGUUUUACGUUUCUUGGAGUGAGAGAAGCUAGGUGAAAGACCCAAAUGCUAAGGUGGGAGUUGUCCUUGCUUUAAAUGAAAGUAGUUGUUAAAUAUUAAUGGUUUUUAUUUUAAGGUUUAGCUUUAAAUCCCUUAAAAACACCUUGAAUGGCCAAUACUUGGUAAGCUUUUCGGAUUCUAUGGAUGCUUAUUGCUAGAUCCAUGGAUGUCAUUAGUUAUCAUUUAUGAGCCAUUGGAAGGUGGUUCAAGAUGAGAGUCUUUAGUGUUUGAAGCCAUUAAUGGGAAACAAUUACCAUUUUUUCAUGAAUCCUUUGGAUAAAAUCUUAAUUGCUAAAUAUAAAACUGGUUCGGGAGAUAACCAUCCUUUAUGUUAUUAUGCCCAAUGCAAGGAGAAGAUUUCGAAUCUUCUCAUUUGUCUAAGGAACCCGAUCCUAGUGACCUAAAGCUCCUAGAGACCUUUUCUUUGUAGUUAACUUCAUUUAUUGUUUUUGCUUAACUUAAAAUCAAUCUUUGCAACCACAAUUCCAUUUUCUUUAAAAGCUAAUUUUUAUAAGGAAAAGCACCAUUUUAUUUCCUUCACUAAGUCAACUGUAUGAUGAAAACCCAUCCCUGUGGACGAUCUUAGAGCCACUAUACUAUGUUAUCUAUGCUAUCCUAGUGUGAGGUGAUUUAGGUUUUAUAAAUUUUGUUGAUAACACCCGUCUGAGCCAGAAUCAAAUGGAACCACUGAACCAGGGACAAAUCAACAGCCUAUAUGGGAGGGACACAAGUUUAAUUGAUUUGCAUUUCAGCGUUAUAGAUAAGUAUGUUUUGGAAGAUUUGUUCUGGAAAUACUGCACCAAGUACGAUUCUUUUUCUCUUGAGUGAGUCCAUUUGCAUGCCAAUUAACGAGUUGAAAAGUAGGAGCACCUACCUCGUGCUCAUGGAACCGAAUGUCAGUGAAGUGGGGCUCCUUUUAGCCUCUUGUGUUUCUGUUCCAACCAAGGCGGCGUAGGGAAAAACAACAAUAUGUCUGUGCUAAAUAUCAACGCAUGAUAGAUGUUUUUUUUUUUUUUUUUGGUAUGUCAAGGCUAACGAAUGAAAUGCAUUAGCUUGUUUUGUGACUAUAACUGCAAAUGUCCAAAUUGGAGUAUCUCCAUUUCUCACUUCGGAUGGUUAACUUUAUAAACAAGAUAUAGGAAACAUGUGAACAUCUUGAGGAACAAUUCAAAUUAUUCAUUAGAAGUCCUGGGUUAAGUUCCAAGAUUUAAAUCAGACCCUUCUAGCAGCUUCAAGGGUACUUAGCAACCUAUAACAUAUUAAUGAAGAUUUAGGAUUUAGACUCCGGAAUACAAAUAAAUAUGUAUCUCAUGCUUUGACUAGCUUCCCUACAUAUGCAUAAAAUGGAGAUGACCCAAAAAAAAUAGCAGAAUCUAGCUUCCCUACAUAUGCACAAAAUGGAGAUGACCCAAAAAAUAGCAUAAUCGCCUUAGUUUCUGUGGUUAAGGUGAUUCUCCGCUUAAUAUCCACAUUGACUCAUUAUGCAAAAUCAACUGAGCUAAUUUUAUUUAUUUAUUUAAUGUCAAAUAGGAACUCCUAAUUAACUGAUUACUGUCGAAAAGUGCUAUUUUGUAGACCUAAUUAUAAGGGUUUUAAGCACCUUUGAGUAGUAAUCAUAUUCAUUUAACCUAAUUAAUUCAUUAAGCUCCUUAGUAAUUAGUUCUAACCAUUUUUAGUGGCAAGUUUACAUGUUUUUCAUCAGCUUAUGAACCAAUUCAAGCAUGCCAAUUGAUGGAGGAGCUACUUGGGCGAGUUAAGCAAGGAUUUUGGACGUUUACAGGCUUGAAUUUCAAGUGGAAACACGAGCACAAGCAAUGGGAACACCAUUUCGCAAGGGGAGGCAAUUCACCUUGCCAAAUGACCAAUUUCGCAAGGGGAUUUUCCUCAUGGUGCAAAAUUUGGUCAUUUCGCACCAUGAAGAAACCACCUUGCAAAAUUUCGCAAGGUGGAUUUAGGCACCUUGCGAAAUGCCAAAUUUCACAAGGUGGCUUUUCACCUUGCGAAAUUUGGACCUUUCAUCUUCCCCCCUUGCGAAAUGCCUUUGAAAUCCCCUGUUUUGAGACGCUGUUGAUGAUAUUCCACUGCCGGUUCUCCAAGAUAUUUUGCUUGACUUUUAGCUUUAUAAAUACCUAUUUUACCCUUGUAAUCAACCAAUGAAAAGGUUGCUUUUGUAAUAGCUCUUGUAAUUUAGCUUUUUAUUGUCUUUAAAUAGAGGUGAAGAGCCUCAGACACGAUCAUCUUGUAACCUGUAACUUUAUAAGUUAUAAGAGCACUUUUGUUCAUACGCUUCUUUUCUCUUUUCUUUCUCAUUUUCUUAGUAGCCAAACAUCCUUGGAGGAUGAAAUCCCCAAGGAUGAGAGGCUAAAACCUUUUAGUUUCUUGAAGUAAUGGAUGCCAUGUGAAGCUCCCGUGUCAGGAUGGAGAUUUCCAAGCCAUAAAUGUAAGUAGCUGAGCGUCAUAAAUGUUUUCAUUCAAAGUAAAGCUUUUAAUCCCUCUGACUUGCUUUGAAUGGCCAAUACUUGAUAACCUUUUGGUCUCAAUGGAUUCUUAUUGUUAGAUCCACUGACGUUCAUUAGUUAUCUCCUACGAGCCAUUGUAUUGCAAGUCGAGGAGAUGACCUAUACCAAUAAAAGAGCAUUUAUGAGGUUCAACUACCCUUUUUGUAAGUUUUCAAGGACUAAAACUCAGUUGUUAAACUCAUACCGGUUCGAGAAGUAAGCAUCACCUUAGUUGCUUCCCCAACUCGAGGUGAAAAGUCCCAAAAUCUCCAUUUUUACACAGUGAGUUAAGCAUGGCUAUCCAAAGCUUUAAGAAACUUCUUUUUCCAUCUUUUAACCUAUUUUCAUGUUAGUUUAGUUUACAACACCUUCAUCUUUUUAUGUUUUCAUCUUAACCUAAUUUUUAUUAAGAAAAGUUCACUCCAUCCUCCGAACUUCACCAGUUAAAGUAAAAACCCUUCCCAGUGUUCGAUCCUAGAGCCACUAUGCUAUAGUAGCUUUGCUACUUUAGUGUAAGGACCUUAGGUAUAAAUUUUGUUGAUACCCUUACAUGCCAAGCUACCAAGAGUCGGGUUAUCAUUAACCUAACCAUUGGCCUGUGUAAAUUGAUUUCACAUGCACAAUGUUGUAGUAGAAGUCCAUAUUUUGAAUUUUAUUUUUGUAAAGGUAAGGAAAAUGAAGCAUUGUGUAAUUAUAAAAAUAACUUCAUUGGAAUUCACAAGGUUCACCCAAAAUGGAGCUACAUCUGUAUUCUAUCCUACAGUAGACUAUAUAGAUUGUACAAUAGUAAAUUGCAAAUACAAUUAAUAAGUCUUGUGCUUCCUUACUAAUAAUCCUUUGACAUGAACAUUGCAGCACUAAGGUCCUCUUGGGAAGACACCUUGCACCCAUGAGAGCACUAAGAGGAAGCAAGGCAGAGUCAUGGGUGCAAUGUCAUGACUUGUUGUUGCACCAAGAGAGGCUUGGUGAUGCCAUGGUGUUGCAGUAGCAAGAAUGUUGCCUUGGCAGGGACACGAUCUAGGGAUAGAUGCCAAGAAAGGCUUAGCACUCACAUGAGUUGCACAAAGAUGAAUGUAAUAGAGCAUCAGAGAGACGUCUUGGCAAGUAAAUGAAUGGAUCCAAGAGACAACAACAUGAGGAGUUUCAAAUGGAUAAGGAAUGACUCAAAGACAUUUGAAAGCUACAAGUUGGAUUCUAAUUACGAUUGCAAUUUGAGUUUGAGUAGGAGUUUAGAUUUUGAUUGUAAUUGUAGUAUGAGUUGGACUAGGAUUGCUUAUCCUUAGUCAAUAUAGGAGCGGUUCGUGUCACCCUAUGAAAAGAGUUUGAGUAGGGACUAGGAUUGCUUACUCCUAGUCAAAUAUGGAGUAGGUGGUGCCACACCUAUAAAAAAAAGGGACAACAUGAGAGAGAGAGAGAGAGAGAAAGAGAGAGUGAAUUCACUAAAGAUAUUGUGGGAGUUUUGCUUUGUUACGUCUUGUAUUAUUACUUAGAAUAGGAAUAAAAUACAAGUUGGGGCUAGAGCCCCAUAAUUAAUCUCGUGUGCCUUUGUGGUUAUUCUUUAUUUGUCAUCUCGUGUGGAUUGGAUUAGGUUGACUUAGAGGGCUUCUAAGCACCACCUUUGUGGGUUAUUAUUUAUUUUCCAUCUCUUGUGGAUUAGAUUAGGUUGACUUAGAGGGCUUCUGAGCACCACCUUUGUGGGUUAUUAUUUAUUUUCCAUCUAUUGUGGAUUAGAUUAGGUUGACUUAGAGGGCUUUUAAGCACCACAUUUGUGGGUUAUUCUUUAUUUUCCAUAUCGUGUGGGUUGGAUUAGGUUGACAAGGAGAAAAAUUAUGUGGGAAAUUUGUGUUGGGACACUUACCAUAACCAAGUAAAAUCUACCAAGUCCUUUGUAAUAUCUUCAACAAAUAUUUUAGACUAGUUCUUUCAGUUAGUGUAAAGGAGGAAGAAGUGGUAUUGAUUCUAGAAAUAGGGUGUGUGUAUUUGAACUACAAUCCUUAUGAUCCUUAGGUCUCUAAACCUUCGUGAUGGGCUCCCUGACAUUUCAUAGGUUGUGCUACACAUGCGUUUGAAAUUUAGAGUGCGUUUGACAGUGAUUCCGGGAAGUGUUUUUGGCCUUUCUUACACUUGAAAAUUUUUAUUUUUCAAGUAUUAGAAAUGCUACAAACACUUUUGAAAAUUACUGUCAAACACACUCUUAGGAGCGCACAUAUAUAGUAGAAAACUAGAAAUUGUGGUUUUUUUAGGAUUUACUGUAAUGUCAUUAGGAGGGUAGUAAGUUGAAAUUGAGUAUGAACAAAUAUUUCUUUCUUUGGGAUGUUCUUCUAGUAGGUGCUGAUGAAACUGUUCUUUCUACUGCCAAUGUCACAUAUCAGCCAGAAAUUGAAAAUUUCAGUCAAGGUGUCCUCUGUUUUAGUGGUGAGGAAAGCUAGAAAUUUUAAGGUGAAGUUUUGUUAAAAACCUUAAGUAGCUGGGAUAUCAGGCCUGUUUUGCUUGAAAAAAAAAGUUGCAAGAUAACUCAUAUGCCAAACAGGUUCUGAUAUUGUGAAUCUAUCGGCAGACAUCAGUAAUCUCAUCUUCUGAGAUGGAUGUUGGGGGUGCAUGUGGUGGUGGAGGGGCAAGGUUUCAUUUGGUUUAUUUUGUUGAUGGAUAUUGUCUAGCCACCUGCGCCAAGUUUGAGGGGUGGUGGGUUGUGAUGACCCUACAAUUACUAUUAAUUUCUUCAUCUUUUACCGAUUAAAGUGUCCGAACAGUCGAAGUUACCCUUAUGCAUGUCAACUUGAUCACUUACCUCUUCAAUGGAGUUUAUGCUGGUUCAUUUAGGAACUGAUUUUUAUUGUUAUGUAUUAUAUGCUGAUGUUUAGGUCUCUCCAUCAUCACUAUAUACAAAAAUUCUAGGUUGAUACUAUAGGUUGAGAUUUAUUUUUUAAAUAAAAAAUAAUAAAAAUAAAAAUUAUGGUGAUGUUUAGUUGUUUUAUGGAAAAUUUUAACAAGUAAAAGUUAUUUUUGGGCAAGUUUUCAAACAAAAAGAAAAGUAAAAGUUGUUUUGACAAAAACAUAUAGAAAAAAAAAUCAUAGAAAAUAAAUAAUUUCCCCAUAUUCUAACUUUUUUGAAUUUUUCUCAAUGGGCAAAGGAAUAUCAAAUCAAGUUUGAGUAGGAUUUCUUAAUUUUUAAAAUAACUUACAAUUAAAAAAUUUUGGUGUUUUCAUUUUUGGACAAUUUUUUAUUAAGCAAAUGGACUCUGAGUCAUGCAAGAGAUAUGGUUCAUUAACCGGUCGAACAAUUUUUUUAAAUUAAUUUAAAAGUCAAAUACAUAAUCAAUUUCACAAAAUUUAUAAACAAAAAUAGGUUUAGAGAAGAUCUACACAUAAUUUUACUUUUCUAAUUUUAUUUUAUUUUAUUUUUUGUUGGAAAAUAGUCUUCAAAUCAUGUAAGAUUUAAUAGGUUAAAUUUGUUAACAAUAAAUUUUAAAUUAUAAAAUAUAAUCUGGAACUCAAAAAUCAAUUCAAGUAAUGCUAAAAAAAAAUCAAAUUUGGUAUAGAAUGACUUUGUAAAUUUUUUUACAAAACAAAUGAAUUUUAAAUCAAGUGAGAUUUAAUGCAUUAGAUUUUUAUCAAAUAUAGUAAUUUUAAAAAUAAAUUUGGAACUCAACAAUAGACACAAUAAAUACCAAAAAAUAAUGAACCAAAAUUGGUUUGGAAUAACUCCACAACCUUUUUUUUUUUUUUUUGGUGCACACGAAUUUUCUUACUAGGUAUAUUGCUUUCAAAUUGAGAAAGAUUUACCAUUUAGAUUUUUUUUUAAUGAGUUUAAUGGUAUUUUAAAAUAAUUCAAAAUUUAAAAAAUUGACUAAUUAAUAUUAUAAAUUGAUAAACCAAGACUAUUUCAAAAUGCAUUGGGGGCUAAGGGGGUUGAAAAUAGGGACAAUGGGAUGGGUUUGGGACAUGACACUCAUAUCUCAUUUCCAUUCCAAUUACACAGUUAUCUCCCAUCCUUAUCCCAAACUUGUGUUGGAGCAAGUUGAUUUGUUCCCAUCUUUGUUGACGAAAUGACUAAUAACCUCAUCCCCUCCUUAUCUUAGAUGUACAUUUUGUCAAAUUUGAUCAGGUAUGAUUGAUCCAAGCCCUAACCCUAAUUGGUAAUGAGUGAAUACUACACCUAAUUGCAUUCUUCUUUCAUUGCAAAAUAAUGAGAUUAUAAUAAUCUAGCAAAUAAGAAAAAAUAGUAUGGAAGUUCAAAUUAACACCAUAACUAUCAAUAAUUUUAAGCUUAUAGAUGACUUAAAUGAUUAAAAACUAAUGCAAAAUCCUAAAAAAAAUAAAAAUCAUAUAAAGAAUUCACAAGAGAACAGAAUGAACAAAAACCAAAUAUGAACAUGGGUCAACAUUAGUUAUGGAUUUGGAUUCCUUUCAAGGCCAAUCUUUGAACCAAGACUUCAUCAAAUCAACUACUUCAAAGGCUUUUGUGUUCUUCUUGGGUUGUGCUCUCAAACAAAGACUUCGAGGUGAUGUUCUAGAUGAUUGAAUUACACAUAUUUAGGGUGGAGAGAUUGGAGAAGCUUGAAGAUGCCAACGAUGGGUACAAUUGAGUGGUCAAUAAGAACAAUGUAGCCUAUGACUAGUUUGAUGUCAUGGUACAAGAGUUUUAGGCAUUGAGGUUAAAGCAAGAGCAACAUGGAAUUGAUUUCGGAGUCUUUCAGUUAGUGUAAAGGAGGAAGAAGUGGUGUUGAUUCUAGAAAUAGGGUUUUAAGUGGUGCGUGAUUACUACUCAAAAAGUGCUAUUUGAUAGCCUUUAAUUAAUCCUUUUUAACACUUUUGAGUAGUAGUUUAGGCCUUUUAACUCAAUUGGCAUGUUAAGGAUCCUUUAAAGCAAUUUUGAUCACUUUGUGCAAGUUUUGGUGUUUUUGUUAGUAUUUUGAUCACCAAAGCAAGUCAAGAAUGAGGAGAACUAUGAGGAAUCAUGGGCAAAGCUUAGAAUUCAAUUGCCAAGAGUGAAUCCGGAUUGCAAGGAGAAAAAGCAAAGAGAAUCUGUCAUGAAGCCUAUUCUUGAUGACAGUCGUAGCAGCCACUUUUGGAGCACUUUCUGAAGUCCAAAUGAUGCAAGCUAUAUACCAUUUCAAAGAUCAGGAAGUCAACAAUCCAAUGCUUCAAACGGUGCGCGAUUCGGAGUUGAAACGAAGAAGUUGCAGCCAUUACAAGCCAGUCACUCUAAAGUGUUGCGGAAUCAGCCUUUUGUUGCGAGAAUUUCGCAGCACUUUUGUACAGUAAGGUGUUUCUCCUUCUGACGAUGCACGAACCAUGCCGCGAGAGGGAAGCUAGGAACUUCAAGAUGGAAGCCAACUUUGCAGCCUGGUGAAGAUAGCUUGGUCUUGCGAAAUAAUUUCGCAGCCCUCUUGGGUGUCUGCGAAAUUUCGCAGGCACCACUUUUUUCCUGCGAAAUGGCUCCGGAAGCCUCCCGAAGCUUGCUACCGACAUUGGGAGAUAUUUUCCAUUAGAUUUUUGUUGUCUAAAUUCCAAAAUACUCCUUGUAAACCACCAAUUACAUGAUUCCUUAGUUUUUAAGUUAGUAAAAAGACCAAAUAUCUAUGUAAUAAUUAGUUUUAUAUUAGUUUGCUAUAAAUACCUCUCGGGAGCAUGUUCUCAGAGAGGAGUUCCUUCUGUAACCAUUUUGGUAAGCAAGUAAAGUCUUUUCUUUCUACUGCCUUACCUUCUCACUUUGUAUUUUCAUUUUAUUUCUAAGUUAUGAAUUCUCUGAGGAGCUUUCCCCAGAGAAUGAGUAACUAAACCUCCAAUUCCUUGGAGCUAAGGUUGCCGGGGAAGGUUCCAAGUGCAAGAAUGCAAAGCUCUGUGGUUUUAGCUAGUAAUGAAGAGGAAGUGAAAUCCUUUAGUGAUUUCAAUGUUUUUAGUUAACUUAAAACACCUUGGAGUCACCUGGGCCAACACUUGGUAAGGCAAGUGAUUUCCAACCGUGGAAAUGCACUAGUUUACCCCUUGCGAGCCUCUGGUAGGUGACUUCAAGGUAGGAUUUUCUGGAAUUACCAACACUUGGUAAGCUUUUGGACUCCUAGGAGACAUCCAUUAGUUAUCUCUUGCGAGUUUGUGAAGGGGAAUCCAAGGUUAAAGAUCACCUUGAAUGGUAAGUGCUCGUGAGAGGCAUGAACCAUUGCAAGUUGUAUCAGUGAGAGAAUUAAAGUGAAAUCUAAUUGAAGGAGUCUCUGUACAUCACCGGUUAGAGAAUUGACUAUAAGUUGAAUCUCUAAUGCGAGGAAAUGAACCAUCUGACCGGAGCUAUGUCUUUUGCAUGAGGAACCACCCCAGUGAACCUAAAUCUCCAAGGAAUGCUUUUCUUCCUAAAUUAUUCCAAACUUCUGUUAAGUUAGUUAGUUUAAGUCUAAACCUUUACCAAUCAAACUUUGUGUUUUAUUUCUUAAGCUAACCGUGAAAUGAAACAAAACCAAUUCACUUGGAAUUGGUAUCCUUGAUUGCUUGCAAAUCAUUCCCAGUGAACGAUCCUUAGAGCCACUAUACUAUAGUAGCUUUGUAUUUGCUACCCUAGUGUAUGGUGUUAUAGGUAUAAAUUUUGUUGAUCACUUCCUCAAUCAAGGAACACCAGCUGAACACAAAUCAGCUGAGACACCAAUUGGGCAUGAGUCAAAUGGCGCCGUUGCCGGGGAAUGAGUGUCAAGAUCAUUGUGAUACCAUUUUUGAGCACUUGUGAUUUUCAUCACAAGUUGGUAAAGUUUCUUUCACUUUACUAAUUUUCAUUCUCUCUUUGUUUAUUUACAAUCUAAGUUUAUCUUUUUAAAAUUUAGUCUAGUUUAAUUUUGCUAUUGUAGCCUUGUUUCUCUUGUUGUCCUCUGUUCUUGUUGUCCUCUGUUUUCAUUUUAGUUGCAGCUGAAUACUAGUUGUGUAUGCCAAAGUGGAUACGAGACAUUGGAGGUAGGCUUAUUAAGUGUGAUACACCUCAGAGAGGAGAAUUGGAAGUAAUCUUGAAUAUCAUGGAGGCUGCACCUGAAGAUCAGCAUAGUCACCAAGGUCGUCAAGACAAUCUCAAUGAAUUCAGAUCAAUGAGGGACCGUAUGCAUCCACCUCGUAUGAGUGCACCAUCAUGUAUAGUGCCCCCUACAGAGCAACUAGUGAUCAGACCAUAUCUUGUUCCACUUCUACCAACUUUCCAUGGGAUGGAAAGUGAGAAUCCGUAUGCACACAUCAAGGAAUUUGAAGAUGUUUGUAAUACAUUCCAAGAGGGAGGAGCUUCAAUUGAUUUGAUGAGGCUUAAGUUAUUUCCUUUUAAUUUAAAGGAUAAGGCCAAAAUUUGGCUUAAUUCUUUAAGGCCAAGGAGUAUCCGCUCUUGGACUGAUUUACAAGCUGAAUUCCUCAAGAAAUUUUUUCCUACUCAUAGAACAAAUGGCUUGAAAAGGCAAAUUUCAAACUUCUCAGCUAAAGAGAAUGAGAAAUUCUAUGAGUGUUGGGAAAGAUACAUGGAAGCUAUAAAUGCUUGUCCUCACCAUGGCUUUGAUACUUGGCUACUGGUGAGUUAUUUUUAUGAUGGUAUGUCCUCCUCAAUGAAGCAACUCCUCGAGAAAAUGUGUGGAGAAGAUUUCAUGAGCAAAAAUCCAGAGGAAGCUAUGGAUUUCUUGAGCUAUGUAGCUGAUGUUUCAAGGGGAUGGGAUGAACCAACUAAAGGAGAAGUGGGAAAGAUGAAGUCUCAGUUGAAUGCUUACAAUGCAAAGGCUGGGAUGUAUACUUUAAAAGAGGAUGAUGACAUGAAAGCAAAGUUGGCAGCUAUGACAAGAAGAUUGGAGGAGCUGGAGCUGAAAAGAAUGCAUGAAGUGCAAGCUGUUGCUGAAGCACCAGUGCAAGUGAAGUUGUGUCCCAAUUGUCAAUCGUUUGAACAUUUGGUAGAGGAAUGCCCUGCAAUUUCAGCUGAAAGGGAAAUGUAUAGAGAUCAAGCAAAUGUUGUUGGACAAUUCAGGCCCAAUAACAAUGCUCCUUAUGGAAAUACCUACAAUUCAAGUUGGAGGAAUCAUCCAAAUUUUUCAUGGAAGGCCAGAGCAACUCAAUACCAACAGCCGGAUCCACCAUCUCAACAAUCUUCAAGUAUUGAACAAAUAAUAGCUAAUCUCAGCAAGGUAGUGGGAGAUUUUGUGGGAAAGCAAGAAGCCACCAAUGCUCGAGUGGAUCAAAGAAUGGACAGAGUGGAUCAAAGAAUGGACAGAAUGGAGAGUAUGUUGAACAAAAGAAUGGAUGGAAUGCAAAAUGAUAUGAAUCAAAAAUUUGAUAACAUCCAAUAUUCAAUUUCAAGGCUUACAAAUUUGAAUACACUGCAAGAAAAGGGAAGAUUUCCUUCUCAACCUAACCAAAAUCCCAAAGGUGUCCAUGAAGUGGAAAGCCAUGAGGGAGAAUCAUCACAGGUGAAAGAUGUGAAAGCUUUGAUCACUCUAAGGAGUGGUAAGAAAAUUGAGCAGCCAACACCCAAGCCACAUGUUGAGAAAGAAGAAGAGAUGAAGAAAGGGAAGGAAAUGGAAGAUAAAGGCAGUGAGAUCAGUGAAGAAAAGAAGGACUCUGAUGCAACAAUGAAAGUAAUUCCAGAGAAGGAGCUUCUGAAGGAAGAAAUGCUGAAGAAAUCAACUUUUCCACCUUUUCCUCAAGCAUUACAGGGGAAAAAGGGGGUUAGAAAUGCAGCUGAAAUCCUAGAAGUAUUGAGGCAAGUGAAAGUUAAUAUUCCACUGCUGGAUAUGAUCAAACAAGUUCCAACGUAUGCAAAAUUCCUAAAGGACUUGUGUACUAUCAAAAGAGGGUUGACUGUAAACAAGAAAGCCUUCUUGACUGAGCAAGUAAGUGCAAUCUUACAGUGUAAGUCUCCUUUGAAGUACAAAGACCCUGGAAGUCCUACCAUUUCAGUCAUGAUUGGAGGAAAGGUAGUGGAGAAAGCCUUGCUAGACUUGGGAGCAAGUGUGAAUUUGCUUCCAUAUUCUGUCUACAAGCAACUGGGACUUGGAGAGUUGAAGCCAACAGCAAUCACUUUGUCUCUGGCAGAUAGAUCAGUGAAAAUUCCAAGAGGGGUAAUUGAGGAUGUAUUGGUUCAAGUAGAUAAUUUCUACUAUCCUGUAGAUUUUGUUGUUCUUGAUACAGAUCCUACUGUAAAGGAAGCUAAUUUAGUUCCUAUCAUCCUUGGAAGGCCAUUUCUUGCAACUUCAAAUGCAAUCAUCAACUGUAGAAAUGGGCUUAUGCAACUCACUUUUGGUAACAUGACACUGGAUCUAAAUAUUUUCUAUAUGUCUAAAAAGCAAAUCACUCCAGAAGAAGAAGAGGGUCCAGAAGAGCUAUGUAUUAUUGAUACUUUGGUGGAGGAGCACUGCAAUCAACAUAUGCAAGAUAAGUUGAAUGAAAGUUUUGUGGAUAUUGAGGAAGGUUUUUCUGAAUCUCCUAAUGGGCUUGCUACUCUACAAAGUUGGAGAAAGAUAGAAGGAAUUCUACCUUUGUUCAAUGAAGAAGAGGAGGCAGCUGUUGAAAAAGAAAUUCCAAAACUCAAUCUGAAGCCUUUACCUAUGGAGCUGAAAUAUACAUAUCUUGAAGAAAAUAAUCAAUGUCCUGUCGUAAUAUCUUCAUCUCAAACCAAGUCUCAAGUGAAGGAUGCAAGCUUCAAAUGGGAUCCGGGCAAACUGAAUCAGGAAGGGCAAAAAGUUUUGAUGUAUGACACAAGACUCCAUAUCUUUCCUGGGAAGCUCAAGUCAAGGUGGAUUGGUCCAUUUGUUAUUCACCGAGUAUAUUCCAAUGGAGUGGUGGACUUAUUGAAUUCCAAUGGCAAGGACAGCUUUAGAGUCAAUGGAUAUCGUCUUAAGCCGUUCAUGGAGUCAUUCAAAUCAGAAAAGGAGGCAAUCAACCUCCUUGAACCUCAAAAAGCCUAAGUGAAAUGGGUUUGCUGGACGUGGUUUUACCACAGUCCAAAAAUUUUUGUAAAUUUUGUAAAUUUUCAAGUUGUUUCCAUGCUUUUAAUCUUAGUUUUUGAUUUUAAAUCAUGUUUUUAGGUGUGUUUUAAUCGUUUUAUAUGAUCCCAGGCGGAAGAAAUUUCAAGGGGAUUGAAAAGAAAAAAAUCGGGUCGAAAUUGGAGCCGAAACAGAGCAAAAACAGGGGAAAAACAGAGCUCUGCGAAAUUUCGCAGGGUGAAGGAAACUUCUGCGAAAUUGGCAUUUUGCUGCCAAACCAUUCCGCAGCACUGUAGAAGCCUCUGCGAGUGUAUUUCGCAAUUGCGAAAGUGGAUUUGGCACACGAGUGCCACUUCGCAGCACAGUGACAUCAAUUUCGCAGCUGCGAAACUCACUGCGAAGUUGCUGCGAAAAUGGCAAGUUGCUGCGAAAUUGGCGUUUUGUUGCGAAACGUAAUCUGACCCCUGGGCUUCCGUUUUUCCUAUUUAUACCUGUCAAAAGUGCUGCGAAAAAGGUUUCAAAAAUUAGAGCACCAUUCUCGCAGCCCUUUCAUCUUCUUCGCCAAGCCACGCCGUCCGUUUCUCCGGUCGUCUUCUCCGUUUAGCAGCGCCGGCCAAAGAUCGAUAGCCCAAAAAUGGCACGAACGCGAGGGGCAAAGUCUUCAUCCCCUUCGAACCGCAAAAGGAGUCUGCGAAAGGAGCCAAGUUCAGGCUCUGUUCCAGAACCUGCUCCAAAGCCUUCGCCGUCGAGACCACAACCUUCUCCAGUGAAGCCGGCGCCACCAAAGCCGCCGGCAAGGCGAUAUUUAACCAGGUCAGGUGGUCAGCCAUUGAAGAAGAAAGCCAGAGUUGAGAGCUCUGAACCAAUCGAUUUGACUGAGCAAUCCCCUGAGAAAUCACCAAAUCCUUCACCGGUACAAAUUCCAGUGCCAUCACCGGUUCCCUCGCCAAUUCCCUCACCAGAAGCAACUCCAAUUCCAUCGCCGGUACCAUCUCCGGCACCCCAAGAAAAAGCUCAGGAGCCUCAAGCGCCAAUUCCAGAGCCCCAAAUUGCAGCUGAAGCACCUCUGGAAGAAGUGAUCCGAAGGCCAAUGCUGCCUCAGCCCCCAAUCGAAGGAAACCUGGAUUGCCGAACUCGGGCAUUCCAUUCUGAGCUUUGCUUCGAUUUAACAGCAUUCAGAGUGAGGCCAGAGCUUGCCCAAUCCUUCCAACUGCUGAGGAGAUAUCAUAUGGAGCAUCUGCUAGCUCCAAGGGAUUUUUUCUAUCCCCGGGUAGUCACGGAUUUCUACCAAACCAUGACAACCAAAGAAGUAAGAAAUCCAACUCUGAUUCAUUUCAUAAUUGAUGGAAGGCAUGGUAUUUUGGGAGCAAGACAUAUUGCUGAAGCCCUGCAAAUUCCUUUUGAGCCAACUCAAUUCGACAAUUUUAAAGCUUGGACAAAUCCUACUGAGUUAGAGAUGGUUAGCACACUAACCAGAGGAGCUGCAAAUCGAUCGCAUUUGUUGAGGGGGGAGCUACCUCCAGUUAUGUUUUUGAUUGAUGCCUUUUUGAGGCAUAAUAUCUAUCCCCUGCAGCAUUGGACCCAAAGAAGGGGAAUUCUCCUAGAAGCCUUGUACAAAAUGUCUGAAGGAUUCUUCUUUGGGCCUCAUCAUCUGAUCAUGGCAGCCCUUCUAUACUUUGAGGAGAAGGUUCACAAGAAGAAGCUUCAAAGAGCAGAUUGCAUUCCACUCCUCUUCCCAAGGCUGCUAUGCCAAGUUUUGGAGCAUCUCGGAUACCCCUCUGAGCCUCAGCAGGAAAGAAAGAGAAUAUGCCGUGAGCCUUUUACCCUUGAUAAAUGGAAUAAUAUGACGGCCUACAAAAUUGAUCAGCCUGGGCAGCCUCAGCCAGCAGCAAGGAGAGUCUCCCCAAGACAUAUACCUGAAGGUAUAACACUUGCUACUCCUGCCAUCCCUCGAGCUCCACCAGCUGCACCUGCUCCAUCACAGCCAUCCACAUCAGCUGAGCCGAGGAUGGCCAUCCCUAUAUCCGAAUAUCGAGAGCUGUGCCGUGCAUUGGAGACUCUUACAGCUUCUCAGAGCAAUCUUGCUCAGGAGUUGGCAGCCAUUAAAGCAUGCCAGGAGCAGAUGUUAGCCUCUCAGACUCAACAAGCUGCCAUCCUAAGGCAGCUUCAAGUCCAUUUCGAUCUGCCACAAGCUGUAGAGCCCUCUAUUCCUACUCCACCAGAGCCACACUCUCAGCCUUCAGAGUCUCAUCCUCCAGAACCCGAAGCACCAGCUGAUCCACCUACUGAGGAGGCAGAUCCUUCUGCCUAGCACCAUCACCCCCCUCAUCAGACAUUAUAUAUAUAUUUGCUGUUUAUGUUUUUAUGCAUGUUUGUUUUGUUUUAGUUGAAAAGAAAUCCCAGUAUUUUGGUACUAUAUAUGGGAUUCCUUGUGUUACUUGUCUUUAGUAUUGUAAUCACAUGAACUCAAAGUAAUACAAGUUGACUAUUUCUUGUUAAAAGUUAGCAUUAAAGUUUCCUUAUUUCCUUUUCUCACAUAUUCUAUUCUUUUUGAAACAUGUGGUUUUCCCCAAUCAAUAUUCGAAUUUGAUAUCAGCAUGGAGGUACCACUUCCUCCCUUUUAUUACAGUCACUCAAAUCACAUUGAGGACAAUGCUCAGUUCGGUUGGGGGGUAUGAGGAAGGAAGUAUUCUAAACCUUUUUGGUAUUGCAAUUAUAUUGGUUAAUUAGUUGUAGAUUUUACUUUUUACUAGUGUUACUCUAUUCUCCAUGAAUUUUGAGGAAAAAUUUUCAAAUUAAACCAAGAGAAAUUGAACUGUUGUUUUUCACUUGACUUAGAGUAUGGAUUAUGCUUACUAAAGUGGUUCAAUUGUUGAAACUUCUACUGAAAUUGAAUUGAGUUCUUCCACUUUAAGCUAUCCACACACUGUGCACAUUAGUUUCCGAUUAUAAGAUGAAAAGCUAUUUCCCUCUUGACUUAGUAUAUUUUUGGGACUUGGUAUAUUUGACCUCAUUUGAUAAAAAUUGAAACACCCUGCAAAAGGCCAAUGAGCCUUUGAAAUAAAGAAAGUUGUUUGCUUGCCUUGAAACCCGAGCAAGGUCUGAGGGGUAUAUGGUGAAAAUCUUUAAAGCCUGGUGCCCUAAGCCUUAAUUGGUUGGGAGUCACCGACCUCAAUGCUCGUUACAAGGGUGAAUAGGUAGAGUUAGCAUAUGGUAGAUGCUUGGGUAUUAGAAAUUCAUUCUUAAAAGUCCGGGGAAAAAUCCGAGGAGUUAGUGGUUGAAAGAUCCUUAAAACUUGGUGCCCUAAACCUUAAUUGGUUGGGAGUCAUCGAUGGACCCCCAUUACAUGGACAAGUCAGAAAGAGUACCCCAUAAAGCUACCUUAAAAAAAAAAAAAAAAAAAAAAAAAAAAAAAAAGAUGAAAGUGUGUUCUUUUCUUAUUGAUUUUGGUCAGUUUGCUAAAGUGUUGAAAAGAGAUAGGUUGGGGGGUGAGAUUAGUAGCAUAUUAUUCUCGGAACCUAAGGAACCAAUACACAUAGAUUUUUGUGGAAGAUUGAAGUUUAGUUCUUAGAAAAUGAAAUGAUUUUAAAACUUCAGUUUGCAUAAUGCACUCCCUUGAUUGACAGUGUUUAGCAUAGGUGUUAUGACUCUUGUUGAGAUUUGGGUUUGUAUUUCUUUAAUGAUUCAUGUGAGAAAUAGAUCAUCAUGCCACUUGAGAAUUAUUUUCCUUUUAGCAUGAUGUUGUAAAUUUUAGAUUAGUUUGCUAUUUAUUUUUUAUUUUCUCUCCUAUAUUGCUAAGGGACUAGCAAUAUGUCGGUUGGGGGGAGUGAUUACUACUCAAAAAGUGCUAUUUGAUAGCCUUUAAUUAAUCCUUUUUAACACUUUUGAGUAGUAGUUUAGGCCUUUUAACUCAAUUGGCAUGUUAAGGAUCCUUUAAAGCAAUUUUGAUCACUUUGUGCAAGUUUUGGUGUUUUUGUUAGUAUUUUGAUCACCAAAGCAAGUCAAGAAUGAGGAGAACUAUGAGGAAUCAUGGGCAAAGCUUAGAAUUCAAUUGCCAAGAGUGAAUCCGGAUUGCAAGGAGAAAAAGCAAAGAGAAUCUGUCAUGAAGCCUAUUCUUGAUGACAGUCGUAGCAGCCACUUUUGGAGCACUUUCUGAAGUCCAAAUGAUGCAAGCUAUAUACCAUUUCAAAGCUCAGGAAGUCAACAAUCCAAUGCUUCAAACGGUGCGCGAUUCGGAGUUGAAACGAAGAAGUUGCAGCCAUUACAAGCCAGUCACUCUAAAGUGUUGCGGAAUCAGCCUUUUGUUGCGAGAAUUUCGCAGCACUUUUGUACAGUAAGGUGUUUCUCCUUCUGACGAUGCACGAACCAUGCCGCGAGAGGGAAGCUAGGAACUUCAAGAUGGAAGCCAACUUUGCAGCCUGGUGAAGAUAGCUUGGUCUUGCGAAAUAAUUUCGCAGCCCUCUUGGGUGUCUGCGAAAUUUCGCAGGCACCACUUUUUUCCUGCGAAAUGGCUCCGGAAGCCUCCCGAAGCUUGCUACCGACAUUGGGAGAUAUUUUCCAUUAGAUUUUUGUUGUCUAAAUUCCAAAAUACUCCUUGUAAACCACCAAUUACAUGAUUCCUUAGUUUUUAAGUUAGUAAAAAGACCAAAUAUCUAUGUAAUAAUUAGUUUUAUAUUAGUUUGCUAUAAAUACCUCUCGGGAGCAUGUUCUCAGAGAGGAGUUCCUUCUGUAACCAUUUUGGUAAGCAAGUAAAGUCUUUUCUUUCUACUGCCUUACCUUCUCACUUUGUAUUUUCAUUUUAUUUCUAAGUUAUGAAUUCUCUGAGGAGCUUUCCCCAGAGAAUGAGUAACUAAACCUCCAAUUCCUUGGAGCUAAGGUUGCCGGGGAAGGUUCCAAGUGCAAGAAUGCAAAGCUCUGUGGUUUUAGCUAGUAAUGAAGAGGAAGUGAAAUCCUUUAGUGAUUUCAAUGUUUUUAGUUAACUUAAAACACCUUGGAGUCACCUGGGCCAACACUUGGUAAGGCAAGUGAUUUCCAACCGUGGAAAUGCACUAGUUUACCCCUUGCGAGCCUCUGGUAGGUGACUUCAAGGUAGGAUUUUCUGGAAUUACCAACACUUGGUAAGCUUUUGGACUCCUAGGAGACAUCCAUUAGUUAUCUCUUGCGAGUUUGUGAAGGGGAAUCCAAGGUUAAAGAUCACCUUGAAUGGUAAGUGCUCGUGAGAGGCAUGAACCAUUGCAAGUUGUAUCAGUGAGAGAAUUAAAGUGAAAUCUAAUUGAAGGAGUCUCUGUACAUCACCGGUUAGAGAAUUGACUAUAAGUUGAAUCUCUAAUGCGAGGAAAUGAACCAUCUGACCGGAGCUAUGUCUUUUGCAUGAGGAACCACCCCAGUGAACCUAAAUCUCCAAGGAAUGCUUUUCUUCCUAAAUUAUUCCAAACUUCUGUUAAGUUAGUUAGUUUAAGUCUAAACCUUUACCAAUCAAACUUUGUGUUUUAUUCCUUAAGCUAACCGUGAAAUGAAACAAAACCAAUUCACUUGGAAUUGGUAUCCUUGAUUGCUUGCAAAUCAUUCCCAGUGAACGAUCCUUAGAGCCACUAUACUAUAGUAGCUUUGUAUUUGCUACCCUAGUGUAUGGUGUUAUAGGUAUAAAUUUUGUUGAUCACUUCCUCAAUCAAGGAACACCAGCUGAACACAAAUCAGCUGAGACACCAAUUGGGCAUGAGUCAGUGCGUUAGAGGAUCAAGAAGAAGAAAAAGAAGGAACUGUUGGAAUUAGUAUGAGUGUGAAGAGAAAAGUAUAUAAAUAAGGGGAAGUAAAAGCAAAGUUCAAAAAGCUAUAUUUUUUUAUUGUUGGUGUAUGGUUGCAUGAUUAUCCCUAUAAAUAAUAGGAGUUUUUUGGUAUUCUACUAGUAGUUGAAGCAUAAUUUCAUAAAUUAAUAUUUAGAGCGGGGUGGGGUGAGUUGUGACAAAAUUCAUACCCGUCCCAAACCUUGGUUCAGAUUUUUAAAAUAUUCUCAAACUUAUCAUAUACCCAACUUUUAUAUUUCAUACUUGUCCUAAUAGAGGCACGUUAGGCCGGGUUACUUGAGUAACCUACAUAAUUGUCAUCCCUAGUUGAAAUACACUUUUUGGCAGUGGCCACCAACUGAGCUAGAAGCUUGAUUGAUUGACCUACAAGAUUAGUUCUCAUCAUUUUAAAAAAAGUUCUGGCUUUGGUUGUGAGUGCAAUUGAAUCUAAACUGGCAUUUGCUUAAUGCAUCUACUUCAAUCCUAAACUUCUUACUUCUUAAGCCUCAAUUGUUGUUAGGAUUUUGGAAAACCCAUUUCCUUAAAUUGUAAAUUUAAGAUAAAAUAAAAUAAAAGUGAGACAUUUCUUGAUUGAAUAUUGUUAAAGGUCCCUUGGCAUUAAGACUUGGUUGAAGCCUUGGAAGAUUAGUGGAACUCUCAACAUGUGUUUGAAUCUUGAGGAGAGUGGAUGUAAGCCAAAAUUUUGUCAAACCAUUAUACAAAUUGAGUUUGAAUCCUCAUUUCUUGAUUUCUUAUUUAUUUGCUUUUUCUUAUUAUUACUUGAAUUGUCAUUUGCAUUCAUUAAUGUUAAAAUUGGUUAUAAUUAACCAACACUAAUUCUCUUUCCCCUUCCCUUUCUUGGGUGUAAACCUAGGUUGGAUUAACUAGAUAAAUCUAUUAAGAUGGUAAAAGAAUAAUUAUUCUUAACAUACAUAAGAUCAUCUUCAAUCAAAUGACUCAUUGGCUAAUAUGUUGAAUUUGCUUAUUACUUGCAACUCAAAAUUGUGUUCUAGUUGUGUCAAGUCCCCAGUGUAUGGACAUUAAAUUUGUAGUACGUGAUGAGUAAUUAGAUGGUCCAACUCCAAGAAAGUGAUUGAAAAGUAGUUCAAGAAAGGUGCAAAAGGGAAUUGUUUUGGUAUUUUCGUUUUUAUUCUUGAAGGUGGCAGAGCUAAAAUUUGAGAAAUCAAGCAAAACAUACUGAAAUUACAUUGAAAGAAAGAAGAUGGGAGUUAAUGUCUUGCAGUACAUGAUAAGGACUUCAUGCAUGUAGUGUGACCCAUGUCUUGGACUGAUGCCAACUCACGGUUACACUUAUACCCUUGGUUCUCUCUUUACUACCUUGGCUAACCUAGAUCAGGCUAUGAGAUAGGCUCCUCACCACACCAUUACUUGCCCAUUAAUUAGAGACAUUUUCAAGCAAUGAGGUAACAUGGUGACACCAAGAGGGUCUAUUCCUCGCCCGGAACAAGUCUAGACUUGGUCUCAAAAAAAUGGAGAAAAAUGAGGUGUCGUUAUGUAGAAAUACAACAACCAUGCCUUCCUCAUUACUUAGAUUCAGAAUGUGAAGGUGAAAUUGAGAAACAGAAACUCUUGAAACCAAAAUGAAAAUUGAUACUUUUACGAAGAAUUACAACAACAUUAGAGGAAGACUACAUUCUUCCUCUUUAUUCCUACAUUUCUACACUACUUCUACUCCACUCCAUAUUUCUACAUACAUCUUUAAUCAGUCUUCCCUCCUUUAUAUAGAGCCAUCUUCACACAAAUUUCGCAAGGUAGAAAAGAGGAAUGAAACUUGGAGCAAGGUUCGACUACUGGUUGUAGCUUGUCAAGGCUGGAAGUGAACUUUUCUUGGCUUUCUGGGCAUGGGUAGUAACUUGUGGGUUCCUGUUUGGCAUAAAAAUGGCUAGAACAUGUGGCACUAUCUUGUUGGAUGAUGUGUCAAGCAUGUGGCAGCCAUCUAGUGGCGAUUAUGUCAAUUUUGGGAUGGAGAGUUGGCAUCCAAUUGCAAAGAAAUAUGACGUCUACCAACAUGCAAUGUAAACCUAUGUAGAUCAUAUGAAGAUAGAGAGGAAAAAUAUAGAAAUGGAUAUAUACCUAGAACUAGCUUUUUAUUAAAUGAAACGGAGAGACAACAAUGAAGGAAAAUAAAAUUUUUUGGCUUAUAUCAAAGAGUUCACAUUGUGUUACCCUAGGUUUUCUUAAAACUUACUUUUAUGAUAACAAAAAAGAAAAAACCAUUAUUGUUUAAUCCUUUGUUUUAAACGCAUGUAAGGUGUAAUUAAGUUAGUUCAAUGCAUUAAUUUAAGAAACUUGACCUAUCAAAAGUACAAAAUUAGAUGAAAUCCAUUUCAAUGGUUAAAAUGAUCAAAAUCAAACUUUUUCUAAGUAUUUUUUAAAAGCAUCAAUAGUGAAAGACAAUUUUAUAUUUAGUCGGAGUUUGGACAAAACUGAAAAACACACAAAAUCCAAGCGACCAUCUCUAGCUUGGAUGGUCGCUUGAUCCCACCUAGAGAUGUGCAUGAGUAAAAGGAUUUGAAAAUGGAAAUUGACUAUGUAGUCGAUCAAUUAACUUUGCAACAUCAUAUGCAAUCCUAAUUGCUAGUCAUCUAAUCAAUUAGGUAGUCAAUCAACAGGCCAAAAAUAUGUUUAUAAUGACUAUUUUGUACAAAAACCACCUGUAUAGUUAAAUAUAAUGCAUUUCAUUUAUAAAUCUUCUAAUUCUUGAAUAACGAUCCUAUCAUCCUUUGAAAGUUUUUAUUACACUUUUUUUACUUUUGUUCUAAAACUUACACAUCACCCUUAAUUGUACCAUGAGAACCUAGCUAUUUUUUAUUUUUUUUUUUGUAAUUCAUCAAAGUUAGCUUUUGUAUUCAUUGUUGUAUUAUUUUUAGUAUAACUUAGAAAGCUAGUGUUUUCAAGUGAGUAAAAUUAACUUGUAAAUAUUGUAAAGAUUCAUCGACAUGUAUCUUAAACUAAGUGUACAAGUUAAAACAUUUGCUAGUAGAUUUUCUCAAAAUUUAGAAUAGAGCUUGAGACUAUUGAAAUAGGUGGGGUUGCACCAAACCACAUCACAUCGUUGUUUGCACCUUUUUUCACUCUCUUUUACUUAGUUGCUCUAUAUUUGUUGUCUAGUAAUAUCCUAUAGGCUUGAUGGGUUAGGGAGCAUCCCUUUGUGAAAAAAUUUUAUUCAAUCCUUAGUUGUAUCACGCAUAUAUAAAAUGCCUCAUUGUUUUAAUGGUAUUCAGUCGUGGCAUCACAGAUAUGGGCAUCUAAAUUUUAAAAGUUUGAAACUUUUAUCUAAAGAAAAUAUGGUGCUUUGCCUUUUUGUAAAGCAUGUUGAUGAAAUCCAUGAGAAUUGUGUACUUGGGAAGCAACACCGAGAUGACUUUUUUUUUUUUUUUAUAAUAUUGUUUGUCCAAAUUCCCUACAAAUUAGGCCACCAGAUGUUCAUAAUUCUCCCUUCUUGAAUUUGAAAACUCGGACAAUUGGACAAUGCGACACCUAAGUCCGGUUUCUAAAUGCUAAAGUGAAAGGGUAGGUAUGGACCAUUGAAAUGUGAUCACAACUUUUCUCUGUAGCCAUGUUGUCUCUUUUUUCUUUUGCAUGAUUUUCUUACCUUAACAGAAUCAUAGACUUGUUUAGUCUCUAAAUGGGAUUAAUUUCAUCCAGCUUUAAGCUACUAUAUUAUAUCUAGGUGGAGGACUUUUAAGAGUGCAACCGACAUAGAGCACAUGGAAGUGGGUAUAUGGGACAUGAAAUUUCUUCUUAUAAAGAUUGCAUGAUUUUUAUAUUAGAGUUGUUGAGGCGCUAUGUAUUUAGCUUGUUUUGCAGUUAAAUUAAUUGGAUAAGUAGACAUUGGCGUUUCUAAAUCUACUGUGAAGUGCUUCAUGUACGUGUGAAGUAUUAGAAAUUUCUUUCUUGGCAACUUGUUUUUCUUUGCGGUCUACUGAUAGGUUUGACUAAAAUUAUAUUCCCUGUCAUGCUAAUUAAUUUUCACGUGCAUGCUCAAAAGAAAAGUAUGACCUUAGUGCACCAAAAUCACUUUGAUUAAUUUGUGAUAGGUUUUUGUGCAUCAUGACAUUAGCCUUAUUCAUUUAGAUAAUGUUUAGUUUUUAGAAAGUAUUAAGAAAAGGAAAAUAAAUAUUAAGAAAAAUAUUCUUAUAUUUGAUUGUAUUAUGAAAAAUAUCAUAAAAAAAUCAAAUAUAAUUUAAAUUAAUUAAUAAUUUAUACAUUUUCAAAUUAUUUAAUCUUUAUAUUGAAGAUAUAAUAUAAAUGAAAUGAGUUUUAAGUAUUAUAUAAAAGUGAUUUAUUGAUCUUACAUAUAUAUAUUUCUUUUUUUUUUCCUUCUAUUUUUUCUCUUUAUUUUAUUUUCCUUAUGUUUUCCUCAACAUUUUCCGGAACCAAACAUAGCCUUAGGAAAUCCACAAUUACCUUCAACUGAGUAGAUUCUGUUGUUUUAGCAAUGUUAGGCUGCUAACUUGUGUUGGUACGAACCUAUUAAGCCUAAAGAUGUAAUUAGUUAGGAUAUUCUUUUCCCUCUAGUCUUGUAGCUCCACGUGUACAGUUGGUUAGGACCUCAUUGUAUAUAAUGCUUGCCCUGUUAUUGUAGAAGACAACAAAGAUAAAUAAUAUUAACAUUUUUCCUCUCAUCUCUCUCUGUUUCCCUCUGUUUUCAUCUCCUCUCUCAUCUUGGUAUCAGAGCCUCCAUGGCUUCUUUCAAAGAAACCUCCGAAUCACCUUCUGCUAGCAUUGUUAAUGUGCAAAACCCAUUAUCUCAAUCAAACAACCUUCCUUCACCAGUAGCCACACCCUCUUUUUCUUUCUCGUCUAUGAAUCAACCUCUCACAGUGAAGCUGGAUAAUGGGAACUACCUCAUAUGGAAGAAUUAGCUUCUAAAUGUCAUCAUUGCUAACGGACUCGAUGAUUUCAUUGACGGAUCUCGACCCUGCCCUCCUCGAUUUCUCGAUCUGCAACAACAAACCCUCAAUCCAGAGUACUCAGCUUGGCAGAGAUACAAUCGACUUCUGAUGAGUUGGCUGUACGCAUCCUUGUCCAAAGAUAUAAUGGCUCAGAUUGUUGGGUAUUCAACAGCUAUGGAGAUUUGGAAUGCCCUUAAUCAGAUUUACUCUGCCUCUUCUAUGGCGCGGUUUACUGAGCUUCGCACCAAGCUUCAAACGCUCAAGAAAGAUGGACUCUCAGUUGGUGAAUAUAUUCAAAGGCUCAAAUCCAUUUGCAAUAGUCUUGCAGCAAUAGGAGAACCAGUUUCUGAGAAAGACCAUCUUAUCUAUUUGUUCAAUGGAUUAGAUUGUGAGUAUUAUUCUUUUGUUACCUCCAUUCAAAAUCGAUCUGACCAACCAACUAUUGACAAAAUCCAUAGCCUAUUGCUUAGCUAUGACUUCCGGCUUGAACAACAAAACUCUGUUUCUCUCCAUUCUGCCCAAGUCCAUAUGGCUCAUCUGAACAAGAAACCUUAUAAAUCAACUCCUCAACCUACAUUCAAUCAUAUUCACAUUCAACCUAGAUACUCUUCUCCACCUUUUAAGCCAACCACUAGUCAAUAUCAACCCAACAUUUUGGGCAAACCACAACCACAACCAUGACAGCCUCAACCUCAAUGGAAACCACAUUUUUCAAUCUAAAAUCAAAAGCCUCAGCGCCAAAUUUGUGGUAAAUUUGGACACACUGCUCUUAUUUGCUUCCAUCACACAAAUUUGAACUAUUCACCCCAACCUUCUCCUAAAUCUUUCAAUACUGUUCUCACCACAAAUUCCCAGCUCCCUAAUCCUCCAAAAUUUUCUUACCCUACAAUGGCUCAUCCUGCUGCUACGCAUAACACGGUUCCCGAUACAAAUUGGUACAUGGACUCAGGUGCUACACAUCACUUUACUCUGGACAUCAACGUGCUUGACACUGUGACACCAUUUAGUGGUUCAGAACAGGUGACAGUUGGGAAUGGUAAGCAACUCUGUAUCUCACAUCUUGGUACUGCAAAACUACCAUCUUCGUAUUCUCCUCCUGUUCUACAUCAGGUAUAUCACACUCCAAAAAUUUCAAAUAAUCUUAUUAGUGUUAAAAAAUUGUGUUCUGAUAAUAAAGUUUUUGUUGAAUUUUAUGCCACUCAUUUUCUUGUCAAGGAUCAGGUUUCGAAGAGAGUUCUCCUUUAGGGUCAACUUGAUAAUGGCUUAUACAAAGUUCAGUCGUCAUGCUCUCCUUCUGCUGUUUCCUUUCCUCCUCAAGUUUUCAUAGCCAACAUCAAGUAUCCAAAUCUGUGGCACAAGAGACUAGGCCACCCAGCUUUAUCUGUUGUUAAUCAAAUCUUGGAUUCUUGUAACAUUGCUCGAACACAGAAAAUUUGUUUUAAUUUUUUAAAUUCUUGUCAAUUAGCAAAGAGCCACAGGCUUCCUUUUUCUCUGUCUCCAUCCAUUGCAGAAAAACCUUUUGAGUUAAUUCAUACAGACCUAUGGGGUCUUUCGCUCGUUCGCUCUAUUUCUGGUGCUCUUUAUUUUUUACUUUUCAUUGAUGAUCAUACUCGUUUUACUUGGUUUUAUUUGCUCAAAACAAAAGAUGAAGCAUAUCCUACUUUUCUCAAGUUUCAAGCUCUCAUUGAAAAUCAAUUUAAUACCAAGAUUAAGGCUGUCCAAUCUGAUUGGGGAGGUGAGUUUCGAUCUCUCUCCAUACCGUUUUCAAAUAUGGGCAUUGUCUAUUGUUUAUCGUGUCCAUACACCUCACAACAGAAUGGGCGAGUUGAGCGAAAAAAUCGCCAUGCGAUUGUCCUUUCUUGCUUGCUCUAUGCCCUUAUCUUAUUGGCCUUAUGCCUUUCAAACUGCCACUUACCUUAUUAAUCGUCUCUCUACCCCUGUGCUGCAUCAUCAAUCCUCUUACUUCGCACUCUAUCACAAACUCCCAACUUAUACUCAUCUUAAGGUCUUUGGUUCCUCUUGUUUUCCGUAUUUGCACCCUUAUAAUACCCAUAAACUCCAAUACAGGUCACUAGAGUGUGCUUUUCUUGGUUACAGUUCACACCACAAAGGUUAUCUAUGUCUUGACAUUCAUUCUAGCAGGGUGUAUAUUUCUCGCCAUGUGAUUUUUAAUGAAGAUUCUUUUCCAUUCAAGAAUUUGAAAUCUUCUCUCUCUCAGUCUAUUUCUUCUUCCUCUUCUUUAUAAGUUCCUCUGUUCAUUCUCUUGCCUCCCCUUUCCCCAUCUCCUCUUAUUUCUUCAUCUAUACCUCAUUCUUUUCCCUCUUCUUCUUCUACCUCUAGUACUUGUUCCCCUCUCGUUGCUCCUACCUCUCUUCCUUCCUCUUCACACUCUGUGUCUCCAUCUAUUCCACCUCCUUCUCCACCUUCUCCGAGUGUGGACCUGCUUGCACCUUGUGUGAAUACAAAUUUACAUACUUCUUCUCGCACUCACAAUAUUCAUCCUAUGGUGACUAGAUCUAAGGUUUGUAUCUAUAAACCUAAGUUGUUGUUGAGUGUCUCCAUAGGUUCUCUCACUAAGCCUACUUCCUUUCUUCAAGCUAUUAAAGAUCCUUCAUGGAAGCAAUCCAUGGAAUUCGAGUUUGCUACCCUUCAACACAACAAGACCUGGCAUUUGGUUCCUUCACCUUCCUCAGGCGAAGUAAUCGGUUGUAAAUGGGUCUAUAAGCUAAAGCUUCAGCCUGAUGGCUAAAUUGAGAGAUACAGCCUGCUUAGUAGCUAAGGGUAUCAUCAAAUUGAAGUAUGGACUACUUCGAAACAUUCAGCCUGAUNNNNNNNNNNNNNNNNNNNNNNNNNNNNNNNNNNNNNNNNNNNNNNNNNNNNNNNNNNNNNNNNNNNNNNNNNNNNNNNNNNNNNNNNNNNNNNNNNNNNAGCUUCAGCCUGAUGGCUAAAUUGAGAGAUACAAGGCCUGCUUAGUAGCUAAGGGUUAUCAUCAAAUUGAAGGUAUUGACUACUUCGAAACAUUCAGCCUGAUUGUCAAGCUUUCUACUAUCUGUAUUGUGCUCAGUCUUACUUUUUCCCAGAAUUGGUGUAUUAGACAGCUGGAUGUUCAUAAUGCCUUCUUACAUGGUGACUUAGCUAAAGACGUUUUCAUGGAACAACUGCCUGGAUUUGUUGAUCCUCUCUAUCCUACUCAUGUCUGCAAGUUGGAUAAGUCUCUCUACUGUCUUAAAUAGUCACCUCGGGCUUGGUAUACUAAGCUGAGUACUUCUCGCUACACUUGGGAUUUGUUACUUCUAAGAAUGACUCUUCCUUAUUUAUUUGUCAUUCGUCUCAUGGGUUACUUCUUGUUCUUGUCUAUGUGGAUGAUAUAAUCGUCAUUGGGAGCCACUCUCCUCAGGUUACUCACCUUAUCCAACAGUUGCAUCAUUAGCUUUCUUUAAAGGAUCUUGGUCCUUUACAUUAUUUUCUGGGCUUGGAGGUUCAUCACACCCCUACUGGUAUUCACCUCAGCCAAGCAAAGUAUAUCACUGAUCUCCUUACCCGGGCGGCUAUGUUGGAUGCCAAGCCAUGUCCCACUCCUAUGUCCUCCAACACAUAUCUCUCUUUUCAUGAUGGAGUGGCUCUUGAAAAUGGUUCAGAUUAUCGAAGUUUUGUUGGUGCCCUUUAGUAUUGUACCAUGACACGCCCAGAUAUAGCUUUUGCAAUAAAUAAAGUGUGUCAAUUCAUGCACCAUCCCUCUAAUGUUCACUGGCAGGCUAUAAAACGUAUUCUCCGGUACUUAAAGGGCACAUCUCAUUUUGGUCUCUUCCUACAGCCUUCCUAUGACUUCAACAUCACUUGCUAUACAAAUGCCGACUGGGCUUCCUGUCCUGAUGACAAGUGUAGCACCAGUGGCUACUGCCUCUUUCUUGCCUCUAAUCUGGUUUCUUGGUCAUCUUCCAAACAAAAAGUGGUCUCCCGCUCCAGCGCCGAAUCAGAGUACCGAGGGGUAGCAAAUGGGGCUGCUGAAAUUGCUUGGACUGAAUCUCUUCUUUGUGAACUUUCCAUUACUCCCCCUCCCCUCAUUCUCUGUGACAAUAUCAGUGCCACGUACUUAGCUGCCAAUCCUAUUUUGCAUGCCCGCACCAAACAUGUGGAAAUCGACUAUCACUUUGUCACGGAACGUGUUCUUCAAUGCUCUCUUUUUGUCCAGUUUACACCUUCUGAUGAUCAACUUGCUGAUUGCAUGACCAAGCCUCUCUCCACCCAACGUUUCAUCACUCUACGCUCCAAGCUCACUGUUCUCACUAGACCAAUGAGCUUGAGGGGGGAUGUUAAGCCUAAAGAUGUAAUUAGUUAGGAUAUUCUUUUCCCUCUAGUCUUGUAGCUCCACGUGUACAGUUGGUUAGGACCUCAUUGUAUAUAAUGCCUGCCCUGUUAUUGUAGAAGACAACAGAGAUAAAUAAUAUUAACAUUUUUCCUCUCAUCUCUCUCUCUGUUUCCCUCUGUUUUCAUCUCCUCUCUCAUCUGAACCAAAUGAUCCAUGUUAACCUUGGCUUGGUUUGAUUUGGCUCUAUCUUAGAGAGCUCAAGGAUCACGUCAACUCUGGUUUCUACUAUUCAGGUCCAUUCCCAUAUGAACUGGUUCAAAUUUGAGAAAAUGGUAACAGACCUUUAGUGAUGUUGGUUUGGAGCCAGUUGCCAAACCCGCCCUGAGCUUUACCACUAAUGUCAAGGGAGAAAGCCAUUUGAACAAAAACAAUAGCUUCAAGGGACUGAAUCGUGGAUGAAAUCUGAUCCACAUUUCUUCUCAUUUUGGAAACAAAUGAGAACUUAACUAAGAAGAUUCUACGGCCUCAUAGUGCUUUUCCUGAUCUAAGGUUGGUUCGUUUCCCAAACUGUGAGAUGCACGUGCCAGACUUCAGAACUCUCACGCUCAGGAGUGUAUCCACGUGGUGGACAUAAGAUGGUGGCUUAAGAUCUGGUGUCGGUGGCUUUACUUUACUAGGAGAGUAGUGUGUCUUCAUCUCAUUCACUGCCGGAGGGUGGCGUAAGCAGUGACGCUAAGGUGGGGCACAGUCAAUAUCAUUUGCAUUUGACCAUUAUAGUUUUCUCCCGGCUUUAAAGUAACCUUAUCGUGAUAAAGGAUUACUAGCACUAGUUCAGAUGAUAGUCAUGUUAAAUUCGGACCAUGUUUGUGUCACAUUAUCAGCAACCAUGUGUUUAUGGUUCAUGCUUUCUGCAACUAAAAUUGAUAUAUAACCAGGUGAACUUCAAUCUAAAUUCUGAAAGUACUCAUGUGAUAGAUGGUGCCCGUCUGCAGAGUCCAUCAAUUGAAAAAUGGAGUGAGUGUAUCUAUAAGAGGGAAGGCUUGGAAAAUGUUCAGUUUUCUGGGAAUUCAACAAGGAUCUAAAAUAGAUUGUUUUCUUUGCUGAUUUCAAUGGUUGAAAUUUGAGAAGAUUGUGUCCACAUAACACAACUAUUACUGGUCCUUCUGUUGCAAUUUAUCCUCUAAAGCUCUAGCAUGUCUUCCAAUUCCCACUUCCCUGUUACUCCAGGAAAGCUAUUUCUGUCAUUGUGAAGAAGAAAAGAGAAUGUACAUAUCGAUGCUUUUAAGUGACUGGAGCAUUUAUAUCAGGUGGUCUGCAGCCAUAUAUGCCACUUUGUGAAGAUUGGAACAGUCAAUCACUAGGCUAUAUAUUAGUGUGGCCCAGCCACUUUAAUCAAGGACAAGUCUUCAUACUUAAAGUCAAAUUCUGCCUUUAGUCUCAUUAUAAAUUUCUGUUUAAAUAUUAAGCAAACAUUUGUUUAAUGCGAUUAAGACAGUACUAACUCAAUACCUGUUCUAUUUUUGGAUGCAAAUGCUUGAUGGUUUCAUCAUUGGAUGGGAUAAAGGUGCAUUCAUGAUUAGGAAUACUAGUAGUUAUAUUUUAAUUCUCUUUUUUCUCAAUGAGACUUGUUGGCACAAUUUUGCUGUUGAGAAACCUACCUCUCCAUGGAAAAUAAGUUGUGAUUGAUAGUACUGGAUAUAUUCAAGAAAUCUAAAUAUAGAUAGCACAAAAUAUUAUCGACAUAAAUAGCAUUAACAGCGUACGUAUGUCUCAGUGCUCAUCAGCUAUAAGCAUGGGGCAAACACUUACUAUGAGCAACUUACGUCAAAAUUCCAGAAUAGGACAUAGAAGUGACAGAUAUAGAACAUUGCAUAUGAGUCACAAGAAAGGAAAUUACGGGUGCAUAGCAGCUCUUAUUUUACAUACUACUACUCAUACUGAUCAAAGUCACUCAGUUGGGAUGGGUGGGAGUAGGAGGUUUGUGGGGUGGCUUGUGCGGAGGAGUUGGCAGCUUCUUUCCAGGACCUGGUUGCUUCUCUGCUGGAGUUGAAGGAGGCUUAAUCUUCCGAGGUGGCUUGUAUGAGUCUUCAGCAUUCUCAGCUGGAGGGUGACCAGGGUUGUGACCAUAAUGUGGUGGCUUCUCUCCCUUAGGUGGUUUGCCAACUGGGGUUGGUGGCUUGUAUGAGUCUUCAGCAUUCUCAGCAGGAGGGUGACCAGGGUUGUGACCAUAAUGUGGUGGCUUCUCUCCCUUAGGUGGUUUGCCAACUGGGGUUGGUGGCUUGUGUUCUGGGAGUGGCUUCUCCCCCUUGGGAGGUUUUUCCAAUGGGGUUGGUUUGUGUUCAGGAGGUGGCUUCUCCACUGGAGGCUUGUGUUCAGGAGGUGGCUUCUCCACCGGAGGCUUGUGUUCAGGUGGUGGCUUCUCCACCGGAGGCUUAUGCUCUGGUGGUGGCUUCUCGAAUGGGGGAUGCUUAGGAUAAUCAGCAAGUGAGGGGGCGGUGAGAACCACCAGGCCAAGCAACACCACUAGCAAAUAUGUAGGAGACAUCUUUGGGUUUGGGCUCAGAUGGUGCAAAACUAGGAGAAUUGGCUAGCCUUUUAUAGCGGAUCGUACCCAAUAAUGAAAUGACACGUGUCAUUAUGACCCAUGUGUAAUGGGGUCGAUUUGGGUCCUACAGUGUUGAAAACUUCGACAUCCACUUUUGGCCUUUUGCUUUCUCUACAGCCGCCUUGCUUUUUCCCUCUUUCCUUUUGUUUUCCUCCUGCCCCAUUCUAUCAACUAAACACAAUUAUGUAGUUGUUUAAUUCUUAAAUGAGAUAUUAUCCGUCAAUCGUAUUAUAUUUUAUCAAGAGAGAACGGAGUGCAAUGUGGCUGUAAUUUUAUCGUUUAGUUUUAUCUCUUGGACCACUGCAUUUUUGUUAAGAGGUGCAAUAAUACACGUCUUUAUCUGCCAUUCAAUAUUUACAGUAAAGAGAGGGCACAAAACUCUUCACUUCGCACCAUAAUUAUUUUGUUUUCUGGACACCCCGGGGCCCUUUGGUUGGUUUGGGGGUCAGAAAGUGAACAUCAUAGGGGGUUUUUCCCUUAUGUGCAUUUGUAUCUGAUGGCUUUAACUCGCCUUGUUACUACAAAGAAACUGUCACAGAUAGGAACUUAUUCCAGGCUGAGUAUCUCCUCAUAGACCCUAUAAAAGAAGACAAGUCAUAAUGAACAUCUAACCUUUGUUCAAUUUGAUUCAAUGCCCCCAUUGUGUCCAUCUCACAAAUCUGAAUUAUUAUAUCCAUUGAAUACAUAAAUUAAUGAAGAAAAUAUGAAACCCAAGAUACAUCUCUGCACAACCUCAACCCUGGUUGCUAUGUUUCCCUUCUAUUCACAUGAUUUGAUGCUAAUUGCCAAACUUGCAACAAGCCCUGAGUUUGACACCUAGUAUCGAUGGGCGAAUUUAAAGUCUCCUCCAAACAUAUAUUCCACAGCUUGAAGCUCACAGAAGAUGUUACAGGCAGGGAAAAACCUUCAGAGUUCGCUACCAAAGAUAAUUAUUAAGGAGAUAUCACAAAGAGAAUUCCAAGGGGUCUGAAUCAAAGACAAAUUGGUCGUUCGUGGGGGUUCUUACUUUCUUUUGGGUAUAACUCACUGAGGGCACUGUCUUUGUUAUUUGCAUUUCACAUUUAGAGUUCUGUUCUGGAAACAUAUAAAAGGAGCAUCAUUUUGUUCUUGGGUAACCCAUAGUCGUGAGUGGGUCCAUUUGCAUGCUACUUAGUUGAAAAGUUGGACCAUUUGCUCCGACGCCUACCUCCCGGAUUCCAUGCUCGGAUAAAACAAGAAUAAAAAAAAUAUUUAUAAUUUACAAAUGGGGGAAAGAAAAAAAUGUCAACAACAAACCAGGAAAAAAGAGUAGUAAAAUUCAUGUCACAUGCUAGUGAGAGAAGGGGUUGUUACACUCACUCGAAGUUCUUUCCAAAAUAUCGCAUGGUAUUUUAUUUUAUGUGUCAGCGCAGUUGUGAAUGGAACGUGCAAAAGUCCAAAUUGGCGUUUUUCCUUUUCCCGUGUAGGAUGGCGACCUUUAAUAAAUAUUUAAAACAAAAAACGAAAAAAAGGAGGGAAAAGGGAUCAGAAAAGAUAAAACAAUGUGUACAAGAGCUCAAUUAGUUUGCAAAUUACUGUUUGGAUUUUGAUAGUAUUUUAUUUGUCCAUCUAUAUUUGAUGGAAAAGAGAAUUUAAGAUAUUUCUGAAACAAAAGCAUUAGUGUAAAACUAAAUUAAGGUAUAAUUAAGUUAGUUCAAUGCAUUAAUUUAAGAAACUUGAUCUAUCCAAAGUACAAAAUUAGAUGAAAUCCAUUUCAAUGGUUAAAAUGAUCAAAAUCAAACUUUUUCUAAGUAUUUUUUAAAAGCAUCAAUAUUAAAAGACAAUUUUAUAUUUAGUCGGAGUUUGGACAAAACCAAAAAGCACACAAAAUCCAAGCGACCAUCUCUAGCUUGGAUAGUCACUUGAUCCCACCUAGAGAUGUGCAUGAGUAAAAGGAUUUGAAAAUGGAAAUUGACUAAAUAUUUAGUUGAUCAAUUAAAUUUGCAAUGUCAUAUGCAAUCCUAAUAGCUAGUCAUCUAAUCAAUUAGGUAGUCAAUCAAGUGUUUGUAAUGACUAUUUUGUACAAAAAACCACAUGUAUAGUUAAAUAUAAUGCAUUUCAUUUAUAAAUCUUCUAAUUCUUGAAUAACGAUCCUAUCAUCCUUUGAAAAUUUUUAUUACACCUUUUUUACUUUUGUUCUAAAACUUACAUAUCACCCUUAAUUGUACCAUGAGAACCUAGCUAUUUUUUUUUUUUUUGUAAUUCAUCAAAGUUAGCUUUUGUAUUCAUUGUUGUAUUAUUUUUAGUAUAACUUAGAAAGCUAGUGUUUUCAAGUGAGUAAAAUUAACUUGUAAAUAUUGUAAAGAUUCAUUGAUAUGUAUCUUAAACUAAGUGUACAAAUUAAAACAUUUGCUAGUAGAUUUUCUCAAAAUUUAGAAUAGAGCUUGAGGCUAUUGAAAUAGGUGGGGUUACACCAAACCACAUCACAUCGUUGUUUGCACCUUUUUUCACUCUCUUUUACUUAGUUUCUCUAUAUUUGUUGUCUAGUAAUAUCCUAUAGGCUUGAUGGGUUAGGGAGCAUCCCUUUGUGAAAAAAUUUCAUUCAAUUCUUAGUUGUAUUACGCAUAUAUAAAAUGCCUCAUUGUUUUAAUGGUAUUCAGUCGUGGCAUCACAGAUAUGGGCAUCUAAAUUUUAAAAGUUUGAAACUUUUGUAAAGCAUGUUGAUAAAAUCCAUGAGAGUUGUGUACUUGGGAAGCAACAUCGAGGUGACUUUAUUUUUUUUUCCUUUUAUAAUGCCACACCUAAGUCCGGUUUCUAAAUGCUAAAGUGAAAGGGUAGGUAUGGACCAUUGAAAUGUGAUCACAACUUUUGGCCUUUUCCUUUCUCUGCAGCCAUGUUGUCUCUUUUUUCUUUUGCAUGAUUUUCUUACCAAAACAGAAUCAUAGACUUGUUUAGUCUCUAAGCUACUAUAUUAUAUCUCGGUGGACUUUUAAGAGUGCAACCGACAUAGAGCACAUGCAAGUGGGCAUAUGGGACAUGAAAUUUCUUCUUACAAAGAUUGCAUGAUUUUUAUAUUAGAGUUGUUCACGUGCAAUGUAUUUAGCUUGUUUUGCAGUUAAAUUAAUUGGAUAAGUAAACAUUGGCAUUUCUAAAUCGACUGUGAAGUGCUUCAUGUACGUGUAAAGUAUUAGAAAUUUCUUUCUUGGCAACUUGUUUUUUCCUUGCCAUCUACUGGUAGGUUUGACUAAAAUUAUAUUCCCUGUCAUGCUAAUUAAUUUUCAUGUGCAUGCUCAAAAGAAGAGUAUGACCUUAGUGCACCAAAAUCACUUUGAUUAAUUUGUGAUAGGUUUUUUUGCAUCAUUUAGAUAAUGUUUAGUUCUAAGAAAAAUUUAUAUAAAAAUGGUUUAUUUAUCUUACAUAUAUAUAUAUAUAUAUAUAUUUUUUUUUUUUUCAUUUUUUUUUCUUCUAUUUUAUUUAUUUAUUUUAUUUUCCUUAUGUUUUCCUCACAUUUUCCGGAACUAAACAUAGUCUUACGAAAUCAACAAUUGCCUUCAACUGAGUAGAUUCUGUUGUUUUAGCAAUGUUAGGCUGCUAACUUGUGGUGGUACGAACCAAAUGACCCAUGUUAAUCUUGGCUUGGUUUGAUUUGGCUCUAUCUCAGAGAGCUAAAGGAUCACGUCAACUCUGGUUUCUACUAUUCAGGUCCAUUCCCAGAUGAACUGGUUCAAAUUUGAGAAAAUGGUAACAGACCUUUAGUGAUGUUGGUUUGGAGCCAGUUGCCAAACCCGCCCUGAGCUUUACCACUAAUGUCAAGGGAGAAAGCCAUUUGAACAAAAACAAUAGCUUCAAGAGACUGAAUCGUGGAUGAAAUCUGAUCCACAUUUCUUCUCAUUUUGGGAAAAAAUGAGAACUUAACUACAAAGAUUCUACUGCCUCAUUCAUAGUGCUUUUCCUGAUCCAAGGUUGGUUCGUUUCCCAAAUUGUGAGGUGCACGUGCCACUCUCACGCUCAGGAGUGUAUCCACGUGGUGGACAUCAGAUGGUGGCUUAAUAUCUGGUGUCGGUGGCUUUACUUUACUAGGAGAGUAGUGUGUCUUCAUCUCAUUCACUGCCGGAGGGUGGCGUAAGCAGUGACGCUAAGGUGGGGCACAGUCAAUAUCAUUUGCAUUUGACCAUUAUAGUUUUCUCCCGGCUUGAAAGUAACCUUAUCGUGAUAAAGGAUUACUAGCACUAGUUCAGAUGACCGUCAUGUUAAUUCGGACCAUGUUUGUGUCACAUUAUCAGCAACCAUGUGUUUAUGGUUCAUGCUAUCUGCAACUAAACUUGAUAUAUAACCAGGUGAACUUCAAUCAAAAUUCUGGAAGUACUCUUGUGAUAGAUGGUGCCUGUCUGCAGAGUCCAUCAAUUGAAAAAUGGAGUGAGUGUAUCUAUAAGAGGGAAGGCUUGGCAAAUGUUCAGUUUUCUGGGAAUUCAACAAGGAUCUAAAAUAGAUUGUUUUCUUUGCCGACUUCAAUGGUUGAAAUUUGAGAAGAUUGUGUCCACAUAUCACAACUAUUACUGGUCCUUCUGUUGCAAUUUAUCCUGUAAGGCUCUAACAUGUCUUCCAAUUCCCACUUCCCUGUUACUCCAGGAAAGCUAUUUCUGUCAUUGUGAAGAAGAAAAGAGAAUGUACAUAUCGAUGCUUUUAAGUGACUGGAGCAUUCAUAUCAGGUGGUCUGCAGCCAUAUAUGCCACUUUGUGAAGGUUGGAACAGUCAAUCACUAGGCUAUAUAUUGGUGUGGCCCAGCCACUUCAAUCAAGGACAAGUCUUCAUACUUAAAGUCAAAUUCUGCCUUUAGUCUCAUUAUAAAUUGCUGUUUAAAUAUUAAGCAAACUUUUGUUUAAUGCGAUUAAGACAGUACUAACUCAAUACUUGUUCUAUUUUUGGAUGCAAAUGCUUGAUGGUUUCAUCAUUGGAUGGGAUAAAGGUGCAUUCAUGAUUAUGAAUACUUGUAGUUAUAUUUUCAUUCUCUUUUUUCUCAAUGAGACUUGUUGGCACAAUGUUGCUGUUCAGAAACCUACCUCUCCAUGGAAAAUAAGUUGCGAUUGAUAGUACUGGAUAUGUUCAAGAAAGCUAAAUAUAGAUAGCACAAAAUAUUAUCGAUAUAAAUAGCAUUAACAGCGUACGUAUGUCUCAAUGCUCAUCAGCUAUAAGCAUGGGACAAACACUUACUAUGAGCAACUUACGUCAAAAUUCCAGAAUAGGACAUAGAAGUGACAGAUCUAUAUAUAUAGAACACUGCAUAUGAGUCACAAGAAAGGAAAUUACGGGUGCAUAGCAGCUCUUAUUUUACAUACUACUACUCAUACUGAUCAAAGUCACUCAGUUGGGAUGGGUGGGAGUAGGAGGUUUGUGGGGUGGCUUGUGCGGAGGAGUUGGCAGCUUCUUUCCAGGACCUGGUUGCUUCUCUGCUGGAGUUGAAGGAGGCUUAAUCUUCCGAGGUGGCUUGUAUGAGUCUUCAGCAUUCUCAGCUGGAGGGUGACCAGGGUUGUGACCAUAAUGUGGUGGCUUCUCUCCCUUAGGUGGUUUGCCAACUGGGGUUGGUGGCUUGUAUGAGUCUUCAGCAUUCUCAGCAGGAGGGUGACCAGGGUUGUGACCAUAAUGUGGUGGCUUCUCUCCCUUAGGUGGUUUGCCAACUGGGGUUGGUGGCUUGUGUUCUGGGAGUGGCUUCUCCCCCUUGGGAGGUUUUUCCAAUGGGGUUGGUUUGUGUUCAGGAGGUGGCUUCUCCACUGGAGGCUUGUGUUCAGGAGGUGGCUUCUCCACCGGUGGCUUGUGUUCAGGAGGUGGCUUCUCCACCGGAGGCUUAUGCUCUGGUGGUGGCUUCUCCACCGGAGGCUUAUGCUCUGGUGGUGGCUUCUUGAAUGGGGGAUGCUGAGGGUAAUCAGCAAGUGAGGGGGCGGUGAGAACCACCAGGCCAAGCAACACCACUAGCAAAUAUGUAGGAGACAUCUUUGGGUUUGGGCUCAGAUGGUGCAAAACUAGGAGAAUUGGCUAGCCUUUUAUAGCGGAUCGUACUCAAUAAUGAAAUGACACGUGUCAUUAUGACCCAUGUGUAAUGGGGUCGAUUUGGGUCCUACAGUGUUGAAAACUUCGACAUCCAGUUUUGGCCUUUUGCUUUCUCUACAGCCGCCUUGCUUUUUCCCUCUUUCCUUUUGUUUUCCUCCUGCCCCAUUCUAUCAACUAAACACAAUUAUGUAGUUGUUUAAUUCUUAAAUGAGAUAUUAUCGGUCAAUCGUAUUAUAUUUUAUCAAGAGAGAACGGAGUGCAAUGCAGCUGUAAUUUUAUCGUUUACUUUUAUCUCUUGGACCACUGCAUUUUUGUUAAGAGGUGCAAUAAUACACGUCUUUAUCUGCCAUUCAAUGUUUACAGUAAAGAGAGGGCACAAAACUCUUCACUGCUCUGCAUGUGUCCCAAAAAUGCGAUUGGACAAAUUAUGAUUUGCAUGCUAAAAAGAGGCAAAUGAGGUUAAUUCGCACCAUAAUUAUUUGGUUUUCUGGACACCAUAAAAAGAUGUUAUACAGGCAGGGAAAAACCUUCAGAGUUAGCUACCAAAGAUAAUUAUCAAGCAGAUAUCACCAAGAGAAUUCCAUAGAGUCUGAAUCAAAGACAGAUUGCUCGCUCGUGGGGGUUCUUACUUUCUUUUGGGUAUAACUCACUGAGGUCACUGUCUUUUUUAUUUGCAUUUCACAGUUAGAGUUCUGCUCUGGAAGGUUUGUUCUGGAAACAUAUAAAAGGAGCAUCAUUUUGUUCUUGGGUAACCCAUAGUCGUGAGUGGGUCCAUUUGCAUGCUACUUAGUUGAAAAGUUGGACAAUUUGCUCCGACGCCUACCUCCUGGAUUCCAUGCUCGGUAAAACAAGAAUAAAAAAAAAUAUAUAAUUUACAAAUGGGGGAAAGAAAAAAUGUCGGAAAAAAUAGUAAAAUUCAUGUCACAUGCUAGUGAGAGAAGGGGUUGUUACACUCACUCGAAGUUCUUUUCAAAAUAUCGAAUGGUAUUUUACUUUAUGUGUCAGCGCAGUUGUGAAUGGAACGUGCAAAAGUCCAAAUUGGCGUUUUUAUUUUUCCCAUGUAGGAUGGUGACCUUUAAUAAAUAUUUAAAACAAAAGACGAAAAAAAAAAGGAGGGAAAAGGGAUCACAAAAGAUAAAAUAAUGUUUACAAAAGCUCAAUUAGUUUGCAAAUUACUGUUUGGAUUUUGAUAGUAUUUUAUUUGUCGUUCUAUAUUUGAUGUAAAAGAGAAUUUAAGAUAUUUCCGAAGCAAAAGCAUUAGUUUGCUCUGUGAUGUCCCACAUCGAAUAGGGGAGAAAGUUUCUGGCGCUAUAUAUGUAGAGGCUCCUCUUAACCAAGUAGAUGCGUUUUAAAACCAUGAGGGCCCCCUUAGGUCCAAAGCGGACAAUAUCUACAUGAUUGGGUGUAAGUCAUUACAAAUGGUAUCAGAGCCGAUCCCCGACCCCGGUGUGGGGGUUUGUUUGGCCCUGUAAGGGGUGUUUGUCUGUUUGACCCCACAAUCCCAUGGGACACAACGAGGACGUUGUGUCUGCAUGGGGGGGCGUUUGUGAUGUCCCACAUCGGAUAGGGGAGAAAGUUCCUAGUGCUAUAUAUGUAGAUGUUUCUCUUAACCAAGUAGAUGCAUUUUAAAAUUGUGAGGGCCUCUUUGGGCCCAAAGCGGACAAUAUCUACAUGGUUGAGUGUAAGUCAUUACAUGCUCCAUGUCAAUUUCAGCAUUUCUCAUAUGUUUCACACAUACACAGAAGAGCAUCGUUUUUUAAAGCAUGCAUUUAUGUUGGAUUAAUUUGGAUUUUGUGGGAACUGGGGCAAGGAUCACAUGGAAGAGAGGUUGACUUUUUUCAGUACUUCAAUGGUUGAAAUAUGUGAAGGCUUGAUUGAUACUAAAGCUUGAAAUUGCGACUCUGUCAUUUGUAAAAAAAUAUGACAGCUUCCAUGCUCUCGUUUGGUUGCAUUGUCCGGUCGAGAGGUGCAAAAAGCAUUCUCUCUCUUCUAAUAGUCUUUUCGUUUAAAUCAAGGGAUUUGCCUUCCCGGUCGAGGUCCAAUAGAGGGUAACGGUCACCUACUAAACAUUAAAUGCUCCAACAACUAGUGAACUGAUCGACCCCAGCUCGACUAGUUGAGGUUACUUUUUGGUUUUCUUGUCUCCCGAGGUUAGAAACCUAUAAAUAGAGAGCUUCACUUCAUUUAUGAGUAAGAGAACACCUAAAUUUAUUUGUUUACCUACUUGUUUUUGCCAUAAAAGCUCUCAUUUCUUUUCUUGGUGUAUUAAAUCUCCAUUUGCAUAUCCUUUAGUGCACCUUUGUGAUUCAUUCUAGCCUUGAGUUGUAUUUAAGCCUUUGUUGAGCUAGGUUGAGAGUUUCAUACUUGUUUAUUGAGUGUUAAAGCCUUCAAGUGAGUUAAAACUUGAAGAGAUUGUGUAAGAGCCCAUUGGAGUCGGAAUCCAAGUGUAAAGGUGAUUAAAAGCUUGGUUGAAGCUUCAAGUUAGUGGAACUCUCACUCGGUUAUGAGCUUGAGAAGAGUGGACAUAGACAAGGCAGUGUCGAACCACUAUAAAAUCUGAGUUUGAUUUCUCUAACCUUAUCUCUUUAUAUUUGCUUCUCUUGUGCUUAAAUUUUUUGUGUUUAAAAAGAAUUUUUAAAAACUCAAUUCACCCCCUUCUUGGGAGUUUUUCUCUUUUAAGAUCAGCUUUUAUUUUCUCAAUUGGUAUCAGAACUAUGCCUCUUGUUUAAGACUUAAUCGUCUAAGAGGAAAUGGCUAAUCCAUCAAGUUCAUCUCACAUUGAAAGUUUUGCAACCAAUAGACUUCUUUUUUUUUUUUUGCGGGAACUGAUUAUCCCUAUUGGAAAACUAAAAUGACUUGGUUUUUACAAUCAAUUGAUUUAGAUGUAUGAGAUGCCAUUGAAGAUGACCUAACUUUUCCUUCAAAACUAGUUGAUGGAGUCAUGGUUCCAAAACCUAAGCAAGAAUGGGAUGAGCGUGAUUGAAGAAAUUUUCAAUUAAAUGCUAAAGUCGUUUAUACUUUGCAAUGCUCUAUGGACAGAAAUGAAUAUAAUAGAAUAUGUCAAUGCAAAUCGGUUAAAGAAAUUUGGAGAUUGCUUGAAAUAACUCAUAAAGGAACAAAUCAAGUUAAAGAGUCAAAAAUCAAUUUACUUGUUCAUAGAUAUGAAUUGUUUUUUAUGAAAGAUAAUGAAACUAUUGUUAAGAUGAUCACUAGGUUCACCAACAUUGUUAAUGGUCUUAAAGCCUUGGGAAAGACCUACAAGGAAUCCGAAAACGUGAUGAAGAUCUUGAGGUCACUUCCAUCAAAGUGGCAUACCAAGGUCACCGCAAUUUAAGAAGCAAAAGACUUGAUCAAGCUACCUUUGGAGGAGUUCAUAGGGUCAUUGAUGACAUAUGAAAUCAAUUUGGCAAAGAAGUAACAAAAAGGUGAAGACAAAAAGAAGAAGAACAUAACUCUCAAAGCUACAACUAAGGAAGAAGAAGUUGAAGAAGAAAAACAAAUUGAAGAAGAUGAAGAUUUAGCCCUCAUCACAAGAAAGUUCAACAAAUUCAUGAGGGGUGAAAGGUUUAGAAGAAGAAGGUUCACUUCUAGAAGAGACUUUUCUAAAAAGGAAUCUUCAUCUAAUGGUGACAAAAAGAGAUGGGAAGAGAAAAGAGACUUGGUGUGUUUCAAGUGCAAGAAACCGGGACACAUUAAAUAUGAUUGUCCUCUCUACAAAAGUGAAGUCAAGAGGAAAAAGAAUAAGGCAAUGAUGGCCACUUAGAGUGAAAGUGAAGAUGAAUCAUCCGAAGAAGAAAAUGAGAAAGAAGUGGCAAACAUGUGUUUCAUGGCAAUAGAUGAACUUGAUGAGGUAAAAUCUAACCUUAGUGAUUAAGAUAUACAUGAUGCAUUUGAAGAAUUGUAUGAGGAUUUUUAAAAACUUAGUUUGAAAAAUAUUUCUCUUAAAAAGAAAGUUCAACAACUUGACAAAGAACUUAGAGAAGUAAAAGAAAAAUUUUCAAAUGUUAAAGUUUCUAAAACUCAUCUUGAAAAAGAAAAUGAGAUUCUAAGAAAGAAAAAUGAAUAGUUGAACUCCUCUCUUUCAAUCUUUUCUUCUAGACAAAAAUCUUUUGAAAUGAUUCUAACUAGCUAAAAAUGUGUUUUUGACAAACAAGGGUUAAGAUUUAAAUCUUCAAAAAAUCAAAAGUAUUUUAAAAACUAUUUUGUAAAGGAAUCCACAAGUGCAAGUCCUUCCACUACUUGCAACUUUUGUGGAAGAGAAUGGCACAUUAGUAGUACGCCCUUUAAGAAAUGGUUCUCAAAAGAAUUUAAAUGCAAAAACUAAAAAAGAUUUGGAUUGAGAAAUCCAAGGUCACUAACCCUCAAGGACCCAAAAAGAUAUAGGUACCUAAAUCAACUUGAGUUUUAUGUUGUAAGGUUCAAAGAAUGAUAAGUGGUUCUUAGAUAAUGGUUGCUCAAGACACAUGACCGGAGAUGAAUCCAAGUUUGCUUUUCUUAAAAAGAAAAAUGGAGGAUAUGUUACCUUUGGAGACAAUGCAAAAGAAAGGAUGAUUGGUCAAGGCAACAUUGGUAAUGGCACAUCCUCUCUCAUUGAAAGUGUUUUAUUAGUAGAUGGUUUCAAACAUAACCUUUUAAGCAUUAGUCAAUUUUGCGACAAAGGUUUUUAAGUGAUUUUUUAAGCAUCUCAUUGCAUCAUCAAGGAUAUUCAAAAUGAUAAAACCAUUUUCAUGGGCCAUAGAUGUGAUAAUGUUUAUGCUAUAAAUAUUUCAAAAUAUGAUGGCCAUGAUAGAUGUUUUUCAAGCAUGCAUGAUCAAAGUUGGUUGUGCCAUAGGAGAUUGAGACAUGCUAACAUAGACCUCAUUUCCCAACUCAACAAAGAUGAACUUGUUAGAGGCCUUCCCAAAAUAAUUUUUUAAAAAGAUAAAGUUUGUGAAGCUUGUCAAGUGGGAAAGUAAAUCAAAAACUCUUUUAAAAACAAAAACUUCAUUUCCACAUCUAGGCCACUUGAGUUGUUGCAUAUGGAUUUAUUUGGUCCCUCUAGGACACCAAGUCUUAGAGGAAAUUCUUAUGCAUAUGCUAUUGUGGACGACUUCUCUAGAUACACAUGAGUCUUGUUUUUUAGUCAAAAGAAUAAAGUUUUUUAUGAGUUUUCAAAGUUUUGCAAUAAGAUUCAAAAUGAAAAAGGUUUUUCAAUUACUUAUAUAAGAAGUGAUCAUGGGAGAGAAUUCGAAAAUAUUGAUUUUGAAGAGUAUUGCAAUGAGCAUGGAAUUGACCACAAUUUUUUGGCUCUUAGAACUCCUCAACAAAAUGGGGUAGUUGAAAGGAAAAAUAGAACUCUUCAAAAAAUGACAAGAACCAUACUAAAUGAAAACAACUUACCAAAAUAUUUUUAGGCCAAAACGGUUAACACUUCUUGUUAUGUUUUAAAUAGAGUAUUAUUGAGGCUCAUACUUAAGAAAACUCCCUAUGAGCUUUGGAAAAACAAAAAACCCAACAUUAGUUAUUCCAAAGUCUUUGGAUGCAAUAUUUUAUAAUAAACACCAAAGACAAUCUUGGAAAAUUUGAUGCAAAAUUGGAUGUUGGAAUUUUCCUUGGUUACUCAACUUCAAGUAAAGCUUUUCGAGUUUUAACAAAAGAACCAUGGUUGUAGAGGAGUCCAUCCAUGUUAUUUUUUAUGAAUCUCCAAGAAAGAGAGAGGAUUGAUGAUGAUUUAGGUUUGAAGACCUCUAUAGGAAGAUUGCAAAUCGAAGAUAGAAGACAACAAGAAGAAAAUGGAGAGAAUCCAAAGAAAGAAGGAUCACCAUUGGCACUACCCCCUCAUCAACAAGCGCAAGGUGAAUCAAGUCAAGAGCUUCCUAAAGAAUGGAAGUUUGUCAUCAAUCACCCACAAGAUCAAAUUAUAGGCAAUCCAUCUAGUGGGGUAAGAACUAGAUCCUCUCUUAGAAAUAUUUGCAAUAAUCUAGCUUUUAUCUCUCAAAUUGAGCCUAAAAAUAUAAAUGAUGUUUUAGAUGAUGAAAAUUGGAUAAUUGCAAUGCAAGAAGAGUUAAAUCCAUUUGAAAGAAGUGGAGUAUGGGAAUUAGUACCAAGACCUUCAAAUCAAAGUGUUAUUGGAACUAGAUGGAUCUUUAGAAAUAAAAUGGAUGAAAAUAGCAUAAUUGUUAGAAAUAAAGCAAGAUUGGUAGCCCAAGGUUUUAAUCAAGAAGAAAUGAUAGAUUAUGAAGAAACCUUUGCCCCCGUAGCUAGGUUGGAAGCCAUUAGGAUGCUACUUGCCUUUGCAUGUUUUAAAGACUUUGUUUUAUAUCAAAUGGAUGUGAAAAGUGCUUUUUUAAAUGGUUUUAUAAAUGAAGAAGUAUAUGUUGAACAACCACCCGGUUUUCAAAGUUUCAACUUUCCUAACCAUGUUUUUAAACUUAAAAAGACACUUUAUGGUUUGAAACAAGCACCUAGAUCAUGGUAUGAAAAAUUGAGUAAAUUUCUUUUGAAAAAAAUGUUUUAAAAUGGGAAAAAUUGACACAACUCUUUUUAUAAAAACCAAAGAAAAUGAUAUGCUCUUAGUUCAAAUAUAUAUUGAUGAUAUCAUUUUUGGUGCUACUAAUGUCUCUCUUUAUGAAGAAUUUUCUAAGUGCAUGCAUAGUGAGUUUGAAAUGAGCAUGAUAGGAGAACUCAACUUCUUCCUUGGACUUCAAAUCAAGCAACUAAAGGAAUGAACCUUCAUCAAUCAAGCAAAGUAUAUAAGAGAUCUUCUCAAAAGGUUCAACAUGGAAGAAGCCAAAACAAUGAAGACUCUAAUGAGCUCAUCCAUUAAGCUUGAUAAGGAUGAGAAAGGUAAAUCCAUUGACUCUAUUAUGUAUAGAGGCAUGAUAGGUUCUUUGCUCUAUUUGACCACUAGUAGACCUUACAUUAUGUAUAGUGUGUGUUUGUGUACUAGAUUUCAAUCUUGUCUUAAAAAAUCUCACUUAAGUGUCGUGAAAAGAAUCCUCAAAUAUUUGAAAGGGACAAUGGACAUAGGCUUAUGGUAUCCUAAGAGUGAUAACUUUGAAUUAAUUGGUUUUUUGGAUGCUGAUUUUGUCAGUUGUAGGGUUGAAAAAUAAAACACUAGUGGCACUUUUCAUUUCUUAAGACACUUACUUGUCUCAUGGCAUAAUAAGAAGCAAAAUUUGGUAGCUUUGUCAACAGCAGAAGCUAAAUACAUAGCAACUGGUUUAUGUUGUGCACAAAUCCUUUGGAUGAAAUAAACACUUAGUGAUUUUGAUUUAUCUUUUGAGCAUAUUCCUAUUAAAUGUGAUAAUAGUAGUGCCAUAAGUAUAUCAAAAAAUCUCGUGCAACACUCUAGGACUAAGCAUAUAGAGAUUAGACAUAAUUUUCUUAGAUAUCAUACACAAAAGGAUGAUAUAACACUUGAAUUUGUAAGCAUAAAAGACCAACUUGCCGAUAUCUUUACAAAACCUCUAAGAACAUUUUGUUGAUAUUAGAGGACAAUUAGGAGUGAUUUCUUUAUGAUCUAAUGUGAUGAAUUCUUGAUGAAUAUACUUUUUGAUUGCAUGAAUUUCAUGUCAUAUAUGCAUCAUAUAGAAAUAUACUUAGAUAAUGGUCAAAUUUCGACCAAAAAUCAAAAUUCCCAUGGCAUUAGGCAUAAAAAUUUUGGAAUUUCAACUGAAAAUGGUAGGAGGAGGAUCACAAAAUGAGAAAGUAUGCAAAAAUUGAAAAAUCAAAACGUUGACCAAGCGGUCAAUCGGACUAGACCGAUCGACUAGUUUGUCGAGAUUUAGGAUUUUUAAGAGACUCCAACGCUUCAAUUUUUGCACCGUUCUCCUCUAUUUCUUCACGGUUUCUCUGAUUUUGUCUUUUAGAGACUAAUUUGAGUGCGUUUUGGAUCAAUUGAAGCAUUUUGGAUUGGAUUUUAGGAAGAUUGAAAGUUAAGGUUUCGGAUUUGGGUCGCCUUCUCUUCCUCUCGCGUGUCACAAUCAGCUUUAGCAUUGUUCUCUUUCCAUUUUCACACACCUAGGGUUUCAGUUGUGAGCAUCUCUCUCUCUUUACCAACCACUACUCCCUUGCUUCUUCCAUAUGGCUCCUAGGCGAGAGUCCGCUACUUCUAGGGCACAAGGCAAGCACCCAACUGAGUCGUCUCAGUCAAAGGCACGUCGAAAAGUGAGAUUUGACAUUGCCUUGUUCAGUUCCAUGGAGGACUACCAACUAUACAAGCAACACUUUGCUUAGAGACGAGUAGUUCCCAAGAGAAAUAUUAAUUUUCCUCAACUUCAGCAUUUCGAAUUUAAGGGUCUAUUUACUAGGAUGGUUGGUUGUCUAUUGUCACAAUUUCGGAGCCGGUUUUCCUGACCUUAGUGCGAGUUUUUUACUCGAGGGCGACUUAUGGCAUGGGUGGCAUGAUCAUUUCUACUGUUGGAGGAGUUGAGAUCUGUCUGGACCCAGAGAGCAUCUGCCAUAUUUUCGAUAUUGCUCUGGUUGGACUCAAAGUAUACAAGUCCAAAAUGUGGCCCAUUGUGCCAGGAUUUGAGCUUAGAGAGGUCAUUCAGAGGAUUUGUGAACUUCCAGACGCCCAGGAGAUGGGCAAACCAUUGCCACACAGUUUGACGGUCAUCAACAGGGUGCUACACCAUAUAUUGUGCUCUAUCUUUCUACCACGAAGUGGACAUUGAGAUGAGGUCUCUUAUUAUGAGGCAUUCCUUAUUGACUCCAUUCUAACGGAGAGACGAAUUCAUCUACUAUGUCAUCAUUCACUAAGCCUCCUCACAGUGACAUACCACCUCAUCAGGCACCUCUUGCUCCUGACCAUGCUCCAUUGAUGGAUUUAUUUACUCAUAUUAGCUCUCUAGGCACUCGCAUGAAGGAGUUUGUUGUAGUUAGUGAUACAUGGUUCUACUCCAUAGAGGAUCGCAUGGAUCAGUAUCAGACUGGCUUCACGUCACAGUUUGAGUAUCUCCAAUAGAGGAUUGAGCAUAUUGAGGAUCACUUGAGCAUGAGAAGAUGAUGGCUUUUCUAUGCUCUGUGUUUCCACCUCCACCUCGUCAACCUUGAUUUCUUAGAGACCCAUUGUUUUCAUUUUGUAAUGUUGCCAAAAGGGGGAGAUAUUUAGGAUCUAGGACUCUAUAGGAGACUUACAUGCAUAUCAUUUUCAUAUCAUUGUUUGGAUCGUACAUAUUGGAUAGUGAUACUUUUUACUUAUAUAUGAUAUGCCUAUAUGUUUCAUGUCUUACAUUGUUUCUUAUUGCAAAUUAUCUCUAACAUGUCUUGAUUAUCUUUUUUUUAACUUCAUAAAUUUUGAUUGUUAACCCAUGAUUGGUUUGAGGGGAAGAUUCUUCUUCUCCUAGAUAACCAAGGUUUGUCAUCAUAAAAAAAUUGGAGAUUGUUAGCCCAAGGGUUCUCCUAAUCAUGUUUUGAUGAUAACAAACCAUGCUUAAGUUACUAAUUGGUUUGAAUUAUAAAGAAUUUCAAGUGUUAAUUUGAAAAUUCAUCAAAGAACCUAAUGGAUGCAAGAUCAAGAUUUUUGGAAGACCUUUAAUCAUAAGAAACAUAUGUAAGAUGAAUGCAUGGGUGCACUUAAGAUUUGCAUAUCAUUUCAUGCAUAUUUGGAAAACACGGUUUAUGCUUUAAAGUUACAUUUCCAUCAAAAUUUGAGAUCCAUCAAAUGAACCUUAGGAAAAAUGUUUUAAAAUUGGCAUAUAAUUUUACCUAAAGACCUUGCCUAAGUGUUAGAAGCAAAAGGACAAAAAAAAUAUAGGUUUUCUGGUCAAAAAUGGUGAACCAGUCAAGGCAUUGUCUAAAUCAGCUCAAUCGGCCAAGGUACCGGUCGAUCGGUUUCCCUUUCCCUGUCGAGAUCUAGUCAAGAGGUACAAAAAUCACAAUCUCUGUCUCUUUCUCUCUUUGUCUAUCUUCCAGUAGUCUUUCCUUCCCGGUCGAGGGAUUUGCCUUCCCGAUUGAGGUCCGAUUGAGAGUAAUAGUCACUUGCCAAAUAUUAAAUGCUCCAACAGUUAGUGAACUGGUCGACCCCCACCUUGCCCAGUUGAGGUUACUUUUUGGUUUUCUUGGCUCCCGAUGUUAGAAACCUAUAAAUAGAGAGUUCCACUUCAUUUAUGAGCAAGAGAACACUUGCAUUUAUUUGUUUACCUACUUGUUCUUGCCUUAAAAGCUCUCAUUUCUUUUCUUGGUGCAUUAAAUCUCCAUUUUGAUAUCCUUUAGUGCACCUUUGUGAUUCAUCUUAGCCUUGAGUUGUAUUUGAGCCCUUUUUUUAGCUAGGUUGAGAGUUUCAUACUUGUUAAUUGAGUGUUAAAGCCUUCAAGUGAGUUGAAACUUGUAGAGAUUAUGUGAGAGUCGAUUGGAGCCGAAAUCCAAGUGUAAAGGUGAUUAGAAGCUUGGUUGAAGCUUCAAGUUAGUGGAAUCCUCACUCAAUUAGGAGCUUGAGGAGAGUGGACGUAGCCAAGGAAGUGUCGAACCACUAUAAAAUUUGAGUUUGAUUUCUCUAACAUUGUCUCUUUAUAUUUGUUUAUCUUGUGCUUAAAUUUAUUGUGUUUAAAAAGAAUUUUUAAAUACCCAAUUCACCCCCCUCUUGGGUGUUUUUCUCUUUUAAAAUUAGCCUUUAUUUUCUCACAAACUAUUGUAGUAUAGUGGUUUUUAGGUGUCAUCCAUUAGGAUGAAUUGUUCUCGGUAAUUAAGGCGUGAAUGAGAGGAGAAUUAAUGAUUGUGAUUAAGUAAAAUUGAUUUGAAAAUUCAUGGUGAAAAAUCAAUUUAACAAUGGUUUCUAAUUGAGAAAAACAAUGAAAUGUGAAAUAAAAUAAAAUUAAUAGGAAAUGAAAUUCUCGAAGUUAGAAUUUUCUAAAAAACAAAUUCCAUGGUGAAUGGAUGUUGAGAUCUAAUUUUCAUCAAGUUAGAUUGAAAACCGAAAUUUUCAUAUAAACUGAUUUUUUAUUUAGUUUUAGGUCUAGAUUUAAUUUCCCUUAAAAUUAGGUUAUUUAAUCCAAGAAAUCAAUUCAAAUCAUAUAUUCAAUUCAUCUUAAAUUAUCUUCCAAUUAUUCACACAAUGCAACUAUUCAAUCUCAUCAAAUCUAGCUUUUAAGAAUUUAAUGAAUCUACCUAGUUUGCAUUGUAAUAGUCAUCCAUGACAAUUUGAAGAGAAAAAUAAUUCAAUUAAUCAAUCACUUGGAUCAAAUUACCUUUGCAAUUAAAGUUCAUUUCUCUAAUUCACCACAGAUUUUGUCUCUAGAUCCUCCUUUCUCAAAGAAAAAUGAGAUUUAGCCACACAUGAUUGGAGAUUUGGUCUCAUAAGGCAUGUUUAGCUAGUGAUAAAAUGAGAGAAAAUAAAGAAAAAUAGAGAAUUCGAUUAAGAAAGAAAAUCUAAAAAAUUCUACAAUUAGAAAUGUCCAAAAAGCUUUUUCAUGAGAAAAUCAAGUUUCUAUUUAUAGGCCAAGGUCAAGUGGACACUUGACAUCAUCUAAGAGGUCUUCCGGAAGCUUCUUCAUCAAGAAAUCUGGAGUUUAAUAAUAAAAUGGUCAUUUCACAAGAGCUCAAACAAUUUCGCAUGAUUAUGUGAAAUAAAAAAUGCAACAACAGCAAUUUACAUCUUCUUGGAGCAUUUCGCAUGACUGUGUGAAAUUUUCACAUGAUCAUGUGGAAUCGACUUGACAACUCUCAUUUAGCCUACAACAUAAUUCCACCUUUUGGUCCAUUUUUCAUAGUCAUGCGAAAUGGAAAUAUUUGAUUUUUAAGUUUUCUUUUGUCAUUUCUUUCAUUUCCUUCUCUUGAUUCCACUUCAACUACCUCCGAAUCCUGGUCCAAACCAAUUGCAUUACUUCUUUCAUUAUGCAUUUGGAUCAUCAUCAACAUUAUUUGUUCUCUUCAAUUUGAUUCAUCUCUUUUGUCACCAAUUUAUCAAAAUCAUACCUUGAAAUGACUCCAAAACUUCAUAAAACUUGUUAGUAACUCUUGCAAGGGCAACAACAUAUUAAUUAAGUGUUUUAGGCAUAGUUACUACUCAAAAGAUGCGAAACUCAUGAUAAUUAUUAUAUAAAAUAUGCUCUUUUUGAGUAGUAAUCAACUUUCUUGCAUAAGCAGACCUUUUAGGGUGGAGUACUAAAGACCAAUAUGCUUGUCCUUGUUGUAAUAAAGAAACUUGCUCUUAUUGAUUGCACCAUGGGAGAAAAUUUUGCUACAUGAGUUAUCAUCAAUUUCUUCCCACCAAUCAUAGAUUUAGACGUGACAAGAGGCCUCUUAAUGGCAAGGAGGAACUGACACUCACACUUAUACAAUUAUCGGGCAUUGAUGUGUUGCAACAAUUAGAAUAACUUACACCAAUUAUGUUGGGGAAGUCACAAAAGGCAAACAUGAAAACUAAAAGGAAAAAAGAAAAAUGUUACAUAUCACCACAACUGGAAAGAAAAAAGUAUUUACUUUCAUUUGCCAUAUUGGAAAGCACUUAUUUUACAUCAUAAUAAUUUAGACAUAAUGCAUAUUGAGAAAAAUGUGUGACAAUAUAAUUGAGACAUUGUUCAGUAUUGACGAAGAAACAAGGACAACCUAAAUAGUCAUCUCGAUUUACAAGCUCUAACUAUUAGAAAUGAGAUUCACCCAAUAGAAAGCAGGACCAAAUUUAUUUUGCUUGCAACAUGCUACUCACUCACCCCAAAUGAGAUUAAGGAAUUUUGCAAGUUUUUGAAAUCAAUAAAGGUCCCCAAUGGCUAUUCUUUCAAUAUCUCUCGUUAUGUGCAACUCAAUGAAAGGAAGAUAUAUGAGCUCAAAUUGUAUGAUUGUCAUGUCCUAAUGCAACAACUUCUCUCACUUGUAGUUCGUGGAGUUCUACAUAAGAAUGUUUGUGGAGUUAUCAUAGAAUUGCGUAAUUUUUUCAAGCAAUUGUGCUCAAAGGUGUUAGAAACAAAUCACUUACACCAACUUGAGAACAAUAUUAUUGUCAUACUAUGUAAAAUGGAGCAAAUAUUUCUUCCAUCAUUCUUUGAUAUUAUGGUGCAUUUACUUGUGCAUCUAGUAAGGCAAAGGUUGCAAGACUUGUGCAAUAUUGUUGGAUGUACCUAAUUGAACGAUAUUGUUAUAAUUUCAUAUGAAUCAUUUAAUUUUAUUUUAUAUUAUGUUCAGUUCAUUAACAUGUACAUUGGUCUACAUAUGGAUGAUGAUAGGUACCUAAGCACUUUAAAGUCAUAUGUGCGUAAUAGAACUUUUCUAGAAGGUUCUAUUGUAGAAAGGUACCUUGCAAAAGAAUGUACAACAUUUUAUUCUAGGUACUUGAAUGAUGUGGAAAUAAAGUAUAAUCACAAUGAUAGAAACUUUGUUGGUUUCAACACUAGAGGAGAUGAAAGGGGUUAUCUUUAAACAUAUUGGACAUGCAUUGGGAAAGCCCAUAUUUCAUUAACUUAGUUCAAAAGAGUGGUCACAAGCACAUUUAUAUGUGUUGACAAAUUGCGAAGAUGUCAUACCAUUCAUUGAGUAAAAAAUUUAUUUGAAUUUUAAUUAAAGCUCUAGUUUAUAUCCUUAAUCAAUGUUUUUUAAAUUCACAAGGAGCACAAGCAAACCAUCAAGGCUAGACCACAUAUACGUGUUUGAGACGUAGAUUUAAUUCAUAACAAGGAAUUUAUCAAGUGGUUUGAAAGACAUGUAAGUAUAUUCCUUAUUAUAAGGGAUUUAUUUCACAUUAUGUUUAUAUUGAAUCCAAACCUAUUAUUGAAUUGUAGGUUGAACAAUUACAUAAUGAAGGUCAUAUAUCUGAACACCUUCUCACAUUAUCAUGUGUUCCAAAUUCAUUAGUUACAUGCUUCAAAUGAUAUAUUGUCAAUGGAUUUAGAUCCCACAUUAAAGAACGUGAUAAAAAAGUUUUUAAAAAAAGACUCAGAAUAAUGGAAUUGUUGUAGUUGCAAAAACGUCAAGCUUUACAAGUGCAUGUGAUAUGAGUCCAAUUAUUAGUGAUGCUCUCUACUAUGGUGUUCUAACUAAAGUUGUUGAGUUACAUUAUCUUGGUGAAAAUAAGGUUGUUUUAUUCGAGUUUGAUUGGUGGGAUGUUACAAAUAUUGGAAAAUUGAUAAAAGAUGAUGAGUACAAUUACACAUUUGUUAACUUUGCAUGAAUUCUAACCACGAACGAACGAUUUGUACUUGCAUCUCCAGCAAAGUAAGUGUUCUAUGUGAAGAAUGCGAAUGAAUCAGAUUGGCAUACUAUCAUGGAGAUGCAACCUCAAGACCUCUAUAAGAUGAACGGGAUAGGAUCCAAUGGUGAUUUUGAACCAUUUCAACAAAGUGAACUACAUGAUCACUAAUAUAUCUCAGAUUUAGUUGAUGAAGAUAUAAUCAAGUGGAACAAAAGUGAUGUUUUAGGACUAAUCAUCCUAAAAAAUAUUGUAGUUUCUUAAAAAAAAAAUGAAAAUGAAGAAGAUAAUUGAACCUUUGUCAUACUUUAAAAAGCAACUAUGCAUUGUUCAUUUUGUAUGUUUUGGUUUUCUUCAUUUAAUUUCCUGAUUUUUGUGAUUCAAUGUCAUAUUAUUGAUCUUGAAAUAUUUUUCUAAUUUUUCAUUCUACGAUGGUUUCAACAAGGAUGACAUCAAGUCAAAAAAGGAAAUGUGGUCCCACACACAAUAUUGCAUUACAGGGAUUAAGGUCAGGGAAGAAGGUAAAAGUUGCAUUUAAUGAGUACAAUCAAUUGGUUAAACAGAAAAAUGGAAAACACUUAUCGAGCUACAUAGGGACACUUGUAUCUAACCAACACAAUGUACCUCUCCAAGCUAGUGAUUGGAAAAAUGUUCCAAAUGAUGCAAAAGAGAAAGUAUGGCCUUUGUUUUGGUAUGUUGUAUUUCUCACUAUAUGAUGUCAUUUCACUGUUAUUCUAUUUUGUGACUAACGUUUGAAUCAUAUGUAAGAAAAAUUUGAAGUAGAUAAAGACUGAAAAGAUUACAUGUUGGGUAUAGCCUCAAAUAAAUAUAGAAGCUAUAAAAAUAUGAUGAAUGCAAAAUACUAUGACCCUUGGCAUAAGGAUGCAUGAGGAGAGGUUAAUACAUAAAUCACCAUUUGUCUCUGAUGUUGAUUGGAAGUGGCUUGUCUCUGAUGCAUAAACCAAAUCCCCCACUGAAUGUUUGAUAUUUGAUAGCAGGAAAAACACACCCGCAGCUAUACACCUCCAUCAUUCAGAUAAUUAUAGUGGGGGAGAUGAUUCAUGGUUGCCCUUAUACCCUUUAUUUGCACCAUCUAUUGAGAUUCUUUAUCAUGGCCAGGUUUUACUGCAGCAAUAAGAUAUGGUGGCAACAAUUUUAUCUAUAGGUGCGGUUCCAGACCGCCUCCAUAGGUGCGGUUCCUGACUGCCUCCAUAGGUGCCUCUUCUUGUAAUGUUUGUUCUGGGAAUUACACUUGAAAGCCUUAUCGUGAUAAGGGAUUACAAACACUAGUUCAGAGGACAGCCAUGUUAAACUUCCACUAUGUUUGUGUCACAUUAUCAGCAGCCUAGUGUUUAUUGGUCAUGCUAUCUGCAACUAAUAUAACCCGGUGAACUUCAAUCUAAAUUCUGAAAGUACUCAUGUGACAGAUGGUGCCUUUCAGCAGAUAUCAUCAAUUUAAAAGUAGUGUGUGUGCCUAUAGGUGGGAAGGCCUUGGCAAAUGUUCAGUAUUCCGGUAAUUCAAGAAGGAUAUAUCUAAAAUAGAUUUUCUUCUUGCCCAUUUCAAUAGUUAAAAUUUGAGAAGAUUGUGUCCACAUCACACAAAUAUUAUUGGUCCUUCUGUUGCAAUUUACCUCUGAACAUGUCUUCCAAUUCCCACGGUCCUGUUACUCCAGGAAAACUAUUUCGGUCAUAUUGAAAAAAAAAAUAUUAAAGAAGGUACACAUGCUUUUAAGUGGACUGGGGCAUUCAUAUCAGGUGGUCUGUAUCCACAUAUGCCACUUCGUGAAAGGUGGAACAGCCUAAUCACUAGGCUAUUUAGUGUGGCCCAGCCACGUUAAUCAAGCACAAGUCUUCAUACUUAAAGUCAAAUGGUGUCUUUAGUCUCAUUACACAUCGCUAUUUGAAGAUUAACUCAUCACUAGUGUAAUGCGAUUAAGACAGUCCUAACUCAAUAUUUGUUCUAGUUUUGGAUGCAAAUGCUUGCUGGUUUCAUCAUUGGAUGGGAUAAAGGUGCAAUCAGGACUAUGAAUACGUGCAGUAAUACUUCAUUCUCUUUUUUCUCAAUGAGACUUCUUGGCACAAUUUUGCUGCUCAGCAACCUACCUUUCCAUGGAAAAUCAGUUGUGACUGAUAGUAAUGGAUAUAUUCUAGAAAGCUAAACAUAGAUAGCAUUCAAUAUUAUCGAUAUAACAUUAACAGCGUAUGUCUCAAUGCUCAUCAGCUACAAGCAAUGGACAAACACUUUGAGUAACUCACAGCAGUCAAAAUUCCUAAACAGGACAGACGUGACAGAUCUAUAUAUAGAACACUGCAUAUGAGUCACAGGAAAAGAUAAUACGGGUACAUAGAAGCUCUUAUUUUACAUAUUACUCAUACUGAUCAAAGUCGCUCAGUUGGGAUGGAUGGGAGAAGGAGGUUUGAGGGGUGGCUUGUGCGGGGAAGUUGGCAGCUUCUUUCCGGGAGCUGGUUGCUUCUUUGCUGGAGUUGAAGGAGGCUUAAUCUUCCGAGGUGGCUUGUAUGAGUCUUCAGCAUUCUCAGCAGGAGGGUGACCAGGGUUGUGACCAUAAUGUGGUGGCUUCUCUCCCUUAGGUGGUUUGCCAACUGGGGUUGGUGGCUUGUUUUCUGGGAGUGGCUUCUCUCCCUUGGGUGGUUUGCCAACUGGGGUUGGUGGCUUGUGUUCUGGGAGUGGCUUCUCCCCCUUGGGAGGUUUUUCGAAUGGGGUGGGUUUGUGUCCUGGUGGUGGCUUCUCUCCCUUGGGAGGUUUACCAAUUGGGGUCGGUGGCUUGUGUUCUGGGAGGGGCUUCUCUCCCUGGGGAGGUUUAGUGGGUGGCUUGUGUUCUGGAGGUGGCUUCUCCACCGGAGGCUUAUGCUCUGGUGGUGGCUUCUCGAAGGGGGGAUGCUCAGGGUAAUCACCAAGUGAGGGGGUGGUGAGAACCACCAUGCCAAGCAACAACACUAGCAAGUAUGUAGUAGACAUCUUUGGGUUUGGACUCAGACAGUGCAAAACUACGAGAAAUCGCUAGCCCUUUAUAGCGGCUCGGACCUAAUACUGACAUAAUAUAAAAUAAAUAUUAUAUUUUAUCAAGAGAGAACAGAGUGUAAUUUUAUCAUUAAUACCGAUCGAGGCCAAAGAAAGAAGACCCAUAAUCCAUUUCCCACAAGCAUACACAAUGCAGCUGUAAUUUUAUCAUUUACUUUUAUCCCUUGGACCACUGCAUUUUUGUUGAGAGACACAAUAACACAUUUUUAUCUGUCAUUCAACAUUUACAGUAAAGAGAGGGCACAAAACGCAAUUAGAUAAAUUAUGUUUUGCCUGCUAAAAAGAGGCAAAUAACUUUAUUUGCAACAUAAUUAUUUUGGUUUCUAGUGACCCCGGGGCCUUUCGGUUGGUUUGGGAUCGGAAAAUGAACAUCAUAGGGGGGGUUGUGCCCUUAUGGGCAUAUAUAUCUGAUAGCUUCAACUGGCCUUGUUCCUAGAAAGAAAUUGCCAAAGAUAUAAACUUAUUCCAGGCUGAAAGUAGAUGAGAGUCAUAAUGAACAUCAACCUUUGUUCAGUUUGAUUCAAUGCCCCCAUAGUGUUCAUUUCACAGAUCUGAAUGAUUAUAUCCGUUGAAUACAUAAAUUAAUGAAGACAAAUAUGAAACCCAAGAUACAUCUCUGCAUAACAACCCCAACCCUGGUUGCUAUGUUUCCCUUCUUCUAUUCACAUGAGGAUACUGGUUAUAAUUGUCAAACUUGCAACAAGCCCUUUGACACCUAACGUCAAUGGACGAAUUAAAAGUCUCCUUCAAACGUCUAUUUCACAGCAUGAAGCUUAUAAAGGAUGCUGACAACCUUCAGAGUUAGCGACAAAAGAUAAUUAUCAAGGAGAGAUAGUUCCAUGAGAAUUCCAAGGAGUCUGAAUCAAAGACAAAUUGCUCACUCAAGGGUUCUUAUUUUCUUUUAGGUACAAAUCUCUUGAGUGUUGUUAAAGAAACACGUCACUGUCAUUUUGAUUUGCAUUUAACAUUUCACUUUUGUUCUGGAAGGUUUGUUCCGGAAACAUAUCAAAUGAGCAUCAUUUUCUUCUUCGGUGACACAUGGUCGCGAGUACGUGGGUCCAUUUUCAUGCCACUUAGUUGAAAAGUUGGAAAGAAAAAACAUGCCAACAAGAAGAUAGUGAGAGAAGGGGCACUUCAAGCCUUUAACAUGAACAAACAGUAAAUAAAAGAUGUUUCUCCACUCAUAAAAGUGUGUUAGAUAGCAAUAUAACGAAUCACAUCCAAAAUCUUUACUAGGCUCAAACAUAAAGAAGACUCAUUUUUAAGAAAAGAUAAAAAUGGCAUUGUCUGAUAGUAUCCAAUACACGAGAUGGCACUUAAUUUGUACAAGAUCUGUCAAUGCUGACGCACAUUUUCUGAUUAAAAAAAAACUGAUCAGUCAAAAGCAAUGAAGAGAAGUGAUGACAAUGAAUGAUGCUUCCAAUAUUUUCACCCCUUAUAGUGUUCUUCAUGAUUCAGAUAUAUAAUUGGAAAUAGAACAACCCUAUGCCAUACAUUCGUCUAAGUAUGGUGUCUAAUUUUUUGUGUCAGCGGUUGCGAAUGGAGCGUGCAAAAGUCCAAAUUGGCGUCUCUCCAUUUCCACAUAGGAAGGUGACCUUUAUUGACAAAUACCCAAUAUUUGUAGACAUUCCUUAAAUAUCAUAACUUCUUGUUGAUUUGAAAAUCAUUUUUCAACUACCAUGUUUUAAUAAAUAUUUUUUAAAAUGUAUUUUUAUCAAAGUCCACCAUGAUGGAUAAUAUUCACCAUGCAAUAAUUAAUAAAGUACAAACUAAGCGAAAUGAAAAGCAUUUUCUUUGCUUUGAGUUGAUUUUGGUUGCAUUGAGUUGAUUUUGGUUUCAUGGUUUUUUCAACUCUUAUUUUGAUUGGAAGAUGUCAAGAAAAGAAAACAUAAAGAAAAAUUAAAAGGGAAAAAAGAAGAAAAAUAAAAAAAAAUAGAUUUAAAAGUUAAUAAAUUAUUUUUUAUAUUUAUUUUAAUUCAUUUCACUUAUUUUUCUUUUACUAUAUAAAAUUUAAAUAAUUUAAAUUUUAUAAUUAAUUUAAUUACAUUUCAUUUUCUUCUAUAUUUAAAUAUUGGAAAAAUAUUUUACUUAAUAUUUUUUUCUUUAAUUUCUUUGGCAUUUUGGGAACCAAACUUAGCCUUUAAAAUAAAAAACAAAAAAAAAAUGAAAAUAAGGAGGGAAAAGUGAGAAAAGAUAAAAACAAUAUGUAAAGGAUUUGAAAAGUAUUAGUUUGUAAUUACUAUUUGGAUUUCAAUAGUAUUUUAUUUGUCUUUCUAUAUUUCAUGUAAGAGAGAAUUUAAGAUAUUCCCCAAGGCAAAGCAUUAGUUACCUGCAAUCAGUGGUGAUAAGGCUCCAAGCCAAUUUUGGGCCCCAUAUCUUAAGACAGUACAAUUUCCAUUUCAACAUUUCUGAUUUCUCAGAUGUUUCACAUACCACAGAAGAACAUUGUUUGUGAAAAUAUGCAUUUAUGUUGGAUUUUGUAUGCUGUGGGGACUGGGGCAAGGAUCAUAUGGAAGAGUGGUUGACUUUUUCUGUACUUUAACGGUUGAAAUAGGAUAAGCACGGGCAUUUGUGAGGCUUAAUUGAUUUUGAAGCCUGAAAUUGCGUUUCUGUCAUUUUGUCAAAAAAAUGGCAGAUUCCAUACUCAUAUGUUUGGCCUGUGGCCAUGUACAGAUGCCAUUUAGUGACCAGUUUGUAACUGUCAAUCGUUGCGUUUUGACUCUGCCUCAACAACAUCUGCCAUUGACGGGUUUUCAUACUUGCAAAUCAAAUAGUCUUUCGUCCCAUCAGGAAUUUCGGUUUAAAUAUUAUUAAGCAUACGUUUGGCUGACAAUCAUUAUCCAGUUCAUGAUUUGGUUUCUUACCCUUAAUCAAUGGUUUCUAAGUGAAUAUAUGUAGAAGGAAAUCCGAAGUGUAGACAGUAGUAUCGAUAACUCUCAAUAUUCUCUAUAUAAUAGAAUAAACAGCGUCAUAGUGAUCGUCGCCUACAAGCAAGGUACAAAUACCAAAACGAGUGACUCACAUAGACAUCUCCCAACAAGAUGUAGUAGUGACUGACACAUGGACACAAUUAACUCGUAGAAAAGGAUAAGACCAUUGCACAGCAGCUCUUAUUUUACAUACUACUUAUGCUAACCAAAGUCAAUUAGUUGGGAUGGGUGGGAGAUGGAGGUUUGUGCGGUGGCUUGUGGGGCGGAGUUGAUGGCUUCUUUCCAGGAGCUUCUGGCUUUUUCAUCGGAGCUGAAGGAGGCUCAAUCUUAUGAGGCGGCUUGUAUGAGUCUUCUUUACUCUCGACAGGAGGGUGGCCAGGGUUGUGAUCAUAAUGUGGUGGCUUCUCUCCCUUAGGUGGCUUGCCAACUGGGGUUGGUGGCUUGUGUUCAGGAAGUGGUUUCUCUCCCAUGGGAGGUUUAGCAAUUGGGGUUGGUGGCUUGUGUUCUGGGAGUGGCUUCUCUCCCUUGGGAGGUUUAGUAGGUGACUUGUGUUCUGGAGGUGGCUUCUCCACCGGAGGCUUGUGCUCCGGUGGUGGCUUCUUGGUUGGAGGGGGCUUGGGGUAAUCAGCAAGAGAUGGGGUGGUGAGAACCACCAGUCCAAGGAACAACACUAGCAAGUAUGUGGGAGACAUUUUUGAGUUUGGGCUGAUCAGAUGAUGCAAAACUAAAGCAUUACGUGACCUUUUAUAGCAUGUAGCUCCCAAUACCCACUAAGUAUUGUGGGGUCCAUUUGUGCCCUACGGGGUUGAAAACUUAGACAAUUGGGCAAGGACCCACCUGACUAUGGAGGACUAGUGAGGUGUGAUCAUAGCUUUAGGAUUUUUCUUCCUCUGCAGCCGUCGUGCCGUUGGCAUGAUUUUCUUAAUCUUAAAUAAAGGCAUAGUUAUAGAGUUGUUUAAUCUCUAAAUGGGAUUUUAUAUAUAUCUUCAGAUAGCCAUUAAUAUAUUUGAUGAAGAAAGAAAGACAAGUGCAUACAACAUGUAUACGACUAGCUUUCAUGGAGUUCAUUUAUGAUCAGUUUUCCUGUACAUGUAAACCAGGAUCAUAUAUAUGUUUCUGUUCCACAACUAUUUUGGAAUCUUGUUUAUCAGUUUUUAUCAUUAUAAUGUCACAUAGGCUGCCAACUUGGGCGCUAAAAGAACCAGUUGGGCUAGUUCGUUUCAGAAUUUCAAUGUGGAUUCAGGAAUUGUUUUGUAAGAUAUGCGAAAUAGUAGAGGGAUGAAUAGUGUUUCAUUAAUAAAAGUGUCCUGUAAAUUAGAAGGUGUCAUAGAAACUAUAAUCAAUAAAUAACUUUUUUUCCCCACGGGUGGUGUUUCUUGUGGGGAUCAGUGACUGGUUUAGGUUCACCCAAAAUGAGUUCAGACUAAAAUUGGUUUGAGUCAAUGCCGUGUCUCUUUUUUCCAGAAAUCAACUAUUUUAUGCAUUGAAUAAAUCAUACAAAGAAAAUAUGAACGCCCGCAAAACCUAAACCCUGGUUGCUAACUUUCUAUGUUUCAGUUCUAUUCACGCAAGAAUAUUAGUUUAAGUUUGGGAAAAAUGGCAACUUACCUAGUGAUUACUUGGUUUUGGUUUGCGACUAUUUACGCAACCAACCAUGAGUUUGACUUUAACGUCAUGGGUUGAAGCCUCCUACAGGAAGGGAGAAAGCUCCACAGCUAGCUCCAAAAGAGAAUUAUCACAUUGAUAGCUCCAGAGAUUCCCAAGGGGACUGAAUCAAAGACAAGUUCCUCACUUUUUCUUCUUUUGAGGCCAAAUAUGAACCAAGGAUCACACAACCUCAUUCAACUUCAUAAGUUUGAUUUCAUGCAGUUGAACACUGGGUGAAGGCCAUGACAAGAAUUGAUUCAAAAAUUCUAUCACUCUUUUAAGUAAUGGAAGAUUAUUAUCUCUGAUUGGCAUCACAACAGCACAUGCUCCUAGAUCUUUCUAGACACUCCAUGCAAUGAAAGCACAAUGGAUCUUGUAACGAUAGAAACUAAGCCAUGCUACAGUACUAGAUGAUGAGGUAAAACUAGUAGACACGGGUGGCAGCCUAUAUGGGAGGGACACAAGUCUAAUUGAUUUGCAUUUCAGCAUUAUAGAUAGGUAUGUUUUGGAAGAUUUGUUCUGGAAAUACCGCACCAAGUAGGAUUCUUUUUCUCUUUAGUGGGUCCACUUGCAUGCCAAUUAACGAGUUGAAAAGUAUGAGCACCUACCUCGUGCUCGUGGAACCGAAGGUCAGUGAAGUGGGGCUCCUUUUGGCCUCGUGUAAACUUGAUUCAGAAGUGAAGUUAAUAGUCUUCCAUUCAGAUGGAUACAUGGGAAUUUUUCUCUUUUAUUUAUUUAUUUAUUUUUUUUUUGUGUGUGUAUGUCAAAGGAUAAUGAAUGAAGCGCGUUAGCUUGUUUUCUGACUGGAACCGCAGAUGUCCAAAUUGGAGUUCCUUCAUUUCUUACUUAGGAUUGUUACAUGUAUAAACAAGGUAUAAGAAAUAUGCCAACGUGUCUUGAGGAGUUAUUGAUUAGAAAUAACAAGUCACCCGACUGUAGAGUUCCAAGAUUUGAAUCUUCAGACCCUAUAGCAGCCUCUGGGGUACGUGGCAUCCUAUAGCAUAUUAAUGAAGGCUUUUUCGAUUUAGACUUCACAAUACCAAUUAAUAUGUAUGCACAAAAUGGAGAUGACCCCAAAAAAAACAGAAUCGCCAUAGUUUAUGAGGUUAAGGUGAUUCUCCACUUAAUAUCUACAUUAGCUAAUUAUGUAAAUCAAAUGAACUUCUAUUUUUCCUUUUUUUUUUUGGUUUAUGUCAAAUAGUAGCCCAUAAUUAACCCAACCAUUAGCCUGUUUGAAUUGAUUUCACAUGCACAAUGUUGUAGUAGUUCAUAUUUUGAAUUUUAUUUUUACAAAGGUAGUUAAGGAAAAUGAAGUAUAAUAAUUAUAAAAGCAGACUAUAUACACUACAAUAAUUGUUAGAAUGGUAUCUCAAAUUCUAAUUUAAAAUAUUAUUUUUUGUAAAAGAAAUAUUAUAUAGAAUAUUUCCUAAUUUUAUAAAUGAUUAUAAUUAGAUCUUUAUAAAAUAAGGAAAGUUGGUAAGAAUAUCUUUAUAAAUAUUUUAGGUCAUGAGAGAAAGAAAUGGGAUAAAAAUGUGAUGAAGAGGUGAAAUAAGAGAGUUGAUUAGGAUAUAGAUGUGAAGAAGAAAGGGAUUCAAUAUAUAUAUAUCUUUCAAUUACCACAUUAAAACCCUGUGAACCUUUUAUAUGGUUUACUUUAUUUUUAUAUUCCUCCUUUAAUAUAUUUACAUUAAUGCUUCCAUUGGCACAACAAUAACGAAUUACAAAUACAAGCAACAAGUCCCAUGUUUUAUUACCAAAAGCAGGUAAAAUCCACCUAAUAUAUUACAAUAUAUUCAUCCAAUAUUUUAGACCAAUUCUUCACCAUAAAUAUCAUAAUGUGGCUUUUGUUCUUUCUUAAAUUUAAAUUGAAUUGUCUUAUAUCAAUUUGUUUGUGAUUUUUUCAUUAACUUCACUUUCAUUUGGUUAUCUUUGGUUUUUGAAAAGUAUUAAGGAAUUAAUUAACAAAAUAAUGUUAAGAAAAAUAAUUUUCUCUCUUUUGAUUUUGAUUUUGUAGUAGAAAAAUAUAAUUAAAAUUAUUUAAAAAGUAUGUAAUUUUAAAUUAUUUAAUAUUUAGAUAAAAAAAAUAAGUCUAAUGAGUUUAAAAUAACAUAUAAAAAUAAUUUAUUUAUUUUAAAUUUAUUUUUUAUUUUCCAUUAUGUUCUCUUUCUCUUUUACUUUUUCAUAUUUUUUCUUACGAAGAAUCAAACACAACCUCAUAUUAUAUGUCAAGUGUUUGUCUAUAUUUGAGCAAUGUUAGAUACGGCCAUGGAUUCAUCAAACUAAACUGAUUUUAAUAGAUACUUCACAAAUUGAUUUAUACACUAAAUCAUUGGAUAGCAAUGAUGCAUUGGAAUUAAACGUAGGAUGAAGCUCGAAGAACACUGUUUGUGUAACAACAUAUUUAUGAAAUUAUGCAAAGGAUGAGCUUCGGGGUAGUAGUACAAGGUCAUUAAUGGAGAGCCGUGUUAAACCUUGAUUGUGAUUGGAUUCCGUUAUCAGCAACAGCAACCUUGUUUGUAACCUUGAAAGUCAUUCUGUCCACAUCGAAACUCCAAUUUGACGUUUGUAAUUACCAUUCCUGGAGUGUUCCUUGAUUGAAAUUUAAAUAAUAAUUGCGGCCCACAAGGAAUAUUUUCGAUUCUGUGGGAAUUUGACAAGGUUUGUUAGAGAAGACUGGUGACAUGUUGACUUCAAUGGUUCAAAUAGGAGACGUAUGUGGAUUUGGGGGGUUUAAUUGAAACUGAGUCCCUAUGGCUUUUUAAUAUUUGCAUUGAGCAGUCUCCAUGUGACUUCCUAAUUCCCACCAACCCUCCUGUCCAUGCUGUGAAACUAAAUUGUAAUUUAUCAGCCUUUGUCAAUGGUUUCUAAAUUAAAGAUAUAGACCAUGCAUGUACUUUAAUAAAAGCAAAUCUAAAGUGUAGAUAGCAGCAAUGGUGACACCCAAUAUUCUCCAUAAAAUAGAAUUAGAAUAAGCAGUGUUACAUUGUUCAUGAUCACCUACAAGCAUACAAGAACUUCCAUGAAUAACUCAUAGCAAUUGCCAACAGGGCGUCGUAGAGACUCAUACAUAGAACACUAUCCACCCAGAGGAAAGGACAAGACCAGUGCGCUGCAGCUCUUAUUUUUCACAUGUAUACCACCACUCGUAAUAACCAAAUUCACUCAGUUGGGAUAGGUGGGAGAUGGUGGUUUGUGGGGUGGCUUGUGGGGAGGAGUUGGAGGAGGCUUUAUUUUCUGAGGCGGCUUGUAUGAGUGUGCAGGAGGAUGCCCGGGAGUGUGACCAUAAUGUGGUGGCUUCUCUCCCGUAGGUGGUUUGCCAAAUGGGCUUGGUGGCUUCUCUCCCUUAGGAGGUUUACCAAUUGGGGUUGGUGGCUUGUGUUCUGGGAGUGGUUUCUCUCCCUUGGUAGGUUUGCCAAUUGGGGUUGGCGGCUUAUGUUCUGGGAGUGGCUUCUCUCCCUUGGGAGGUUUGCUAAUUGGGGUUGGCGGCUUAUGUUCUGGGGGCGGCUUCUCUCCCUUGGGAGGUUUGCCAAUUGGAGUUGGCGGCUUAUGUUCUGGGAGUGGCUUUUCUCCCUUGGGAGGCUUGCCAAUUGGGGUUGGCGGCUUAUGUUCUGGGGGUGGCUUCUCUCCUUUAGGAGGUUUGCCAAUUGGAGUCGGCGGCUUAUGUUCUGGAAGUGGCUUUUUUCCCUUGGGAGGUUUGCCAAUUGGGGUUGGCGGCUUAUGUUCUGGGGGUGGCUUCUCUCCCUUGGGAGGUUUGCCAAUUGGAGUCGGCGGCUUAUGUUCUGGGAGUGGCUUCUCUCCCUUGGGAGGUUUUGUUGGUGGCUUGUGUUCUGGAGAUGGCUUCUCCCCUGGAGGCUUGUGCUCCGGAGGUGGCUUCUGAAAUGGCGGGGGCUUGGGGUAAUGAGCAAGAGAUGGA
rnacentral:lncRNA from 1 species